rnacentral:lncRNA from 1 species
AAAAAAAGAAUUCACCUGGUGCCAUAUACCCAAUAGUUGCAAGAGUCAUGGUUUGCUUCAUUACUUCACCUUCUCCCAACAAUUUGGCAACGCCAAAAUCUCCAACAUGUGCAACCAUGUCUUCAUCUAGUAAAAUAUUGCUUGGUUUUAUGUCACAAUGAAUUAUAGGUGUUGGAUGUCCAUUGUGGAGGUGUUCUAUAGCUACCGCAACAUCUAUCAUUAUGUCGACCCUUUGUAUGAUACCAAGGAAACAAUUUUCAGAAUGUAACCAUUUCUCAAGGUUUCCAUUAGACAUGUAAUCAAGCACCAAGGCUUUGAAGUCAACACUUGAGCAGUAAGUAAUGACCUUCACAAUAUUACGAUGAACUAUAUUAAGCAUAGCAUCACAUUCAAUGUCAAAACUCCUAAAUGCUCCCUCUGUUUGCAAAUUGAAAACUUUUAUUGCAACUUCCAUUCCAUCUGAAAGCCUCCCUUUAUAUACAUAUCCAAAACUCCCUGAACCAAGCGUAUUGCUUUCCUCAAAUCCAUUAGUUGCUCGUGAAAGUUCAGCAUGUGAAAUUCUUCUCAGUGUCUUCAAAGACAACAAAUCAUCUUUAACUGGUAGAGCUGUACUCCUUUGGCAUCUUCUAUACAUAAUAGUUAAGACUAUUAGUACUAGGACAAUACCAAUUGUUGGUAAACCAUACCUAAAAGCAUGCAAUAUAAUCAUUUGGGAGUUUUUGUGGAUGUCAUUUUUGCAAGGUGGGACUAGCAAUCUAGGUGGACCACAAAGUGCACAAUUAUUCAUGAAUGAUGUGCUAGAAAAGUUUGAAAAACAUCCUUUGCUGGGAAUUUCCCCUUCAAGUCUAUUGAAAGACACAUUAAAAUACUUUAGAUAUAAAAGCUUUUCCAAAGAUUUGGGAAUGACUCCAGAGAGAUUGUUAUUGCAUAAAUCCAAGAAUUCCAAACUAAUCAACCCUUCAAAUGAUUCAGGGAUAUGACCAUAUAGUAUGUUAUUUGAUAAAUCUAAUGAAACCAAAGUUAUAAGACCCCCAAAUGUGGAUAAGAUAUCGCUCGUGAGAAGAUUCCUUGAUAAAUUUAGUCUCAGUAGACUCCUAAAAUUUCCAACAUCAAUAGCAUGUGAAUUGUGAAGACGGUUUGAUGAUAAAUCUAUUUCUAAGAUAUCUUUAAGACUCCACAAAGUUGAGGGUAUUGUAGAACUCAAUUUGUUGGAACCUAACCAAAGAUAUCUCAAAGCAGAAAUAUUACCUAAACAAGAGGGUAUGGAUCCAUGCAGCUUAUUCAACCCUAAAUACAUCUCGUAUAGUCUCUCCAAACCACAAAGGCUUUCUGGGAUAGGCCCUCCUAAUUUAUUAGAGGAAAGACCUAGAAUUUGGAGAUUUCUCAUUCCUCCUAUUGAUGCUGGAAUCAAUCCACUUAAUUUAUUAUACCCAAGAUCUAAAAGCAAUAGGUUGGUUAAGUUACCUAUUUCCAUAGGAAUAAUGCCUUGAAGCUCACACUCUGUGGCAUGAAAGUAUUGAAGGGAUUUUGAAAGGUUCCCGAAAUAAGUAGGAAGAACGCCACUCAAUGGAUUUCCUGAAACAUCUAUUAUGCUCAAAUUCCUACAAUUCGUCAAAGAAGAAAGAAAGCUCCACUCAUGAUCAGUAGCAGAUCCUGUGAUCAAAUUAUUGUCAUAGAUUUGGAGCCAUACAAGUUGUCUUAAGCUGCCAAGCGUUUUAGGGAUUGGGCCAGAGAAUGAGUUAUCUCCCAAGUCUAGUUCCUUAAGCAUGGAAGCAUUGGAGAUAGAGUUGGGAAUGUUUCCGCUAAGUUUAUUUCCCCACAGUAAAAGAAUCUGAAGCUUUGGAGCAUUGGUAAUGGGUGGUAAAUUACCUGUAAAAUAGCAUCUUUUAGAAAACAUUCACAAAAUAUAUAAUACAUUAAAAUAAAAACUUUAAAUCAAUUAAGAAUAAAAUUUUGGCAUGGAAAAAUGUGAUGAAAUCAAUUAGAAAGUUGAGACAUAAUAAGAAGUUUUGAGUAGUAAUUAGUCCUUGUGAUUUGUAUAGACAAAACAUAUAAUACACUGAUAAUUUUUUUAAAAUAUUGUAAAACCUGAAAUAAAAUAAAAAAUAAAAGUUUGGCACGAGAAUGUGGCAUCUAAUCAUUCUUAAAAAUAAGACUAACAUUAAAUAAUAAUUAGUUAUGAUUUGAGAAACAAAAAUGUUAAAGAUGUAAACUGGUAUGAUUUUUAUCUAUUGGGUUAAUUAUUUAUUUUUAUUAAAUUAUAUAUAGUGUAAAAUUUAAAGAUUAUUAUUUGCUCAAAAUUUUUGUAUUUUAGGAUUUUAGGAUCGCAUUUAAUUCAAUUGUAUUUAAGACCUCAUGAAUUUAUUCUAUAAUUUGAGUCUUUUCAACCUUUUGGGAAAUAAUAAAACAUCGACAUUAAACUUGUUGUUGAUGCAUUCAAUUUGAUUUUUUGAGGGGUCAUUGGAGUUAUAUGUGAAUUUAGCAUUGAUUGACUUUUUUAGAAUUAAUCUUUUAUACCAAUUUAAUAACAUCGACAUGUUUUUGGGUAGGGUCGAGCAAAACCCAAUUAAAACCGAUGAAAUUGGUUUAGUUAACUCGGUCAAGUCCAUUAGAUGGAUAAAAUCAAUUUUAAAAUCAGUUAUUAUGGAUUAAGGUAAUUAAUUAUCGAGUAAUGAAAUACAUAAUCAAAUCAAUUGAUUUUGUUAGAAACUAAAAGAAAGUGGGAUAAGCUGAAAACUGAUUGCCCUUUUUUAGAAUUAAGGAAUCAGCCUUUUACAUGUUAGAUAAUAUGAACACCCCAUAUAUAAUAAGAAAAAUUAUGUACGAUUAUUUAUUAUCAUAAAUGGUUAGUUUAAAUUUAAAGUAAUCUAAUAUGUGUGUUGAACUUCAACUAUUACAUAAAGUAUAAGCUAAAUAUGUAUAAAUAUUCUAGAAACCAUUUCUAACUGAUGAUAGGCUAAUUUGAAAUUAAGAUUAAUAUAUAAAAACUAGAUAGUAGGGUUAUAGUCCUCAAACUACACCUAAUUUAAUAAAAUCUAUAGUUUUUAUAGCCUUAAACAUUUAUAGAUUUUGUUAAUUUGGUCCUUACUCUUUAAAAUUACAUAAAAAUUGCAAAAAUAUUUUAGAAAUACAAUUUUUUCGUAUUUUUAAUAACAUUUAUAGUUUUUUUUUUGGUUUGGUAACUUAUCAACUCGACUCUUAAUUGUAACCAACUUUUCUGAUUUUUUCGUACCCUUAACCUAAGUCCCGUUACAACUUUCUAAAGACCUCUUGAUUGGUGUAUCAUCUCGAUUUGUUCUUAUAGUGGUGGGGAUUUGGUUUUCAAGCAAGCCUAUGCUAAUCACAUUUUUCGUUCAACUAUUGAGCACACAGUACUUGAACCUUAAACACUUUGAGUGCUUUGAGUGAAUCUUAGUUAGGGUAUUGAUUAUUGUUGAGUUUGAAUUUUAGGUAAUUAUUGAGAUGGAGGAGAUGCCUAUUUUUUUGUGCUUUACAAAUUUCUGCUUAGAUUGCUUUUAUUCUUUAGUUUCAUGCUAGUUUCAAUUUCCAGUGCAUGAUUAUCUAUAGAUUAUUCAUAAGGCAUUGUCGGUGAAAACAAUAAAUUGAGGGAGAUUAACUUGAAAUAAAUUGAGGGAUAUUAACUUGAAUAAAGGUUGAGAAUUUUGCUUAAGGACAAACAAAUGCUUAAGUGUGGGGAUAUUUGAUAAGUGCUAAAAUUGAUAUGUUUUAACAUCAUUCUUAAUGUGUUUUUGGUUGAUUAUUCGAUGUUAAUGAUGCUCCUAAUCCUUACAAUUCGUGUUUUUAUGCUUAAUAGAACAUUUGGGAGGAAAAUGAGCUAAAAAUGAACGAAAACCUGAAAAUGGGGGCAAACUAUAGGACAUGGGCUGACCUAUUCCUCAUGACCGUAUGACUCACACGAUCAUGUGGUAGGUUGUGUCGAUUUCGUAGAUUUGCACUCUGAACUGUAAAAAAAGAAAAUUUUAGAUUUUUUGAGCAUUUUAAUACGUAUAUAUGAAAAAAAUAAGAAGAUAGGAGAGAACCUUCCUAGAAUAUUUAAGAAAACAACUCCAAAGACACUAUUGAAGUCGACUCUGAAGCAAAUUUUCCUCAAGAUUGAAGAUUCCCAGUUGGUUUCUUAAGAGAUUAUCAUGAGUUUCUUUAUUUCUUCUGGUUAUACUGCCCUUUGGAUGUUUUUAUUUUUAAGCAUGAACUAAUUUUCUAAAUACCGAAUUAGAGAGAUGAACCCUAUGAUAGAUUGUGACACCCCAAACCCAACCGGAUAGACCCGCCCGAAUUCAAAGCAUUUCAUUAGCCACCUAAGUGACUCUCCAGCUAACGACCACCCAAGACACACCUCGACCUUAUAACACCUCAAUCUUAUCUAAUUACUAGUUAUUUAUUAAUGUAGAAGUAAAUUAAUAUGAGCCAAUUUUAAACUUUUUCUAGGUAAUUUAACCUAAAGGCAAUUUUGUCAUUUUACCACCUAAUGUAAAACUAACCCGAUUUUAGAUCUAAGUGUUUACUAACCUUCUUUUAGUCAAAUUAUACAAGCCUAAAAUUUUCAGCUUAAUUUGAGUCCGUUUACUAUGUCUAAUUCAAGUUUUAUUAAUAAGGACUCAAUUGUAACUUAAACAAAUUAAAAUACCAAUUUAAAGAGACAAAAAUUCAAAACUCCAAAACCCACACGGGCAUGUGGGUAAGUGACAAGGGCUUGUGGGAUUGAAAAAUAUGAAAUAAAUUAAUCCACUCAAUUUUCCAACAACCAUGCUAUACUACCAAACCAAAAAAACACUUGAAGUUUUGAAUAGGGGCGAAUCUAAAAAAAAUUAGAAGAAUUAGAAUUAAAUUAUAAAAUUUUGAGAAGUUAAAAUAUAAUUUUAUCAUGUAUUAAUUUAUUGUUUUUUAAAGGGUCCUAAUAUAAUUUUUUUCCCAUUUUGGUUGGGCCAAUACCCCUGCCUGCCUCUUUAAAUUUGCUCCAACACUAAACCCAAUAUUCGAUUUGGAUUAACAACAACAUAUAGGUUAGUAUUUGUGGGAGUUUGACGAAUAAAAAUUCCUUUUUUAGAUGUUUAAAUUAUAAAUUUUUGAAAGAUUAAAAUAAAUUUGUAUUUUUUUAUUAACAAAAUAUAAAAGAAAAAAAAAUAUGUUUAGACAAGCCAAGAGAACUUUGGGAUCAUACAGGUGAUUUUGAGAUGUUAAUGGUUAUUUUGGUGGACAGCGUAAAAAAGAAACAAAUGAUUCAUUAUAUAUAAUAUAAUUAUGAAUUUCAAGCCAUAUAUUGUAUGUUUCAUCCAUAAAAAUUUCAUGGGAGGUCCAAAGGUAAUUAAAUGACUUGUAGGCUUGCUGAAUUUCUUUGAAAGGCCCAAAGGCAAUUUAACAUUCACAAAAUAAUCUCUAAAUACUGUAAAGACAAAUCAAAUCCACAGUAGCAUUAGAGUUGAUUAAGCUAAGCAUUGGCAAAUAUUACUUUGAUUUUGCAUGCAAAAUUGGCAAAACCCCCUCUUACAUUAGAAAAACAACAUAAUCCAUGAAACAUUGAUGGCUCAAUACAAAUUUCAUCGAGAAAAAAGUCUCUUUGUUUUGGAGAACAUGAUAGUAAAGAUGUGGAGUUUCGUUCUUCUAAUUGGCCUCCUUUAGUUUUCCUUGAUCAACAACAAUUAGCCAAAAACACAGUUAGAUUAGAUUAUGAAUGAUACUUUCAACUAUGACAAUAUUAAAUACAAAACACUCUAAAUAAAUGGAAAGUAGCAAAUUAAGACCAUUGUGUUAUACUUGUCUCUGAAUUGAAAGAUUUAGAAGAAAAUAAAGAGAAAGAGUUAGAAAAUACUUGAAAACAGAUAAAACUUAUAUGUCAUUUAAAAUAAAAAAAAUUUCUAUUUAAGCCAUUUAAAAUUUUUAAGAUUUUUUAAAUUUUAAAAUGAUAAAGGUAAAACUAUAUUUUGGUACCCAAAAAUGAUAAAACUUUGAUUUAAUUCUUUAGAAAUUAUAAAAAUAUAGGCUAUUAAAAUGGUGAAAUUAUAUUUUUACUAUAUUAAAAAUUACAAUUUAAUUUCACUUGCUAAAAGGAUUUACUGGCUUCGCCCCUAAUAAAAUCUUUGGCAAAAGAUUAAAAUAAAAUUAUACCGUGAAUGGAAAAAGAAACUUAAGAAAACCCAAUCUCACAAAGAAAAUAACUUGUCCAAAAGCUACCAUAAACCGUAAUUCAUGCGAAGGCUUGUUGCUCAUUUUAUUGGUUUCCAUUUUGAUUUUGCAAAAGAAGUUUGAAUUUUGAAGAGAGCAAAAGAAAAAAAUAGUUUAUUAAUUUUUUACGAAUACCGACAUAUUAUAUACAUGAUUAAAAUUCCAGAAUAGAUUAAAAAUGUUGAAUUAAAGAUAAAAUUAAGUAUGAAUUAAGAACCACAAGUGUACUCAUUACUCACCAUCUCUGUUAAAAAUGUUGUUUAGCAACCUGUGUUUGAUUUUCUUCAGCUCAACCACAACAUCUUUCAUAUCUUUUCUUUCUUCUGGUAACUCAGCUGAACAAUUCAAAGCCAAUUCCAUGAUAGAUGAAAUACAAUUUGCUUUAACAACAAUGUACUCAUCCUCUCUUCUUAGUAAAUCAACAUCUGCAAUUUCUAUUGCUCCUUUAGGCAAUGAACUUUCCAUCCAAUGCCUUACAGUCUCUUCUUCAACAAAAACAUUAUCAGUUGGCUUUUUCUUUGUGAAAGUUUCUAUAAGGACGAUCCCAUAACUAUAGACGUCAGAUUUUAUAGAAACAAUUCCUGCUGAUCCAAAUUCUGCAUUUCAAGUAUCAUUAGAACAUCAUUCACCCUCAAUUAUUUCUAAAAUGCUUAUUCAAAUAUAUAUCCGCAUACACAAGAAACAAAAAUAUAAAAUGCAAAUUAGGAAAAUAAUCGUACAAAAACAAAAAAGAAUUCACCUGGUGCCAUAUACCCGAUAGUUGCAAGAGUCAUGGUUUGCUUCAUUACUUCACCUUCUCCCAACAAUUUGGCAACGCCAAAAUCUCCAACAUGUGCAACCAUGUCUUCAUCUAGUAAAAUAUUGCUUGGUUUUAUGUCACAAUGAAUUAUAGGUGUUGGAUGUCCAUUGUGGAGGUGUUCUAUAGCUACCGCAACAUCUAUCAUUAUGUCGACCCUUUGUAUGAUAUCAAGGAAACAAUUUUCAGAAUGUAACCAUUUCUCAAGGUUUCCAUUAGACAUGUAAUCAAGCACCAAGGCUUUGAAGUCAACACUUGAGCAGCAAGUAAUGACCUUCACAAUAUUACGAUGAACUAUAUUAAGCAUAACAUCACAUUCAAUGUCAAAACUCCUAAAUGCUCCCUCUGUUUGCAAAUUGAAAACUUUUAUUGCAACUUCCAUUCCAUCUGAAAGCCUCCCUUUAUAUACAUAUCCAAAACUCCCUGAACCAAGCAUAUUGCUUUCCUCAAAUCCAUUAGUUGCUCGUGAAAGUUCAGCAUGUGAAAUUCUUCUCGGUGUCUUCAAAGACAACAAAUCAUCUUUAACUGGUAGAGCUGUACUCCUUUGGCAUCUUCUAUACAUAAUAGUUAAGACUAUUAGUACUAGGACAAUACCAAUUGUUGGUAAACCAUACCUAAAAGCAUGUAAUAUAAUCAUUUGGGAGUUUUUGUGGAUGUCAUUUUUGCAAGGUGGGACUAGCAAUCUAGGUGGACCACAAAAUGCACAAUUAUUCAUGAAUGAUGUGCUAGAAAAGUUUGAAAAACAUCUUUUGCUGGGAAUUUCCCCUUCAAGUCUAUUGAAAGACACAUUAAAAUACUUUAGAUAUAAAAGCUUUUCCAAAGAUUUGGGAAUGACUCCAGAGAGAUUGUUAUUGCAUAAAUCCAAGAAUUCCAAACUAAUCAACCCAUCAAAUGAUUCAGGGAUAUGACCAUGUAGUAUAUUAUUUGAUAAAUCUAAUGAAACCAAAGUUUGAAGACCCCCAAAUGUGGAUAAGAUAUCGCCCAUGAGAAGAUUCCUUGAUAAAUUUAGUCUCAGUAGACUCCUAAAGUUUCCAACAUCAAUAGCAUGUGAAUUGUGAAGAUGGUUUGAUGAUAAAUCUAUUUCUAAGAUAUCUUUAAGAUUCCACAAAGUUGAGGGUAUUGUAGAACUCAAUUUGUUGGAAUCUAACCAAAGAUAUCUCAAAGCAGAAAUAUUACCCAAACAAGAGGGUAUGGGUCCAUGCAGCUUAUUCAACCCUAAAUACAUCUUGUAUAGUCUCUCCAAACCACAGAGGCUUUCUGGGAUAGGCCCUUCUAAUUUAUUAGAGGAAAGAUCUAGACCUUGCAGAUUCCGCAGUCCUCCUAUUGAUGCUGGAAUGAAUCCACUUAAUUUAUUAUGGUCAAGUUCUAAAACCAAUAAGUUGGUUAAGUUACCUAUUUCCAUAGGAAUAAUGCCUUGAAGCUCACAAUUAUAGGCAUGAAAGGAUUGAAGGGAUUUUGAAAGGUUCCCAAUAUAAGUAGGAAGAACGCCACUCAAUGGAUUUCCUGAAACACCUAUUUUUCUCAAAUUCCUACAAUUCGUCAAAGAAGAAAGAAAGCUCCACUCAUGAUCAGUAGCAGAUCCUGUGAUCAAAUUAUUGUCAGUGAUUUUGAGCACUUCAAGGUGUUUUAAGCUGCCAAGCAUUUUAGGGAUUGGGCCAGAGAAUGAGUUAUCUUCCAAGUCUAGUUUCUUAAGCAUGGAAGCAUUGGAGAUAGAGUAAGGAAUGUUUCCGCUAAGUUUAUUUCCCCACAGUAAAAGAAUCUGAAGCUUUGGAGCAUUGGUAAUGGGUGGUAAAUUACCUGUAAAAUAGCAUCUUUUAGAAAACAUAUUCAUUGAAUACCAAAUUCACAAAAUAUAUAAUACAUUAAAAUUAAAACUUUAAAACUUUAAAUCAAUUAAGAAUAAAAUUUUGGCAUGGAAAAUUGUGAUGAAAUCAAUUAGAAAGUUGAGACAUAAUAAGAAGUUUUGAGUAGUAAUUACUCAUGAUUUCCAUAGACAAAACAUAUAAUACACUGAUAAUUUUUUUAAAAAUAUUGUAAAACCUGAAAUAAAAUAAAAAAUAAAAGUUUGGCAUGAGAAUGUGGCAUCUAAUCAUUCUUAAAAAUAAGACUAACAUUGAAUAAUAAUUAGUUAUGAUUUGAGAAACAAAAAUGUUAAAGAUGUAAACUGGUAUGAUUUUUAUCUAUUGGGUUAAUUAUUUAUUUUUAUUAAAUUAUAUAUAGUGUAAAAUUUAAAGAUUAUUAUUUGCUCAAAAUUUUUGUAUUUUUCGUAUAUUUGAAAUUUAAUCUUUAUAUUUUUUAUUUUCUGUGAUUUAGUCUCUCUACUUUUUGAAUUGAAAAUUUUAAGUUUAUUUAUUAACACUGUUAAAAAGUUUUUGUGUUAGUAUGGCAUUUUGAAAAAUAAAAUAAACUUGAUAUCUAUGUUUUUAAUUAUUCCAAAUACUGUUUUACUAUUCCAAGAUAAAUUAUUUGUGUCUAGACCAAUAUCUUAAGAACUAUUGUUGCAUGUUUAAUUAUUCUAAAGAAUUGUUGAUUGAGUCUUAGUUGAAGUGCACUAUUCUCCUAUUUAUGAAUUGGGGAGUUGAUAAAGUACUAAAUUUUGAUAUAUUUUAAAAAAUUAAAAAUUUAUUAAAAUAUUUUUAUAAAAAUUAAUUGUACCAAAAUAUACAAUUUUAAUAUCAAAUUUUUAAUUUUUUUAAAAAUAUUAGCGAAUAUAUACUUUAUUUCAAGUUACACAAUUUUUACUAGUUUUUAACUUUUUUUUUAAAUUUUUAUCGUCUUUUAUAAUUUCAUAUAUUUUUUUAUAAUUUUUUACAAUAUUUACAAUUUCUAACAAUUUUUAAUAAUUUUAUUAUUUAUUAUAAAUUUAAAAAUUAACAAAUUUUUAUUUUUUUAAAACAAUUAUAUAUUUAUAAUGUAGUUAUUUUUUUAUAAUUUUUUUUGAAAUUUAAAGAUUUUUUUGGUUUUUUCUAGAUGAUGAUGCCAUCAUGAUGUCAUCAUAUGCCACAUGGCAAUUUAUAAUUAGUUGACUAUCUCAAUCUAUUUUUUUAACGUCCAAUGGACUAAAACAAGAACACCUGAUAAUGUUAGAGACUACACUAGGAAUGUUUGAUAAUAUUAGGUACUAAAGUGGGCAAAAAAAAUUAAGGACUAUAUUAAAAAUAUAUCUAUAAUAUAUAUAAAUGCAUGGAUUUUGAGAAACUUUUGAAAUGACAAAUAUAUAGUCUUUGUUUUUUUUUACUAUAUUAUUGAAUUUUUUAUUUUAAAUAUUUUUUUAUUACUUUUAAGAUUUAUCAUAUGUAUGGAUAAAAAUUUUGGUUUUACUAAAAUAUUUGGUUAAAUAAAUUCACUUUAUAAAAAAAUUUAGCAUCCUUAUAAAUAACAAUUUUGAUUCCAUUAAAAAAAUUAUUUAAAAAUAUAUAAUAAAAAUUUAAAAUUUAUAUUGAAUCACUUUAUACUUAAAUUAUUAUUAGAAACUUUAUCAUACACAUAUGUGUAUGAGAACCACGUUUUCAGAACUUAAAUUUGUGUUCUAAAAUAACUUAUGAUAAAUAAUUAAAUGUAUAAUUUGAAAUUAUAUUGAAAUAAAAAUAGAUUAAAUUGUAAGUAAAACAUAUAUAAUUUAAACAUAUGAAUACAUCAAAUUAAAAAUACUAAAUGAAUACAUUUAUUUAUGAUGAUGUUGUUGUCAAUUCAUAAGUUGGUGUCGAGUUAAUUUGUGACAUCAUAAUUUUAAGUGAUAAAUUUAAGGUUUUAUGUAUUGAUGUCGAUUCAAAUAUCACCAUAAUUUUUUUAAAUAAAAAACUAAAGCACCCUCAAAUAAUAUAACUUAUAUUAAAUAUGAAAGGGUAUUUUUGUAAUUUCUCUAACGAGUUGGUGCCCGGUUGACUCAUGACACCAACUCAAUCAAAAGCUUCAAUAAUAAUAUAGAUAUUCACGUUUAAAAAAAGUACUUUAGUUCGAAAUAAUUAUGUAACAAGUAAUUUUAUAAUUGAUGAAUAAUUUUAUAAAAAUAUAUUUAUAUGAUCUAAUAUAUUAUAUUUAUAUUAAUUAUAUAUCAUCUACAAACUUUGAAGAUCAAUUUAUUAAGUAUCAGGAAAAGAAAAAAUGAAAUUGAAUUAACACUAAAUCAAUUUUUAGAUUUUGUACAGAUGAUUUAAUGAUGAUAAAAACAUUAUUAGCACUAUUUUUGAAUUAACAAAAAAUUAGUGAUAUAUUUUAAUUAUAUUUUUUAUUUUUUAUUUUUAAUAAUAUUUUUUUAAUUAUAUGAAGUAAAAUUAUAUUGUAUACUAAAUAUGGUACAUAUACUUUAAUUAAAACUUGAAAAAGUAUUAUAUAAAUUAAUAUAUUUUAAUUAUAUUCAACCAUUUGAAUAACAAAAUUAAAAAAAAACUAAUUAGAAUUAUUUACUUUUUAAAGUUUAAUGGAAAAUAAAAAAUAAAAAAUAAAUCAAUUCAUAUAAAUCUUAUUGUUUAUUAUCAGAUUAAAAUGAUAAAAGUAUAUGACAUACAUAGAAGAAACAAAUUCAACACCAUGUUUUUGGAGUUUGGAAAAAAUUAAAGUGAAAAACCUACCUUCUAAACUGUUGUUAAAUAGAUCUAUUUCUUCGAGCGUAGUUGAAUUAAAAAUACUUGAUGGAAUCUGACCUGCACACAUAGUCGAAAAUUGAAGUGAAAUCAAACUCUUUUGUGAAAAAAAUAUUACCAGAUAAUUCAUUCCAACCCAGGUAAAGCCCUUCAAGCUUGGGAAGAUGUUGACACAUAUCAUUAGGCAAACUACCUGAUAGGCUAUUGUUGGAGAGAUUAAUGGUCUUCAAAGAAGAAAUGUUGAAGAUCGAAGUUGGAAUCUGACCUAUAAGGCCUUUAAUUGCUCUAAUACUAAGCCUUUCCAAACUAAGAAGAUUACCAAUUUCCUUAGGAAUUAGACCUGCAGACAGUCGAAAAUUCAAUGUUUUUCAGCAUAUGUUUUUCAUCAAAUGAAAUAAAAAGUUCUUCCUUUUGUUAUCUAUUACAAAUCAAACUCUUUUAUAAAAAAAAUACUUUAAAUUCAAGAAAUCAAGGAAAUUGAUUACCUUCUAGAUUAUUAAACCCCAAAUAUAAUUCUUGGAGUCGUGUUAGAUUUCCAAUACUUCUUGGAAUGAUCCCCAUAAAUUGAUUAUAGGACAACGACAAAAUAUUAAGGUUGUUGCAUUUGCCCAUGCCAAAUGGAAUGUUACUAGAAAACUCAUUGCUAUCCAAGUAAAGCCCUUCAAGCUUGGGAAGAUGUUGACACAUAUCAUUAGGCAAACUACCUGAUAGGUUAUUGUUGGAGAGAUCAAUGGUCUUCAAAGAAGAAAUGUUGAAGAUCGAAGUUGGAAUCUGACCUGUAAAGCCUUUAAUUGCUUUAAUAUUAAGCAUUUCCAAACUAAGAAGUUUAAAUCAAUUAAGAAUAAAAUUUUGGCAUGGAAAAAUGUGAUGAAAUCAAUUAAAAAGUUGAGACAUAAUAAGAAGUUUUGAGUCGUAAUUAGUCCUUCUGAUUUGUAUAGACAAAACAUAUAAUACACUAAUAAUAAUUAGUUUGGCAUGAGAAUGUGGCAUCUAAUCAAUCUUAAAAAUGAGAUGACACUGAAUAAUAAUUAGUUAUGAUUUGGGAAACAAAAAUGUUAAAGCCAUUGCUUUUAAUGUAAACUAGUAUGAUUUUUAUCUAUUGGGUUAAUUAUUUAUUUUUAUGAAAUUAUAGUGUAAAAUUUAAAGAUUAUUUUUAUCUAUUACAAAUCAAACUCUUUUAUGAAAAAAAUAUUUUAAAUUAAAGAAACAAAGAAAAUUCAAUAUCUUCUAAGUUAUUCCACUCCAAAUAUAAUCUUCAGUGAAGAAAUCUUGAAGAUGGAAGAUGGAACCUUACCAGAUAAUUGAUUGAAUCCCAAGCUCAAGGACUCUAGAUUAGACAUGUUAACAAGUGUUUCAGGGAUUGUGCCUAUAAAGUUAUUAUUUUUCAUUUUCAGCCUUCGAACUCCCUGUAAGUUCCCAAGCCAUGAUGGAAUUUCCCCAUUAAGACUGUUGUAUUUUAAUCGAAGGAUCCUCAAACGAUGCAAUUGGCCCAAUUCUUUAGGGAGAUGGCCAUAGAAAUGGUUUCUACUCAAGUCGAGAGAGAGUAGAAAUGAAAGAUUUCCAAGGUGUGGAGGGAUACUACCCCUAAGAUUCAUGCUUUUAAGUUUGGAAACAAAUUCAACACAAUGUUUUUGGAGUUUGGAAAAAAUUAAAGUGAAAAACAUACCUUCUAAUUUGUUGUCAGAUAGUCCUAUUAUUUCGAGCAUAGUUGAAUUAAAAAUACUUGAUGGAAUCUGACCUGCACAUAUAGUUGAAAAUUGAAGUGAAAAACAUACCUUCUAAACUGUUCAACUAAAAAAACUUUAAGCAUAUUUGUUUUUCCAUCAAAUUAACUAUUUUGCCUUGAAUGAAAUAAAAUGCUCUUACUUUUGUUAUUUAUUACUAAUCAAACUCUUUUCUAAAAAAAAACUUUAAAUUAAGAAACUAAGAAAAUUCGGUACCUUCUAGGUUAUUAAACCCUAAAUAUAACUUCUGGAGUCGUGUUAGAUUUCCAAUACUUCUUGGAAUGAUACCCAUAAAUUGAUUAUAGGACAACGACAAAUUUUUAAGGUUGUUGCAUUUGCCCAUGCCAAAUGGAAUGUUACCAGAUAAUUCAUUCCAACUCAGGUAAAGCCCUUCAAGCUUGGGAAGAUGUUGACACAUAUCAUUAGGCAAACUACCUAGGUUAUUGUUGGAGAGAUCAAUGGUCUUCAAAGAAGAAAUGUUGAAGAUCGAAGUUGGAAUCUGACCUGUAAGGCCUUUAAUUGCUUUAAUAUUAAGCAAUACCAAAUCAAGAAUAUUACCGAUUUCCAAACCAAGAAUUUAUAGAAGAAACAAAUUUAACACAAUGUUUUUUGAGUUUGGAAAAUGUUAAAGUGAAAAACAUACCUUCUAAUUUGUUGUCAGAUAGUCCUAUUAUUUCGAGCAUAGUUGAAUUAAAAAUACUUGAUGGAAUCUGACCUGCACAUAUAGUUGAAAAUUGAAGUGAAAAACAUACCUUCUAAACUGUUCAACUAAAAAAACUUUAAGCAUAUUUGUUUUUCCAUCAAAUUAACUAUUUUGCCUUGAAUGAAAUAAAAUGCUCUUACUUUUGUUAUUUAUUACUAAUCAAACUCUUUUCUAAAAAAAAACUUUAAAUUAAGAAACUAAGAAAAUUCGGUACCUUCUAGGUUAUUCAACCCCAAAUAUAAUUCUUUGAGUUGUGUCAGAUUUCCAAUACUUUUUGGAAUGAUCCCCAUCAAUUGAUUAUAGGACAAUGACAAAAUUUUAAGGUUGCUGCAUUUGCCCAUGCCAAAUGGAAUGUUACCAGAUAAUUCAUUCCGACUCAAGUAAAGCCCUUCAAGCUUGGGAAGAUGUUGACACAUAUCAUUAGGCAAACUACCUGGUAGGCUAUUGCUGGAGAGUUUAAUAAUCUUCAGAGAAGAAAUAUUGAAGAUGGAAGAUGGAACCUGACCAAAUAAUUGAUUGAAUCCCAAGUUCAAGAUCUCUAGAUUAGACAUGUUAACAAGUGUUUCAGGGAUUGUGCCUGUAAAGUUAUUAUUCUUCAUUUCCAGCCUUCGAACUCUCUGUAAGUUCCCAAGCCAUGAUGGAAUUUCCCCAUUCAGACGGUUGUAGCUUAAUUGAAGGAUCCUCAAACGAUGCAAUUGGCCAAAUUCUUUAGGGAGAUGGCCAUAGAAAUGGUUGCUACUCAAGUCGAGAGAGAGUAGAAAUGAAAGAUUUCCAAGGUGUGGAGGGAUAGUACCCCUAAGAUUCAUGCUUGUAAGAUUCAAAGCUAUAACUCUUUUAUGGAGGAUGCCACAAGAAACACCAAUCCAAUUGCAAACAGAGGUUGAGGCCGUCCAAUUGUUUGCCAAGACAUUUUGAGGACCGGCAAUGCGAUCCUUAAACUCGAGAAGUGCAAACUGAUCGGAGUUGAGAUUCCUGACUGUCAUACCCCAGCAAAGUCCGGAACAUGGUAUGAAUAAAGCUAAAAGAAGAUGAAAGCAAGUGUUGUAGUUCAUGAUAGCAAGACGGAAUAAGCCAAGAAAAUAAAAAAAAGUAGGACAAGGGAAGUUGAGUUGAUAAAAUAGUUUGGAUGAUGAAGAAAAGCCCAGAGAGCAUGCUUUAAUAUGUUUUGAAGAAAUUUCAAAAUAAAUUUCAAAAUAAAUUUCAAAAUAAAAAUUUAAAAAGGAAAGCAAAGUUUUGAAGAAAUUUCAAAAUAAAUUUCAAGUCUUCUUCUUUAAAAAAUACGUACAAAGAGCGAAUUUUCAAAAUUUUUCCUAAAUUUUCUUCACAUUACUCCACAUAAUCCAUUAAAAAAACUUAAAAAAUAUAUUUUAUUAAUUACUAUACAUUCUUUUAUUUUCAGAAUAAUAAAUUGUUUAAAAUUUGCUAUUAGUCCCUAUAAUUUAAAAGUUAAAAAAAAUUCAAUCCUCCUACUUUUCUAAUUUAAAAAUUUUAGUUCAAUCAAUUUUAAUUUUAAAAUCUCUGUAUAAAAGGUGUUUUUUUUGUGACCGAUCACACUUAACCAAUAUUUAAAAAUUAAUAAAAAAUAUUUUUUUUUGAAAUUUAAAGUGAUCUAAAAACAUAUUUUUAAGUGCUUUGGACCGUCUAUUGUUGAUUUCCUUAUUAUAUUAAGUGUUUGCAAUCACUCCUAAUAUAUUGUGCUUGAGUUGUGACAAAGCCGAUCAUCAAAUUGCCAUAAUGAUCUAUUGAUGCUGAAAUUGAAGUUUUUGUUAUAUUGAUAGAGCUUGUCCUUCAACGCGUACAACGUGUUUGUUAUUUUUCUCCCUUCAAAUUGUAUGAUCUUAUUCAUUAAAUGAAUUAAUGAAUUUCCCUUUUAAAAAGAUAUAUUUUUAAAAAUUAAAUACUUUAUAAAAUAUUUAAAAAUUUGUAAGCCUUAAAACAAUCAACAAAAUAUUUUUGAAAUUUUAUAAAUAUAUUUUAAAACUAUAGUAACGCUACAAAAUAUAUAUAUUUACUAAUUAUAUGCACCUUUUUUAUUUUUAUUUCCUAACAUAUCAUUAUUUUCAACACUAUCGUAAUCCUGUUUUGAUAAUUCCCUUUCCAUACAUCCUUUUUCUACAUAGAAUUUCAAAAGAAAAUGUGAAUUAAUGUAAACGUGAGAAGACUUAAUUACAUUUAUUAGUUUAUCAAUCAAAACUUAAUUAGAAUCCAUCAAUAUUUCACACAUCAAAAACCCAAACAUAAAAUUCACUUUUAAAUUAUUUGAAGAUACAUUUGUAUUAUAGGAAAUCGAUUAAAUUAGUCUUUUAUUAUUAAAUGUAUUAUUUUAAUCUUUGUAUUAGGUAUGAAUGAUAUCUCCUAAAUUGAAGCCAGAGCUAUUCUUGAAAGACUGAAAUUAGGAUUCAGAUGUGUUGAGAUGGAAAGUGACAACACAAUGUUGAUUGAAACUAUUUGUAACAGGUUGACUACAAUAAGUAGUGCUGCCGAAGUAAGACAGAUUCACGAUUGGUGUUCCAAAAAUUGGGAAGUCAAAUUUAGACAUAUUCAGCGGAAUGCCAAUAAAGUUGUUGAUUGCAUAGCUAAGGCAAAUGGAGGCGUAAUUGAGCAGCUGGUUAUCUUGGAAGAUCCUCUGCAUUAUGUGAGAUGGUAGCUUGAAGAAGAUAUUAGACAGUCACUAGUGACUGAUGAUAAUUUUCAUUUGGACUGAUGAGCGCUUAAUUUUCUAAGCUUAUGUUCAACAAAAAAAAUUUUAACUACGUUUAAAUUGUAAUAGAGUUAACAUUUAGUGUUUAAAAAAUAUCUUAAAAAUUAUUAUUUUUUCCAAUUGCAGUUCAAUUCCACAAAUAUCGACGAUGAAUCCGGACAUAAAAAUUAUAGAAAAAAAACACAUCUAUUAUCAAACCAACAAUCCAUGUCUAAACUUAAAUUAACAAAAUUUGCCACGCAACGCCCAGUACACUAUUAUAUAUAUACUAGAUUUAUUCUAGAUGCACAUGUUUUAUUAUAUUUAAAAUUUAAAAUAUAUGGUUGACUAAGUGUUAGUUGAGUUAGUAUUGCUAUUAUUGUCAGUGUAAGGAAAUGUGAGUUUAAUUGCGCUCAAAUGUGUUUUAUCCUCCAAUUCAAGGGUUAGGAAAAGGUUAUUGAUAAUUAAGUUAUACCAACUUUUAUGAUAUUAAAAAAAGGAUUUAUAAAUAAUAUAAGGAAAAGAAAGAAAGAGAAACAUAUUCAUAUUGAUGGGCUCUUUCAAUAUUAGACUUUUUUUUCUAUCACAAGUAAAAAUAUCAAAGGUGAUAAUAAUUAAAUUAUAAAAUUUAAAUUGAGAAAAUAGGGGAUUGAGUUUAUAAGUUUUAAAGUAUAAAGAAUGAAUAUAUAACUAACAACAUAUUUUAACCACAUAAUAAAAGUAGUUAUGGUAAAAUAAUGACCUGAAUAAUUUUAAACGUCUCAUCCUUGCAAAAAUGAAAUAAUAGAAAAGAAAUAAGUGUUGGGUGUAGUGGCAAUGUACAUCAUACUUCUAAGGGGAGAUUAGGGUUUUAGACAAGGGAAGAAUUUUAAACUUGCUCUUUUCUCUAGAACUCAACGCAAACCUCAAAUUUAUCUUUUUAAAAGAAUUUAAAAAUAUGUAUAUAAAAGGUGAUUUUUUUACCGAUCACACUUAACAAAAUUUUAAAAAAAAAUGAAAUUUAAAGUGAUCUAAAAACAUAUUUUUAAGUGCUUUAGACCAUCCUGUGCUGAUUUCUUUAGUAAUUUGAUUUGUUCAAUAUAGAUUUUGGUAACUUAAAACAAAAUUAAUAAAAAAUUAUUUUUUUAGAUAUCUUUUUAAUGUUUAAUAAUAAGUUAAUUUAUAAAAUAUACUUUCAUUGGACACAGGGCCUCCAAGGCGGUGAACCACUAAUCAAAUUAAUUUUGAGAUACUUAAAUUUGUUUUCAUCAAUUAAGAAAUUAAAAAAAUUGUUGAGACCUCAUGAUUAUGUUUUAUAAUUUCAGGCUUAUCAACUAUUUUGAAAAACAACAAAACGUCUUACACCAAAAACUAAAAAAUAAAAACGUCGACAUUAAAUUUGUUGGCAUGCAAUCAAUUUUAAGAUGGUUUUUGGAGUUAUAUAUCACCUUAGCAUUGACUUACUUUUCUACAGUUUGUCUUCUCCAACAAGUUAAAUAUUUCAAUUUUAACAACAUUGACAGGUCUUUGGGGUAGGGUCGAGCAAAAUUCAAUAAAAACAGAUGAUAUAAGUUGAGUUGGCUCGGCCAAGUCGAGUCGAUUUGUUCAAAUUAUUUAAAUUAGUAAAUUUUAGGGUGCAAUUAGAAUUUUUUGUUUUGAGAUGCUAAUUAGAUUAAAAAAUUUCAGUUGCUAAAACAAAAAAAUUGUAUUUAAAAAGGCAUAAAUUAAAUAAUUAAGUUUUUCGAGUUUCCAUUUAAUCAAAGGUUAAAAGGACUAAAUUGAAGCUUUUUAUUUUUAAGAAAGGCUGAAUGACAAAUUGCCCAAAGCCCAUGGCCCUAGCUAUACAACUAACUUUUCUAUGAUUAGUCCUUGGUUUGCUUUGGGUGAAAUCUUCCAACUAGCCUCAUCCUUGGUUUUACUUUCCAACAAUUAGUGUAUCGCGGGUUUUGUUUUCUUUAAAAAAUAUUUGUGGAUAUUAGGAGAUAAUGAAAAUUAUUUUACUAUGAAAUUUUAAUAAAACUGGAAAAUAAGUAAUUUAUUUUAAGAGAUCACAAUUAAACGUUAGAUUUCCCCUUUUUAAAUUAUAAAUUUUUUUUUGACAAUUGCAUAAUAUUUUGAGCGUUGUAGGAAUGCCAUAAUAUAACCUUCCCUACGCAUAAUCGACUCUUGAGCAUGAUGGAUCCUAGACCUUCUCCUCUAUUCUCGUACCACAAAUUGCUUCAAGUGUGGGUUCGAACAAUCACAAAUUAAACGCAAAACCAAAAAUGAUUUAUUACUUUCAAUAGCAAAGUAAUUCUCUCUCAAUAGAAACCAAUAGAAUUGUAAUUCCUAGAAAAUAAAAUUUAUUUUUUGAAAAUAUAUUCUCACUACUUUCUAGCAGAAUAACAAUAUGUGAAACUUAUGUCUUGUGUUAAUAGCUCUACCAGUACUAUCUAUUUAUAGGGAGAGACACGAGAAUCCUGGUUGAAUUAGUAAAACACGAAUAAUAUUUAUUUCAUAGAAAACAAUAUUCCACCCUAAGUAGAUCAAGUUUGUAUGACGCAUGGAUCAAAGCUCAAUCUAGGAGAAAAAAAACAAAGGAAUUUUCUUUGUAAAGAAAAUUUGAGAUUGUACUAUUUUCAAAGUUAUAAAUAAAAUUAUACGCCAAAUUUUCAAGUCAAUUUUCAACUCCAAUUUUGUAUGCACAAAUUUCUAAUACACUUGGUGGGACAUUCUUUGACUUUUAUCUAUUCUCUCAAAAAGUUAAAGUUCAAAGUUACAUUAAACUCAAAGAAGAUAUUCAUUAGUAAACCACCUCACAAGCCUGCUCAAGCUAAUCCUACAACUCGUUCCACUUCAUCAUCAAACACCAAUAUUCUUGCUUAUCCUUAUGGAAUUAAACAGUCUCAUUUUCUGCAUUUUGGGUACACACUUAGUUUUGUUUGAUGCUAAAACAGUCCCCGAGCACUCCAAAACCUAUAAUUGAACAAAUAAUACUAAUUUAAUCUUACAUAACAUGAUCCCAAAUUGAAAUUGUAUCGAGGUUUUAACCCAUAAGUGACUAAACCUUACCUUCAACCGAUGAACAGUAAUUCCCACACAAACUAAGACUCCAAUUGGAGAUUACGAGCCAUUGAAUCCUCCCCUAAUUGGCAUAAACAAAACACUUCAAAAGAAAGUUAACAAAUGGAGACAAAUCACUUAUCUAAAACUUACCGAACGAUCACAGAAAAACGUGGAGUGACACGAGGCAGAGUGGGAAAAGAAAAAUCAAGAGGAUGAAGGGUGAAAGAGAGCAAAAAUUCGGUAGCAAUGAAGAGAAAAACAGCAAGAAAGUGGAGGGAUUUUAGGGAAAGUAAAAAAAAAGAUGAAUAGAAUAUUUGAUAACUACCCAAUCCCUUAUUUCUCUCUAUCAAACUCCCCACUAAAUCCACUACUCGAAUUUUUAGUCCAUCUCAAACUCUCCUGGACGCACGAGCAAAAAAUAAUGACCAUGCCAAAAUUUAAACAAAAGACCUCCUUCACACCAACACUCCACUUAUCCACCAGACCAAUAGGCUCAUUCUUUUAAUUAUUUUCCAACUUUUACUUAAAAGCCUACUGACCAAAGAUAGGGCUUAUUCAUAAAAAUACCAAAUUUUGCCCAAGACCUGGCUUGAACUUGGGACCUCUCAAACACACCCAGAACACAUAACCACUAAAGCAGACAGAAAUUUUGUGUCACACAUUCACAAUACCCAAAAUUAAAAUUUUAGGGCGUUACAAAAACACAUUAAACAAUAUCGCAUAAAACAAUCACAGUCAGAUAACAAUUCAGAAUGUCGAUUUUACAAUUUAACCACCAAUAGUAUCAUAGUAUUCACAGUUGUAAUUUCAGAAUAUCAAAUUUCCACAUCAUUCACAAUAUUCACACAUAUAUAAAUAUAUCAUAAUAGAAUUCUAGAUUUGUAUGCACAUGAUUUAGAAGAUGCCAUACAAUUUUGGGUUUUAACAGAAUAAAUCCUACCCCACAUUACAUACCAUAAUGGGAGUUCCCCUAAACUCCCUUCUCCAACACACUAGGUUGUGGAUAAACCACUAUUGGUUCACAAAUAAUAACUGUCAUUUGGCUGUGGACACAUAGCAAGUCCCCGCAAUUGGAUUCUAGAUUUGGUUGUGGAUUCACAGCAAAAAAAUCCUACAAAUGAAGCCUGCUUUUGCCUGUAGAUUAUACAACAUAUACCCGCAGUUGGAAUCUGUCUUUGGCUGUGGAUGCAGUGUAACACCUCAAACUCGACCUAGACGUUAUGGCUAAAUCUUAAUGAUUUACUUUAACUCGCUAGAAAGCCCACGAAUUUACUUUAAAAUCAUGUGGUUAAACUAGUGUUCACUUUGAUAAAUCGUUUUCCAGUUUUAGAGAAAAUUCUUGUUAAAACUGUUACUUUAUUACAAUAAAACAUUGAAGUAAUUGUAUCAUUUUGUAGUGGAAUCUACUAAGCUAUAAGGUUUUGAAAAUCGUGAUUUAGUUUGAAACAAAUCAUUUUGCAAAUAGAAAUUUAAUACUACUUAAUUUGGAAAAGCACGCUAAAACGAAAGCAAAGUCCAAAAUAAUUUACGGUUUGAAAUUCUAAAAAGCCCAAAUUAGUCAUAAAGUCUAUUUAAACCAAUUUAUCGAAAGUGUAACACCCUAAACCCGGCCUGUAUGUUAUGGCCAAAUCUAGAUGUGUUACGAAAAAAAGUUUAUAAAACGACUUCCUUGUUAUUGGCAAAUCAUCGUAGCCAUUAUUACUUAGUAUAUCUGAUUUGUUUGGAAAACUUAUUGAUAUACUUAUUUGAUUUAAAAUCGUUGCUCACUUACGCCUUUUUAUUAAACCAAAUAUUUUGCAGCGGAGUUUCUUUAAAACAUCAUAUUUUGGAAAAUCAAAUUGUUUCUUGAAAAUCGUUAUUUUAGAAAAGUUGUCAUUUUCAGAAAAAUUAUUUUAUCAGUUGUUAUGCUGAGAAAACAAAAUAAAAUCCAAAACCAAAAAUAGUCCCAAAAAGUCUAGAGAGUCCCAAAAUGACAAUACUCUUAAAACUAGACAAGUUUAAACUAAUUUUAAAAGAAUGAAAUUUUACAGAAAUGUGGACACCACUGAGCUUCCGUCGCACCGACCCACCUAAAUCUGAGGGUUACUUGAACAGAAUAAACAAACAGAGAGUGAGUUUUGAAACUUAGUGUCUAACGCGUAUAUAAACAAAAAUUCAGAAUCAAUCUCAUGCAGAACAGAUACAAGUGUAAACCUUUUAUAAAAUUAGAAUUAUACAGAUACAAAUAUGCAACAUCCUACCCUCAUCCUCUACACACCAACUCCGACCAUUCUAUCACACCACGUGGGGUAUAAAAUACCCACCCAGCCCUACACACCGUAUAGUAUUUAUAUGACACUUUUUGGAAUAAUCGCAGCAGAGUUGCCAGUAUAUAGGCGAGAUAUCACCUCACACAGAACACUUCCUCCUCAUAAUACAAAUCCCGCCCCAUAGCCAGAUACAGACAAAAUAUCAUGUAAAAUAAAUUAACAGAUACUAGAGUUAACAUAUCACGCAUGAGCGUAUAAUAGAUAUUACACAUGCUUAUGCAUAACAAAAUAGAUCAUACAUAUUGUAUUCCAUAAUACUCAUAUAAAUGUUAUUUACGUCAAUCUCAAUCUAAUAGAGUAGCUGAUUUCAUGCUUUAACUCUUAUACCACACAUACAGACCCUAUAGAAGGCCCACAGUUGAUCGAGACAACAUGUAUGUCCCUAGGGAAAAAAUUUGUAAUUUGGGCCCAUAUGCAUGUAUGAGCCCACACACCCAAAAUGGCCUUGCCCAUGUGGCUCACCUACCUAGCACUCAGCCCAUACGGUCCAAAAUGGCCUAGGUCGUGUGUCACACACAGCCGCAUGUUGCACACAGCCUACCACAUAGCGAGUCACAAAACCGUUUGGAGUUGACAAGCCUAAUUUUUGGCUUUCGUCAAUCGUCAUUUUCUUACGUUUUCAUUACACACUUGGUUUGAUUCUGACCCAAAAGCAACCCUAAGUCCACCGAAACCUAAAAAUAGCAUUCCAAUGCCCAAUUUCAGUGAACAUUUACAAAACUUAAACAAAAACUAUCCAAAAACAUAGCCUCACAAUAGCAUCCAAUGCACUCGCACACUUACCGUCAACGAAUAGGAAACACCCAACACUCAAUUCGUUGGCGGAGCACCAAUUAUGAUAAUGCAAAAAUUUUAUGGAUUCUCAACACUAUCGAUCCAAAUGUAAGAUUGAUGCUUUCCAAUUAUGAUAAUGCAAAAAUUUUAUGGGAUGGUUUACAUGAAUUUUUGUUGUUGUCAACGAUCAAUGUAUUCAAUAAUUAAAAGAAAAUAUUAGUCGUUGUUAGAAAACCAAUACUAUGAGUGUUGUAGUUUAUUUCAGUAAAUUAAAGGUUUUGUGGGAUGAACUAGACAAUCAUGAACAAUUGAUUUAUUGCAAGUGUGGACAAUGUUUAUGUAACUUAGGGAAGACGGAUGAACAAUGUCGUGAGCAUGAUCGACUUCAUCAAUUACUUCUUGCUCUCUAUUCUAAUUGUUAUGCUCAAACUAGGUUUACAUUGUUUUACCAAGAUCCUUUGCCUUCCUUAAAUCAGGCAUUCCAACAAAUUACUUAGGAGGAACAUGUACGUGGAAUUACACUGAUUAAGGAAGAGAAGUCUGAUAUUUUAGGCUUUGCUUUGCAUACAGAAGGUCAUAACAAAGGCCGAGCUAAUUGUAUUGAUAAGUCAACCUUGUUGUGCACUCAUUGCUAUCGCAAAAGGCAUGAGAUGGCUACCUAUUUUGAAUUACAUAGCCACUUGGAUUGGCGGCUUAAGAAGUAUGGGAAGCCAGAGAAGAAAAGUGAUGAUCGUGGUGGUAAGACAAGUGCACAUCUUCCACGUAAGUAUUUUAUUUCAAAGGAUCACAAUUAAACAUUAGAUUUCUCAUUUUUAAAUUUUUUUUAUUUUUUUAACAACUACGUAAUUAACGAGUACCAAUUUUGGGUGUUGUAGGGGUUCUAUAACUUUCCCUAUAUGUAAUCGACUCUUGCACCCUCUUUUUUUCUCUAGAAUUCAAUGCAAACCUUAAAUUUAUCUUUUUAAAAGAAUUUUAAAAUCUCUUUAUAAAAGACGAUUUUUUUAGGUGACCAAUCACAGUUAAGAAAAACAAAUCGGUGGCAACUCCUUUCUAAUAAAUGUAAAAAACUUUUUAAACAAAAUAAGGUUGAAAUAAUCUAGUUGUCGUUAUACUUUGAUAAAAUUUUAGAUUUAGUCCUUAUACUUAAAAGGUUAAAAAUUAAGUCUUGUUUUUAUUUAAAAAUCUUAGUCCUAUCGUUAAUAUUGUUUUUUUUUUGUCAAAAUUUGUCAAGUUGACAUAUUAAUUAGGUUUCUCUUAUAUAUCGUGGUAUAUGACUAACACAAAAUAAACAAGUUGACAAAUUCUACAAAAAAUAUCAAAGAUGAUAAUAGUUUAAUUAAAAUUUUUAAAUUAAAAAAGUAAGGGAUUAAAUUUAUAACUUUUAAAGUAUAAUGAAUGAAAUUAUUGAAAUACAAGAACUAACAACAUAUUUUAAAAAUAUUACUAGUAAAUUAUAUAUCUACAACAAGAAUUGUAACCUCUUAUAUUAUAUUCUUGUAUUUAUUUUUGCAUCUUUCAUAAUAUGAUUUAUUAAUUUUAAUAUUUUUAUAGAAUAAUAUGCUUUAAAUAGUUUUUUGUAUCAUUUAUAAAAAUUAUAAUAAACUUACAAAAUAAUUUAAUGAUAUUUAAUUAUUAAUCGAAAAAAAUGAUAUCAUAUAUAUUAUGUAUAUAUUAAGAUUCCAAAUCAUUAAUUAUAUAUCUACGCAUUAUAAUAAAUUCAUCUUUCAAAAUUUUCCUUAUAAUUAAAGCAUAAAUUAUAUUUAUAAUAAUAUAAAUAUAUUCUAUCAUAAAUAUUCUUUCAAAUAUUUUUUAAUGUUUAAUAAUAAGUUAAUUUAUAAAAUAUUCUUUCAGUAAAUUAACGUGAUGAGAUCGUUAGGUGCUUGGAUUUGGUGAAGGGGGAUGAAGAGAAAAGGGAUGGAAGUGAAUAAAAAUGUUGAGAAAUGGAAAGGGUUAGCGAGGGAAGCCGCCAUGAAAGGUGGUUCAAUGGAUAUGAACCUUCAAGCUUUUGUGGAUGAUGUUACUCAAGGUUGUUGCAAGUAAAUUUAAAAAUGUUUUUAAAUUAUUUUUUUGUUAAAAAAACAUUUUUUACUUUUUUAUGUGGCAUGCCACAUUAUCAUACUAUCAUGUGACAAUUUCUGGUGAUUUCUGUCCGCAACAUUAGUCAAAUCAACUGUUAAAUCGUUCAACUCACAGUUUUUGUUAAAUGAAGAGGUUAAUUGAUUUUUUUUUGGAAUCAUUGAGUACUCAAUUGGUGCACUUUUUUCAUAAAGGCUAAAUUAAUUUUUUAAUUUGUUAUUGUUGAAGGCUAUAGCAAUAAAAAAAAUUGAGGUAAAAAAAUAUUAGAGCUAAAUUUGUCAUUAUGCCUAAAAUGUAAAACCAAAUUUUUUUGAAAAUGAAAAAAAAUGGAAAAUCGCAAAUUCCGUCGCAUAUUUUUGCUUAAAAUUAUAGUUUUGGUCACCAAUCUUUUGAAGUAAAUAUAGGUCACCAAUAUUAUCAAUUUGUUACUUUGUAAUAACUCACCUUAAGUUAUACCCCGACGCACGAAAGGAUUAAAUGACAUUGGGAUACCAUCAAACUUGUAUCUUAAAUACACAUUUACCCCUAAUUUUAUCACAUUCUUCUUAAUUGGUAUUUAUGGUUUAGAAAAUUUUACAAAUAUAUUAUUUUUUAAGAAAUUAUAAGAAGAUUACAAAAAUUCCAAAAUAAUAUAAAAAAGCUAAGGAAAACCUAGAAAUUCAAAAAAAAAAACGUGGACAUUGAAUUUGCUGUUUCACAUUAAAUUUUUGGAGAAGUAGAAUUUUCUAACUUAUUUUCCAUCAACUUCACUUCAAUUUUCAAUCACAAUCUAUUGCAUUCAAGAGCACCACAUCUUUUGGGAUGAAACAAACCUCUCAAUUUUAAGAUAAACGGAAUCUAUUGCAUUCAAGAGCACCACGUCUUUUUGGAUGAAACAAAGCUCUCAAUUUUAGGAUAAACGGGUCUUUAGGGUUAUAAAUUGAGGUCCUUUUCCACAAUUGCGGGUGAUUCGUUGAUAAUAACCUCAACAUUUCUGUAUCACAUUUAAUUCAAUUCCACAUUCAAUUUUUAGUUUUUAGAGAGAUGAUUGGGUUACAACAAUGGUUUGAAGUGAAGAUAUUUCAAAACAAGAUGAAUACUCUACCAAUAGUCAUAAUUUAAAAUGCAGGUUAUGUUUCAUUUCAGCUAAGUUAAAUGUUAAGAUUGAGGUUAAACCUUUUAGAGGUUGCUCGCAAAAGGAUCAAACCUUUAUAAAAUUGUUUAAAUGAAGGUCAAACCUCUUAAAAUAGACAAAUAAGGGCCUAACCUUUUAAAAGGUGUUCAAAUAAGGGUUUCUCAAAUUUUGUAUAUCAGGUUAUGUAUUUUACUCUAAACACAUCGACAUUUACCUAUUUUUUCUAUAAAUUGGGUUGAAGUGCAUGAAAAAACCUUAUUUAAGCACUUCUGUAAAGGUUAAACUCUUAUUUGACUAUUUUGAAAGGUUUGAUCCUUAUAUAAGCAACCUCUAAAAGAUUGAGUACUAAUUUGACAAGAUUGAGAAAUACCUAAAUUUGUUUUCAUGAAUCAAGAAAAUAAAAAAGAAAUGUUGAGAAAUAUUUUAGAGAUUCUUAGCUUUGACAAGUUCCCUCCAUCAUCUUCCUGCCUCCAGUCCCACCUCUUCUCUUAUGCUCCUCCCAGCUUCUUGCUUUUUGUGUGUUGAAAUUUCAAAGGAACAAAAUAUCAACCUACAUCAUAAGGCACGAUUGCCAGAACUUUACUUUCUAGCCUGUCGAUCCGAUCCAAUGAAAGAAGAACAAAGAGUCUCAAGAUCUGUCAACUUUAUUUCAUUUUCAUUUUCUUUGUCAUUUUCUAUGUUUCAUGUCGAAUACAAUGAAAGAACAUAGAAAAAUGUUGCCUAUUUAUUUCCCAAUCAUCAUGAAAUUACUUGCCAUAGACUUAGAAUUUUCUCACCAAUUUUCAAGCAAUCUGACAUGAUUUCUCAAUCACAAUUAAUUGAAUUCAAGAUCUUUUUAGAUGACACAAACAUUUCAAUUUUAACACAAACCAAUAUUUAGGUUGUACUUCAGUGCUUGACAAGCACUUUCACAUUUGUGGGAUAAGAACUCUUAACAUUUUAGGAUCACAUUUAAUUCAAUUGCAUUUAAGACCUCACGAUUUUAUUCUAUAAUUUCAGUCUUAUCAGCCUUUUCGGAAACAAUAAAACGUCGACAUUAAAUUUGUUGUUGAUGCAUUCAAUUUUUUGAGGGGUCUUUGGAGUUAUAUGUGACUUUAGCAUUGACUGACUUUUUUAUAAUUAAUCUUUUAUAAUAUAUCAAUUUUAAUAACAUCGACAUGUUUUUUAGUAGGGUCUAGCAAAACCCAAUUAAAACCGAUGAUAUUGGCUUAGUUGACUCGGUCAAGUCCAUUAGAUUGAUAAAAUCAAUUUUAAAAUCAGUUAUAAUGGAUUAAGGUAAUUAAUUAUCGAGUAAUGAAAUACAUAAUCAAAUCAAUUGAUUUUGUUAGAAACUAAAAGAAAAUGAGAUAAGCUGAAAACUGAUUGCCCUUUAUUAAAAUUAACGAAUCCGCCCUUUACGUAUUAGAUAAUACGAACAUCACAUAUAUAAUAAGAAAAAUUACGUAUGAUUAUUUAUUAUCAUAAAAGGUUAGUUUAAAUUUAAAGUAAUCUAAUAUGUUUAUUGAACUUCAACUAUUAAAUAAAGUAUAAGCUAAAUAAGUAUAAAUAUUCUAGAAACCAUUUCUAACUGAUGAUAGGCUAAUUCGAUUAAUUUAUAAAAACUACAUAGUAGGGUUAUAGUCCUCAAACUACACCUAAUUUAAUAAUAUUUAUAGUUUUUUUUUUAGCCUUAAACAUUUAUAGUUUUUUGUUAAUUUGGUCCUUACUCUUUAAAAUUACAUAAAAAUUGCAAAAAAAAUUAAAAUUAAUUUUUUUUCAUAAUUUUAAUAACAUUUAUAGUUUUUUUUUUGUGUGUGGUUUGGUAACUUAUCAACUCGACUCUCACUUGUAACCAACUUUUCUAACCUUUUUCGUACCCUUAACCUAAGUCCCGUUACAACUUUCUAAAGACCUCUUUAUCAGUGUAUCAUGUCGGUUUGUUUUAUAAUGGUGGAGAUUUGUUUUUUGUAGUGGCACGAUUGCCAGAACUUUACUUUCUAGCCUAUCGAUCCGAUCCAAUGAAAGAAGAACAAAGAGUCUUAAGAUCUGUCAACUUUAUUUCAUUUUCAUUUUCUUUGUCAUUUUCUAUGUUUCUUGUCAAAUACAAUGAAAAAAGAACAUAGAAAAAUGUUGCAUAUUUAUUUCCCAUUCAUCACUCUAACAGGCCCAAUUAGCCCAGGCCCAAACAUUAAUAAAAUGUCUAGAUUACAAAAUAAUCAACUAAAAAUUAAAAGCUCAAAAAAUAAAAUAAAACCCAUUAUAUUAACCCAAAACCCCAGCCCAAUUACAUUGAAACCCAAAAAAAAAAUAGUUUUCAGAAACCCCUAGGGUUUCAGAAGCCCCUCAAUGUUAUUUUGUAUAUCUAUUUAUCUUUUUAAAUUUUCGAUAUUGUCUUGUUUUGUUUUUGUAUUAUUGUUGUUACCAUCAUUAUUCAUUAUUAUUAUUGUUGAUUUUAUUGUUCUUUGAUUAAUGUUAAUGUUAGAGUAAUAGAUGUUAUGUGAUCAUUGUUAUUAUAUGUUAUAAUUUGUUUACACUCGUAUUGUAGUCAUUUGUCAGCUUAAUAUUUUGAGUAAUAUUUUAAAUAUUACAUUAAUUUCGACCCAAAUGCAUAAUUUUUUAAUAAGUAAUAUUUUAUAUUUUGAAAUUUGAGAGAUCAUUCCCUAACUUACGGGGUCUCAAUUUUUUCGAUAAAUCUGAAUAUACUAACUAUUUUCAAAAAAUAUGUUUUAAAAUUAUCUCGGGAAUUUAAAAAGGAGCGUGUUCUAACUUACUGAAUAUGAUCUUUUUUUUAAAAUCGAGAUAAUCAAAUAACUUUCAAAUAAAUAAAUUUUCAAUGUUUAUUCUCAUAUCAGGAUUUAAAAUAUUAUAUCCUAACUCACGGGAUACAAUUCUUUUUCUCGAUUAACAUGAAAUAUGCCCGUUUUAAUUUUAUUUUUUAAGUGAUUUUAACAAAAGGAUUGUAUUUUAAAUCUCUUCAAAAUUUUCAAUUUUUCGACAUUGAGACAUUAACUAAUCAAUUAGGUACCAAUUUUGGGCGUUACGAGGGUGCUAACCCUUCCUCAUACGUAACCGACUCCCGAACCUAUUUUUCUGAAUAUUGAAGGCCAAAAUUGUUUUAAUAAAUUAAACCCUUAAGACGUGACCCCAUCACACCUCAUAAAAAUUAUCGGUGGCGACUCUCGUUUGCGUUUUUGUUUUCGUUUUCAAAAUAAAAGUCGACCCCUUGUUUUAAAAAAGGUGGUUCGAUAGCUUGGCGACUCCGUUGGGGAAAAAAAUAAGAGAGUCAAGCCACGAGUUGAUUAUUUCUUAUUUUUUGUCAGAAAUUGUGAAUUCGAUUUAAAUUUACGAUCUUUUCAUUGCAUUUUAUGGUCUGCAUCAUUUUGAUAUGCUUGCUUUACUGGUUCGAGUCUUUUAAUCUCCGCAUAUUGCAUUGCAUAACCGUUCGGUUAUACCCUUUUAAGUGGGAGUGAGAAACUAUUCAUUUGUGAGAUUUUUACCUCCGUAUAGGAUAGUGGAUUACUUUCGGGAUACAUCCGUACCUAUGUCUUCGUGAGAUUUUCAUCUCCGUAUAGUUAUAGGGAAAUGUAUUCCCCUGAACUGAACUCAGUCCGUAUGAGCCUAUAAUAGGUAAGGAUUGAGGAAUCUGCUGGUUCAGGUACCCUUUCUUUAGAACUAAACUGCAUGUAGUGAGCCCUAAGAGCAUACCGUAGGUAGAACCACUCCAAACCCCUAGUGGUCACCCAAAUAGGUGCUCUAUUUAUUUUUGCUUGCUUAUUUUUGCAUUGUACUAACCUAUUUUUUUGUUAUGAUUGCAUUGCAUUUUCAUCAUAAAAAAGAUGUGUUGAUUCACGUUCAAUUGCUAAAUAGAGAGCUUGUCAUGGAAAACGGAUUUCUUGAUAAAGUGGAAGACAAUGUGGUUAUCCGGAUAUGGUCCAAGAAAAUUUGACGAAAGAAGGGUGAUAGUCUAAUGGAGGACUACACGACCUUGCUUUAUUGCCCGAGGAUUCAAGUUGACAAAGAUUAUUUGAGAGUCCUCAAUGUCCCGACCUUUUUCAAGAAGCUAACGAGUGUCACGAGGAUGAGUGAGUAAUGAGUUGCGGCCCGGAUCAAGCAAAAAAGAGAUAGAGGAGACACCCUUUUUGAAGAGUUCGCGAGAUUUAUAUUAAUAUCAAAAUGAAGAAAAAGAUCAAUGUCUUCGCCUGGAGUAUGAAAGCAAAGCUGUAUAUAUAUCCGCUUUAUGUAAAUAAAUUUGUUUUCUAGUAAAGUUUUUCUAAUAGAAUUGAAUCAGAAUCAAUGUCUUUUUUUGCAUUCAUUCCAUUCAUCUGCAUUGCAUUUCAUUGCAUCCAAAAUUUCACAAAAGGACCCUAAUUAAUUGAAAUUGUUAUAGUUACUCUGAAAACUAAUAAAAAUCUACCAAUUAAAUAUUCCUACGGUACCCGUCGCAAAACCAAAGUAAUGGAUCAAAUAUUAGAAAGAUUAGAACAAAUUCUGAAAGACAAGCAUAAUCGUUUUUGCUUAGGGUACAAGCCAGAUACAAGACAAAGAAGGAAGGAGUUAGAGAAGAAAUAGGAAAGAAUGACAGCAUAUUUGAGCGAGGAUGAGGUCAAAUGGGAGCCUAUGAACUUUCCCUACAUAUCCAAAACUUUUGUAUCGGGAGGGAUUAUUCAUCCCGAGCGAAGAAUGCCAAGAGAAGAAAAUAUUGAAGAAAUGUUGGGAAACGUUCACAUCAAUGCCAUAUACGAAGAAGUAGUUGAAGGAUGGACCUUGUUAGAUAUCCGACCUUAUGAACCUGGGAGUGUGCUAAACAAUUGGACUACAGAAGAAAUUCCUGUAGUGUUUAGACCUUACUCAGAGUAAUAUUCAAAACACACUUGUUGCUUUUAGCCUAGAAGUGAUAAGAAUCCCUCUGUGAAAUAGGCUCAUGUAUAAACAUCAUUAUUUUAAUAAAGUAAAUCUUUGCAUUCAUUUUGAGCAAAUAUUCUUUUAUUCUUUCCAUACGAGUAAUUAUUUUAGAUUUUUCAUUAUUUUAGGAUUUUCUUCCAAAAAUCAUUCUUUUAUUACAUUCAUAAUCAUACUGUACAAAUAAUUAUUCUUAAAUUCAUUCAUUCUUUGUAUAUUCUUUUGUACCUAUAAUAGGUCCCUAGAUAUCAACGACAUGAGUGACGCUGCUACAGACUUAGAAUUUCCUUUUAAACAAGACAUGUGUUUAGAGGGAUCCCAUGACUUUGAAGAUGACGUAGACUGUGGCUUAUCUCCGGACUUGUUAAGGAUGGUAAAACAAGAGGAGAAGCAAAUCCUACUUCACAAUGAAUCAAUGGAAAUUGUGAGCUUAGAAGGGGAAAAUAGGUGAAGAUUGGGACUGACAUUGCCACAAAUACGAAGUAAGACCUCAUUGAGUUACUCUAAGAAUUCAAAGAUAUUUUUGCAUGGUCAUACUAGGAUACGCUCGGGUUAAGUACUGACAUUGUAGUACACUGCCUUCCUAUAAAAGAAGAUUGCUAGCCAGUUCAGCAGAAACUCCAGAGGAUGAGGCCUGAUAUUGUGCUAAAAAUAAAAGAAGUCAAAAAGUAAUUUGAUGUUGGGUUCUUACAAGUGGUCAAAUAUUCAGAAUGGGUAGCCAACAUCGUCUCAGUUCCUAAAAAAAAUGGGAAAGUACGAAUGUGCAUGGAUUACAGAGACUUGAACAAGGCCAGUCGAAAAGACAAUUCCCUAUUGCCUCACGUUGACACUUUGGUGGAUAAUACAGUAGGCUACUCACUUUUUUCCUUCAUGGAUGGCUUCUCUGGAUACAAUCAGAUAAAGAUGCAUCCAAAAACAUGGGAAAGAUUACAUUCGUGACCCUGUAGGAAACGUUUUACUAUAAAGUGAUGACAUUCAGAUUAAAGAAUAUGGGAGCGACGUAUCAAAGGGUGAUGGUAACCUUGUUUCAUGACAUGAUUUACAAGGAAAUCGAGGUUUAUAUUGACGAUAUGAUUGCAAAAUCUAGAACAGAAGAGGAACAUGUGCAGGUCCUGAGAAAAUUAUUCUUAAGACUGAGAAAGUUCUAGCUCAAGCUUUCCAACGAAAUGCACUUUCGGAGCUAGGUCAGGAAAGCUAUUAGGCUUCAUAGUCAGUGAAAAAGGAAUCGAGAUCAACCCAGACAAAGUCAAGGUAAUAAGAGAUUUACCUCCACUAUGCACUCAGAAGAAAGUUCGAGGUUUCCUAGGAAGACUAAAUUACAUUGCUCGGUUUAUUUCACAACUAACCGAAAAAUGUGACCCCAUAUUUCAUCUUUUAAAGAAACAUAAUCCAGAUGUAUAGGAUGAAGAAUGUCAGGAAGUUUUUGAUAGGAUAAAGCAGUACCUAUCAAAUACUCUAGUGCUGUUACCACCUAGCCCAGAUAGGCCACUGAUAUUGUAUUUAACAGUGUUUGAUAAUUUUAUGGGAUGCAUGCUAGGCCAACAUGAUGAGACAGGAAGGAAAGAAAGGGUUAUAUACUAUCUCAGUAAGAAAUUCACUGAUUAUGAAAUAAGAUACUCGUCUAUUGAGAAAUUAUGUUGUGCCUUGAUCUGGAUAACUCGGAGGCUAAGGCGGUACAUGUUGUACCAUACGACUUGACUAAUUUCAAAGUUAGACCCUUUAAAGUAUAUGAUGGAGUCAACUACUUUGAAUGGGAGGAUGGCCAGAUGGCAGAUUUUACUUUUUGAAUUUGACAUACUUUAUGUGAGCCAGAAGGCUAUAAAAUGGAGUGCAAUAGCGGAUUUUCUAGCUAGCAGAGCCUUGGAGGAUUAUGAGCCUUUAAAUUUUGAUUUUUUGAACGAGGACUUAAUGUAUGUGGCAACCACUAAAGAAAAUGCUCAAGUGGAUCGCAUUUGGAAGCUAAAAUUUGACGGAGCCUCAAAUGCUAUGGGUAAUAAAAUUGAGGCAGUCUUAGUAUCCCCGAGCAGAGAUCAUUAUCCUAUUGCUGGCAAAUUGGAUUUUGAUUGUACAAACAAUAUAGCAGAAAAUGAAGCGUGUAUUAUGGGCAUCCGUAUAGCCAAAGAAUGUAAAAUCAAAGUGCUAAAGGUAUAUGGGGAUUCUGCAUUGGUGAUAUAUCAGCUCAAAGGAGGAUGAGAGAUAAGAGACCUCAAAUUGAUUAAUUAUCGAAAGUUUAUUCUCGAAUUGAUUGAUGAGUUUGAUGAUAUUACUUUCUCCUAUCUCCCACUAGAUGAAAACCAGAUGGCUGACACGUUGGCUACUCUAGCUUUCAUGAUCAAAGUAAACAAACUAGAAGACAUGAAGCCUAUCCAGAUGAGCAUUUAUGAGACUUUGGCUCAUUGCUACAGUAUCGAGGAAGAGGAAAAGGAUGAUCAUCCUUGGUACCAAGAUAUACUGCAAUAUGUAAAGAAUCACGAGUACCCUGAUCAGGCAACGAAGAAUGAUAAGAGGACAUUGAGAAGACUAGCCACUAACUAUGUCUUACAUGGAGAGAUUUUAUACAAAAAGGGAAAGGAUCGGGUACUACUAAGAUGCUGGAUGCUAUAAAAGCUUAGAAAAUCUUGGAGGAAGUCCAUGAAGGUAUCUGCAAAAUGCAUGCCAACGGUUUCACAAUAGUAAGACAGAUUAUGAGAUUCGGGUACUACUGGUCGACCAUGGAAGGAGAUUGCAUCAAUUAUGCCAAGAAGUGCCAUAAAUGUCAAAUUUAUAGAGACAAAAUACACGCACGUUCUUCACCUCUCAACGUUAUGACUUCUCUAUGGCCUUUCUCUAUGUGGGAUAUGGAUGUCAUCGGGCCAAUAUUGCCAAAGGCUUCUAAUAGGUAUCGUUUCAUCUUCAUGGUCAUUGGUUACUUCACUAAAUAGAUGGAAGCUGAUUCAUAUGCUAAUGUCACGAAGUCAGGAGUCAGCAAGUUCUUGAAAAGGGAGAUCAUAUGUUGAUAUAUAAUGCCUGAAAGAAUCAUAUCUGACAAUACAUUGAAUUCGAAAAAUAGCAAAAUAGCGGAGGUCUGCAAUCAAUUCAAGAUCAAACACCAUAAUUCGUCACCAUAUCGCCCAAAAAUGAACGGAGCAGUGGAGGCGGCCAACUAAAAUACCAAGAAAAUUGUGGGGAAAAUGUCUGAGACUUACAAAGAUUGGCAUGAAAAAUUACCAUUUGCCCUCUUUGUUUAUCGAACAUCAAUCAGGACUUUCGUCGGGGCAACGCCUUUCUCUCUAGUUUAUAAGAUGGAGGCAGUUUUACCCAUUAAAGUUGAAAUCCCUUCUCUCUGGGUAUUGGCUGAGCUAAAGUUGGAUGAAGCUGAAUAGAUCCAACCUCGAUAUGAUCAGUUGAACCUAAUAGAAAGAAAAAGGCUAAAAGUUAUUCACCACGGUCAGAUGUACCAAAAACGAAUGAUGCGAGCCUACAACAAAAAAGUUCAUCCCAAAGAAUUCUAUGAGGGGGACCUAGUGUUGAAAAAGAUUUUUCCUCUACAAAAGAAUUUUAGAGGAAAAUGGAUGCCAAAUUAGGAAAGACCUUAUGUUGUAAUAAAGGCCUUUUCUGGAGGAGCAUUGAUUUUGAGUGAGAUGGAUGGUAAAAAUUUUCCUAAUCUUGUAAACUCAGAUUCAUUCAAGAAAUACUUCACCUAAAGAAGGAGAAGGGACCAAUGUGAAAACCUGCAAAGGGCACUUUGAGUCUUAAAAAAAAGAGACCAAGGUGAAAACCGCAAAUGGUGUCUUAAGUCCUAAAAAAAAGAGGCCAAGGUGAAAACUAGCAAAGGGCGCCUUGAGACCAAAGGGGAUUUGAGUUGAAAACCCGAAAAGAGCGACUCAAAUAUUGAUUAAAAUGGGGCAUGCAGUGAUCUUGCUAUACUUGAAUUAAUAGGAAAGGGGUAUACGACAUCUUGGGGCAUCGACAAAGUACUAUAGAUCUCCUAAACACAUUUCAAACUCAAAAUGGUCUUUAGGAAGUUUGUACAGAGAAAUUCAAGCUGCGAUGUCUAGGGCACCUAGUCUUCAUACUAUUUAUAUUAAAUUUGCUAUUCUUGGAAUACUUUAUUCUUUUCAAGAUACGUGUUCCCAAUCAAUUCCCUUUUUAUUCUUCUUUAUCCUUGAUAAUUUAUUCAUUUCGAGCUAUGCUCCAAAUCAAUUCUAUUCUUAUCCAUUGUUAUUAUCUUUUGCAAGCAUGUUGUAUUGGAAUAAUGAUUAAUAGACUAAUAAUACUUUUACAAAUAAAGUGCUGUAUAUUACUCUAAAAGUUUCUAAAUAAUACAAGAACCUAAAACAGGACUAUUGUUUAGAACGCACCGGGUUUAAAGGUUAGAAAUAUCUGAGAAGGAAGAGUCCAAAUUAAGACUAUCCCUUCGAAUUUUGUUGUCAAAAUAUUGAUUGAACAAAACGACAAGAUAUCGUAUUGGUGAACAAACGAGCAAUGAUCACCAGGUAAUAAAAAGAGGUUAUUUUGGAAAAAAAAUUACAUUGGUACGACACCUUAGGAAUGGUGUAAGAGACCAAAGAGGUUCACAUCUUGUAUUCUUGAAUUGCAAUAGGAGAGGAUUGAGAAAGAGCUAGAUAUUAUACUCCUGAAUUAUAAUGGAAGGGAAAUGGUACAAAUUUUAUGUACCAAAAGUACAGUGGAUUGAACCUUGAAGAUUACAGUAGGGGAAAUCUGAUUAAGUAAAAUAUGAAGUGUUUCUUUGGAGAUACCAGUCGAACAAGAUGGCAUUAUGACGUGUCGGUGAUAGAGCCUUAAUGAAUAAUGAGCAAUAACAACUCAAGCAUUAAGGGAUCAUUUUCAUAACAUUCUGUAUUCAUUCAUACACAUCUAGUUAGGAGAUUUUGAUUCAUUCCGAUCAUAACAUCCAAAUCACUAGACAUAAAUAGGCCCAUGAAAUGGAUUCUACAGGUCAUGUUCCCCAUAGAACAGAUGGGUGAAACCACAAAUCCUAUACCGCUGAAGUUGCAGUGGGAUGGAUUGAAGUCAUUAUGGCGAGUCUUAUCUCCCUGAAGUUGCAAUGGAGCAUAUUAAAGCUAGUAAUCUUAUCUCCCUGAAGUUGCAGUAGAGCGGAUUGAAGUUACAAGUCUUAUCCCCCUAAAGUUACAGUGGAGCAGACUGAAGAUAGUGAAUCUUAUUUCCCUGAAGCUGCAGUGGAACAAAUUGAAGCUAUAAAUUGUAGAUUUUAUCUCUCUAAAGUUGCAAUAGAGAAGAUCAUAUCAAACUUUAUCUCCCUGAAGUUGUAGUGGAACAGGUUGAAAAUACCAAUCUUAUCUCCCUGAAGUUACAGUGGAGUAGACUGAAGAUAGCGAAUCUUAUUUCUCUGAAGUUGCAGUGGAACGGAUUGAAGCUAUAAAUUACAGAUCUUAUCUCUCAGAAGUUGCAGUAAAGCAGAUCAUAGAAAACCUUAUCUCCCUGAACUUGCAGUGGAGUAGGUUGAAGUUAUAAGUCUUAUCUCCCUAAAGUUGCAGUGGAGCAGACUGAAGAUAGCGAAUCUUAUUNNNNNNNNNNNNNNNNNNNNNNNNNNNNNNNNNNNNNNNNNNNNNNNNNNNNNNNNNNNNNNNNNNNNNNNNNNNNNNNNNNNNNNNNNNNNNNNNNNNNNNNNNNNNNNNNNNNNNNNNNNNNNNNNNNNNNNNNNNNNNNNNNNNNNNNNNNNNNNNNNNNNNNNNNNNNNNNNNNNNNNNNNNNNNNNNNNNNNNNNNNNNNNNNNNNNNNNNNNNNNNNNNNNNNNNNNNNNNNNNNNNNNNNNNNNNNNNNNNNNNNNNNNNNNNNNNNNNNNNNNNNNNNNNNNNNNNNNNNNNNNNNNNNNNNNNNNNNNNNNNNNNNNNNNNNNNNNNNNNNNNNNNNNNNNNNNNNNNNNNNNNNNNNNNNNNNNNNNNNNNNNNNNNNNNNNNNNNNNNNNNNNNNNNNNNNNNNNNNNNNNNNNNNNNNNNNNNNNNNNNNNNNNNNNNNNNNNNNNNNNNNNNNNNNNNNNNNNNNNNNNNNNNNNNNNNNNNNNNNNUCAAAGGAACAAAAUAUCACCUACAUCAUAAGGCACGAUCGCCAGAACUUUACUUUCUAGCCUGUCGAUCCGAUCCAAUCCAAUGAAAGAACACAAGGAGUCUUAAGAUCUGUCAACUUUAUUUCAUUUUCAUUUCUUUGUCAUUUUCUAUGUUUCAUGUCGAAUACAAUAAAGAGAACAUAGAAAAAUGUGGCCUAUUUAUUUCCCAAUCAUCAUGAAAUUACUUGCCAUUGACUUAGAUUUUCUCACCAAUUUCAAGCAAUCUGACAUGAUUUCUCAUCACAAUUAAUUGAAUUCAAGAUCUUUUUAGAUGACACAAACAUUUCAUUUUAACACAAACCAAUAUUUCGGUUAUACUUCAGUGCUUGACAAGCACUUUCACAUUUGUGGAUAAGAACUCUUAACAUUUUAGGAUCACAUUUAAUUCAAUUGCAUUUAAGACCUCAUGGUUUUAUUCUAUAAUUUCAGUCUUAUCAGCCUUUUCGGAAACAAUAAAACGUCGACAUUAAAUUUGUUGUUGAUGCAUUCAAUUUUUUGGGUCUUUGGAGUUAUGUGACUUUAGCAUUGACUGACUUUUUUAUAAUUUAAUAAUAAGGUAAAUAUAUUAAUUUUAAUAACAUCGACAUGUUUUUUAGUAGGGUCGAGCAAAACCCAAUUAAAAUCGAUGAUAUUGGCUUAGUUGACUCGGUCAAGUCCAUUAGAUUGAUAAAAUCAUUUUUAAAAUCAGUUAUAAUGGAUAAAGGUAAUUAAUUAUCGAGUAAUGAAAUACAUAAUCAAAUCAAUUGAUUUUGUUAGAAACUAAAAGAAAAAGGGCUAAGCUGAAAAUUGAUUGCCCUUUAUUAAAAUUAACGAAUCUGUCUUUUACGUAUUAGAUAAUAUGAACAUCGCAUAUAUAAUAAGAAAAUUACGUAUGAUUAUUUAUUAUCAUAAAAGGUUAGUUUAAAUUUAAAGUAAUCUAAUAUGUUUAUUGAACUUCAACUAUUAAAUAAAGUAUAAGCUAAAUAAGUAUAAAUAUUCUAGAAACCAUUUCUAACUGAUGAUAGGCUAAUUCGAUUAAUUUAUAAAAACUAGAUAGUAGGGUUAUAGUCCUCAAACUACACCUAAUUUAAUAACAUUUAUAUUUUUUUUAGCCUUAAACAUUUAUAGUUUUGUUAAUUUGGUCCUUACUCUUUAAAAUUACAUAAAAAAUUGCAAAAAAAUUAAAAAUUAAUUUUUAUCAUGAUUUAAUAACAUUUAUAUUUUUUUUUGUGGUUUGGUAACUUAUCAACUUGACUCUUACUUGUAACCAACUUUUCUAACCUUUUUCGUACCCUUAACCUAAGUCCCGUUACAAUUUCUAAAGACCUCUUGAUUGGUGUAUCAUCUCGAUUUGUUUUUAUAGUGGUGGAGAUUUGUUUUUUGUAGUGGGCAUGAUUGCCAGAACUUUACUUUCUAUCCUGUCGAUCCGAUCCAAUGAAAGAAUAACAAAGAGGUCUUAAGAUCUGUCAACUUUAUUUCAUUUUCAUUUUCUUUGUCAUUUUCUAUGUUUCUUGUCACAUACAAUGAAAGAAGAACAUAGAAAAAUGUUGCCUAUUUAUUUCCCAAUCAUCAUUCUAACAGGCCGAAUUAGCCCAGGCCCAAACAUUAAUAAAUGUCCAGAUUACAAAAUAACCAACCAAAAAUUAAAAGCCCAAAUAAUAAAAUAAAACCCAUUACAUUAACCCAAAACUCCAGCCCAAUUACAUUGAAGCCAAAAAAAUAGUUUUUAGAAACCCCUAGGGUUUCUGGAACAAUCCGCGCCGCUCCUCCAUCCGCUUCUCCACGCACGCUGCACCUUUCCACGUGCGCCUCCAGCUGGCAGUGUACCUCCAAUGCAACAAACAAAGCAACAAGCAGCAAAAGAAAUGGAAAAACAACAAAAAAAAAAGAAGGAGCAACAAUGUAUAACAGAUUGAUAACAAAUAAUAGAAAAAAUAGCAGUAAAUAGGAAAAAAAAUUAAAAAAUAAUGAGGGUAAUUUCAUUUUUUUCUCUGUUUUGGCUAUAAAGAGAGCCGGUCAAAAUCUCUAAAGGGGGAUUUAGAAUCAAUCAGAAAACAAGUAUUUUGUACCAACAAUUAGAGAAAAAAAAUACAAAAAUAGGGAUUGAAGGUUUUUUUUUUCUUUCGUUUCGAUUUAUUUAAAAUAGCAUAGAAAAUAAAAAGAAGGCUUACCUUGCGACGCCUUCAGAUCCUCUCGAAAAGGGGCUAAAAGGCCCUAUGUGGCACAGAUUUGACCACUGUUCACGGUGGAACCGCAGCGGAGGCGCAGAGGAUUGGCAUCAAUUUAGGCAGGGUUUGAAACCCUAGCAGAGAAAAAAUUAGGGUUGAUAGAUUUUUUUUAAAAAAAUGGCAAAAUGUUGUUUUUAAAAAAUUUUGUUUUAAAAAAAUUGUUGCUUUUAUAAAGGGUGUAAAACGGCGUCGUUUAGGGCAUGUUUCGAUGGCCCCAAAACGGCGCCUUAUAAGGCAACCCCCGACGACCCGACCUGCUCCAUGGGGGAUCCGCGUGGUUUUUGUUAAAUGGGUUAUGUCUAACCCUGGCCCUUCUACUUUUUAUACUUGUUUUAAUUUGAUCCUCUUUUUAUUUAUUUUUAUUUCUUUAAAUUAAGCCUGAUAAUUUUUUUCCAUUACAUUUUAAUCCUUAAUGAAACGGCGCGUUUUAGAGGAGAAGGGAAAAUUACCCUUCUAGUCCCUUCUUGUUAUUCGAGUGUUCAGAAGGGUCCUUUUUUGUUUAUUUUUUAUUUGCCCCAAAAUUUUGUUUUAAAGCUUAAUUUAGUCCUAUUUUGUUAUUUUAGCUAUUUUAUUAUUAGAUUAAUUAAUUUAAUAUUAUUAUUACUGCUAUUAUUUUACCCCUAUUAGUUAUAUAUUUAUUAUUAUAACUAUAUCAUUAAAUCAAUUAGUUUUUACAUUAUUAUUUCCAUUCUGUUUUUUAUUUACUUACUUAAAUACUUUAAAUGCAUUUAUUUUAUUUCUUAUUUUUUUAUGAAAUUUCAAAACUUUAGACUAUUUUUUUGUUACUAUAACCCUAAUUUCAUUCAUUUUAUAAUAGUUUUUUUUUAAAAUAUUUCUUAGAUUAAUUCCCUCGAUGUUAUUUUGUAUAUUUAUUUAUCUUUUUAAAUUUUCGAUAUUGUCUUAUUGUAUUAUUGUUGUUACUAUCAUUAUUCAUUAUUAUUGUUGAUUUUAUUCUUCUUUGAUUAAUGUUUAUGUUAGAGUAAUAGGUGUUAUGUGAUCAUUGUUAUUAUAUGUUAUAAUUUGUUGACACUCGUAUUGUAGUCAUUCGUCAGCUUAAUAUUUGAGUAACAUUUUAAAUAUUACAUUAAUUUUGACCCAAAUGCAUAAUUUUUUAAUAAGUAAUAUUUCGUAUUGUGGAAUUUGAGAGAUCAUUCCCUAACUUACGGGGUCUCGAUUUUUUUGAUAAAUCUGAAUAUAAGAACUAUUUUAAAAAAAUACGUUUUAAAAUUAUCUCGGGAAUUUAAAAAGAAGCGUGUUCUAACUUACGGAAUAUGAUCUUUUUUAAAAAUCGAGAUAAUCAAAUAUCUUUCAAAUAAAUAAACUUUUCGUGUUUAUUCUCGUUUUAGGAUUUAAGAUAUUGUGUCCUAACUCACGGGACACAAUUCUUUUUCUCGAUUAACGUGAAAUACGCCCUUUUUAAUUUUAUCUUUUUAAGUGAUUUUAACAAAAGGAUUGUAUUUUAAAUCUCUUCAAAAUUUUCAAUUUUUCGACAUUGAGACAUUAACUAAUCAAUUAGGUACCAAUUUUGGGCGUUACAAGGGUGUUAACCCUUCCUUGUACAUAACCGACUCCCGAACCUAUUUUUCUGAAUAUUAUAGGCCAAAAUUGUUUUAAUAAAUUAAACCCUUAAGAGGUGACUCGAUCACAGCUCAUAAAAAUUAUCGGUGGCGACCCUUGUUUUAAAAAAGGUGGUUUCAACAGCUUGGCGACUCCGCUGGGGACAAAAAUAAGAGUCAAGCCGCGAGUUGAUUAUUUCUUAUCUUUUUGUCAGAAAUUGUGAAUUCGAUUUAAAUUUAUGAUCUUUUCAUUGCAUUUUAUGGUCUGCAUCAUUUUUAUAUGCUUGCUUUACUACUUCGAGUCUUUUAAUCUUCGCAUAUUGUAUUGCAUAACCGUUCGGUUAUACCCUUUUAAGCGGGAGUGAGAAAUUAUUCUUUCGUGAGGUUUUCACCUUCGUAUAGGAUAGUGGAUUACUUUCAGGAUACAUCCAUACCUAUGUCUUCGUGAGAUUCUCAUCUCCGUAUAGUCAUAGGGAAAUGUAUUCCCCUGAACUGAACUCAGUCCGUAUGAGCCUAUAAUGGGUGAGGAUUGAGGAAUCUGCUGGUUCAGGUACCCUUUCUUUAGAACUAAACCGCAUGUAGUGAGCCCUAAGAGCAUACCCUAGGUAGAACCACUCCAAACCCCUAGUGGUCACCCAAAUAGGUGCUCUAUUUAUUUUUGCUUGCUUGUUUUUGCCUUGUACUAACCUAUUUGUUAUGGUUAUGAGUGCAUUGCAUUUUUAUCAUAAAAAAGAUGUGUUGAUUCACGUUCAGUUGCUAAAUAGAGAGCUUGUCAUGGAAAACGAAUUUCUUGAUAAAGUGGAAGACAAUGCGGUUGUCCGGAUAUGGUCCAAGAAAAUGUGAAGAAAGAAGGGUGAUAGUCUAAUGGAGGACUACACGACCUUGCUUCGUUGCCUGAUGAUUCAAGUUGACAAAGAUUAUUCGAGAGUCUUCAAUGUCCCGACCUUUUUAAAGAAGCUAACGAGCGUCACGAGGAUGAGCGAGUAAUGAGUUGCGGCCCGGAUCAAGCAAAAAAAAGAUAGAGGAGACACCCUUUUUGAAGAGUUCACGAGAUUUAUCUUAACAUCUAGACGAAGAAAAAGAUCAAUCUCUUUGCCUAGAGUAUGAGGGCAAAGCCGUAUAUAUAUCCGCUUUAUGUAAAUAAAUUUGUUUUCUAGUAAAGUUUUUCUAAUAGAAUUGAAUCAGAAUCAACGUCUCUUUUUGCAUUCAUUCCAUUCAUCUGCAUUGCAUUUCAUUGCAUCUAGAAUUUCACAAAAGGACCCUAAUUAAUCGAAAUUGUUAUAGCUACCUUGAAAAACUAACGAAAAUUUACCAAUUAAAUAUUCCUAUGGUACCCAUUGCAAAACUAAAGUAAUGGAUCAAAUAUUAGAAAGAUUAGAACAAAUGCUGAAGGAUAAACAUAACUGCUUUGGCUUAGGGUACAAGCCAGAUACAAGACAAAGAAGAAAUAGGAAAGGAGAACACGUUUGAGCGGGGAUGAGGUCAAAUGGGAGGGAUUAUUCAUCCCAGGCGAAGAAUGCCAAGAGAAGAAAAUAUUGAAAACAUGUUGGGAAACGUUCACAUCAAUGCCAUAUACGAAGAAGCAAUUGAAGGAGUGACCUUGUUAGAUAUCCGCCCUUAUGAACCUAAGAGUGUGCUAAACAAUUGGACUGCAGAAGAAAUUCUUGUAGUGUUUAGAGCUUACUCAUAGUAAUGUUCAGAACACACUUGUUGCUUUUAGCCUAGAAGUGAUAAGAAUCCCUCUGUGAAAUAGGCUCAUGUAUAAAAAUCAUUAUUUUAAUGAAGUACAUCUUUGCAUUCAUUUUGAGCAAAUAUUCUUUUAUUCUUUUCAUACGAGUAAUUAUUUUGGAUUCUUUAAUUCUUUUGGGAUUUUCUUCCAAAAUCAUUCUUUUAUUACAUCCAUAAUCAUACUGUACAAAUAAUGUAAUAGCCUGAAUUUUCAGUGGUGUCGGAAUGGUGAUUCAAGAUCACUAAGUCUGACAAAUGAGUAGAAAAUAUUAUUAAUUUAGUAAGAAUAAGUAAAUGUGAAGUUAGGAAAAUUUUUGAAAUAGUGAAUAGUGUACUAGGAAUAAAUAUUAAAAUAAUUAAAAUAAAAAAUGAGGUAUCGAGACCUCGAAGAUUUUAAACCAAGCCAUAAGUACUUUUAGAAGUAUUUUUAGAGUGUCAUUGAGUUGGUAUUAAAGUUUCGUUAGAAAAUUUUAACGCUCGGAUAGUUAAUUAACCAAAAAGGACUAAAUUGAAAAUAGUGUAAAAUUUGUUAAAUUGUGAUUAAAUAGCUUAAGUGAUUAAAAAGGAGGGAUUUAAAAGGCAAUUAGGCCCAAAUUAUAUGGGCUGGACGGUUGGGUAAGAAAAAUCAGCAGAAUGUAAGGAGAAAACAGGGGCAAAAUUGGAAACUUAACAAAUUAAACAUAUAAAACAAAGACAAAAGUGAAAAAUCUAGAGAUCUGUUCACAAUUUAUCAGCAAAAAUGCCAUAGGAGGUCUGAAAGAAGCUGGUUUUUCAUAUAUUUGAAUCAUGUAAGUUUAAUUCUUGAUUAUUUCUUCUAAUUUUUGUGAUUUUGAUACUUUUACAAUUAGGUCCAACUAAUUAUUUCAUUAGUUUUUGAUUUCAUGGCUGAUUUUGAAAGUUACCAUUGAUGAGUGUUGGAUUUUUAUGAUGAAUAAACAUGGAAUUAAAGCUUUAAUUUUGUUAUAUGAUGAUUUUAUUAAGUAAUUUUGAUAGAAAUUGAUUUUUGGGACCUAAUUGUGAAAAAGUUUGGAAUUAGGGUUUGGUGUUGCGGUUUUGAAUAUGAAAGGCUAUGUAGUAGUCUAAAAUAGUUGGAAAAGGUGUUAAUUGAGAAAAAUUAGAUCAAUUGAGGGGUUAAUUGAGUAGGACCAAAUUGUAAAAACUGUAAAGUUUGAGGUAAAAGUGUAAUUUCGAAAAUUUAAGGGCAUAAAUUGUGAAGUGAAUUAGAAUAGAAUUAUAUGCUGAUGAAUGAAUAAAUUUGUAUUUUAGAUCGAGAACCCGAAGCAAGCCGAGGAAAAGAAAAAGUAGUUGAUUAGUCCCUGAACUUUUACAAAUUCUGCAAAUCGACCCAGGUAAGUUCAUAUGGCUGAAAUUUAAUGAUUAAAUGUUAAUUUCAUGAAUUAUGUAAUGUAUGAUGAAAUGUAUUUAGUGUUGAAAUGAGAGUAAAAUAAAAAUGCGAAAAUCGAAUAAAUGAUCAAAUUAAGCGGAACGCCGGAUUUGAGUACUUCUGAUCAAGAGACAAAGUGAUAAGUGGUAGCUUUAGCUACACUUAUCUGAUCAAGUGAAAAAGUGAUAAGUGCUACACUUAUCUGAUCAAGAGACAAAGUGAUAAGUGGUAGCUUUAGCUCACUUAUCUGAUCAAGUGAAAAAGUGAUAAGUGCUAUACUUAUCUGAUCAAGUGACAAAGUGAUAAGUGGUAGCUUAGCUACACUUAUCUGAUCAGGGCCAAAUGAUAAGUGAUCAUACGUAAGACCAUAGUUAUACUAUGGCCAAGUGAAAGUGAAGUACUCAAUUUUCCGUAACCGUUCCUUAAUUUUGAUCAAGGAUGGUAAGUGACAAAUAGGCCCAAAGAAAUUAUGGUAAAAGAAUAAGUAGUAGUGAGUUUAUACCAAGGAACUCUCCAAAGAUUGUGGUUGACAAGUAAACUUAGUAAUGGUGUAUAUUGUAUAAGUGUACAAAUGUUUGGUAAGAUUUAUGUUUGUGCCUAUGAACUUACUAAGCUUUUCUAUAAGCUUACAUGUGUGUGUUUAUUGUUUUUCUAGAUUAACGUAUUUAUACAUUCGGAGGAUCGGAUCUACUUCGAGAAUCACACUAUCCAGAUAUACUCCGGUAGAUUUUGUUAAACAACUUUUUGGAUUUAUAUGGCAUGUACAGAGAAUUGAAGUAAAAAGUAAUAGAAUGAAUGACUGAGUAUGCAAAGUAAAUUUGAAUGUGAUGGUUGUGUUAGAUAUUGAAAAAUACAUGUUUUUAGUUUGAAAUGGUUGAUUGGCUGAACUUCGUUAGUAUUCAAGUGAAGUAGUUGAAAUACUGGAAUUGGUUGUGAUUUGAAAUUUGCAGGGAAGGUUAGAUAAAUAUAAAGGGGUUAUAUUGAUUUUUUUUUUAAAUUUCAAUGGAAUAAUUUUUGGACAGCAGCAUUGAUGUAACUUUUAAAAAUCACCAAAAAUAGUGGAAAUAGAAUUAGAAGUUGAAUGAGAUAUGAAAUUAAAUCUGAAUGAGUCUAAUUUCACAUGAAAGAAGUAGAAUAAGAAAAAGAGUUAUAUAUUUUUAGAUAUUUGAAUUUUAGUGAAACAGGGCAAGAAUGUUUUUGAAGUCCCCUGUUCUGACUUUAGAAAUUUAGUAAAAAUUGUACAAAAGGAAUUAUGAAUUAUAAUUUAUAUGUUUAAAUUCCGUAAUGAGUAUAUUUUAAGUAGAAAUAAUUGGAACCACCAUAUGAAGUCUUUGCAAUGAGAUAAUUGAAUUUUAGUGACAAGAGGUCAGGAUAGUCAAUUAGUGAAAUAGGGGAGACUUCAACUAAUAAACUGUAUUAAUUUGCUAAACCAAAAAUUCUGAAAAAUUUAUGGUGAAUAUACAUAUGAGUCUAGUUUGAGGGAAAAUUUACGGAUCUAAAUUUUUAGUUUCGUAUCUUGAGUUAUAAUUAUUUUAGUGACUACUGCGCAUGUGGACAGCUUUGUUGUGAAUGGUGAAAUUAAUUUUUAAAGUAAAUUUUUAUGCCCCGAACUUUUAAGUUCAGUCAAGUAACGCCUUAUGCUCGACUCCGGCAACCGUCUUGGGUAAGGGGUGUUAUAAAUAAUUAUUCUUAAAUUCAUACAUUCUUUGUAUAUUAUUUUGUACCUACAAUAGGUCCCUAGAUAUUAACAACAUGAGUGACGUUGCUACAGACUCAGAAUUUCCUUUUAAACAAGACAUGUGUUUAGAGGGAUCCCAUGGCUUUGAAGAUGACGUAGACUGUGGCUUAUCUCUGAAUUUGUUAAGGAUGGUAAAACAAGAGGAGAAGCAAAUCCUACCUCACAAGGAAUCAAUGGAAAUUGUGAGCUUAGAAGGGGGAAAAGAGGUGAAGAUUGAGACUAACAUUGCCACAAAGACAAAGCAUGACCUCGUUGAGUUACUCCAAGAAUUUAAAGAUGUCUUCGCAUGGUCAUACCAGGAUACUCCCGGGUUAAGUACUGGCAUUGUAGUACACUACCUUCUUAUAAAAGAAGAUUGCAAGCCAGUUUAGCAGAAACUCUGAAGGAUGAGGCCUGAUAUUGUGCUAAAAAUAAAAGAAGAAGUUAAAAAGCAAUUUGAUGUUGGGUUCUUACAAGUGGUUAAAUAUUCAGAAUGAGUAGCCAACAUCGUCUCAGUCUCUAAAAAAGAUGGGAAAGUACGAAUGUGCAUAGAUUACAGAGACAUGAACAAGGCCAGCCAAAAAGAAAAUUUCCCAUUGCCUCACAUUGACACUUUGGUGGAUAAUACAGUAGGCUACUCACUGUUUUCCUUCAUGGACGACUUCUCUGGAUACAACCAGAUAAAGAUGCAUCCCAAAAACAUGGGAAAGACUACAUUCGUGACCCUAUGGGGAAUGUUUUGCUAUAAAAUGAUGUCAUUCGGAUUAAAGAAUGUGGGAGCGACGUAUCAAAGGGAAUGGUAACCUUGUUUCAUGACAUGAUGUACAAGUAAAUCGAGGUUUAUGUUGACGAUAUGAUUGCAAAAUCCAGAACAGAAGAGGAACAUGUGUAGGCCCUAAGAAAAUUAUUCUUAAGACUGAGAAAGUUCCAGCUCAAGCUUUCCAACGAAAUGCACAUUCAGAGCUAGGUUAGGAAAGCUGUUAGGCUUCACAGUUAGUGAAAAAGGAAUCGAGAUCAACCCAGAUAAAGUCAAUGCGAUACGAGAUUUACCUCUACCAUGCACUCAGAAGGAAGCUCGAGGUUUCCUAGGAAGACUGAAUUACAUUGCUCGAUACAUUUCACAACUAACCGAAAAAUGUGACACCAUAUUAAAAUAAAAAUAGAUUAAAUUGUAAGUAAAACAUAAUUUAAACAUAUGAAUACAUCAAAUUAAUAAUACUAAAUGAAUACAGUUAUUUAUGAUGAUGUUGUUGCCAAUUCCUAAUUUGGUGUCUAGUUAAUUUGUGACAUCAUAAAUUUAAGUGAUAAAUUUAAGGUUUUAUGUAUUGAUGUGGAUUCAAAUAUCACCAUAAUUUUUGUAAAUAAAAAACUAAUAAGAUAACUUAUAUUAAGUACGAAAGGGUAUUUUUAUAAUUUCUCUAAUCGAGUUGGUGCCCGGUUGACUCAUGACACUAACUCAAUCAGAAGCUUUAAUAAUAAUAUAGAUAUUCAUGUUAAAAAAACAAAAAAAAAGUACUUUAGUUCCAAAUAAUUAUAUAACAAGUAAAUUUAUAAUUGAUGAAUAAAUUUAUAAAUAAUAUAUUUAUAUGAUCUAAUAUAUUAUAUUUAUAUUAAUUAUAUAUCAUCUACAAACUUUGAAGAUCAAUUUAUUAAGUAAAAAUGAAAUUGUUAACACUAAAUCAAUUUUUAGAUUUUGUAUAGAUGAUUUAGUGAUGAUAAAAACAUUAUUAACACUAUUUUUUAAUUAACAAAAAAUUAGUGAUAUAUUUAAAUUAUAUUUAUCAUUUAUUAUUUUUAAUAAUAUUUUUUAAUUAUAUGAAGUAAAAUUAUAUUGUAUACUAAAUAUGGUACAUAUACUCUAAUUAUAACUUGAAAUUUUAUUAUAUAAAUUAAUAUAAAUUUGAAUAACAAAAUAAAAAAAAACUAAUUAGAAUAAUUUUAAAAAACAUUAUUUAAAAGUAGUUAAAAAUCACGUGCAACAGGUGAGAUCAAUGGUCUUUAGAGAAGAAAUGUUGAAGAUCAAAGUUGGAAUCUGGCCUAUAAGGCCUUUAAUUGCUUUAAUAUUAAGCAGUUCCAAACCAAGAAGAUUACCGAUUUCCUCAGGAAUUUGACCUGCACACAUGGUCGAAAAAUCAAUGUGUCAAACUACCUAUUUUGUUAGCAUAAGUCAAAGAGGUUUUCUUUUCUAUUCUACAUAAUUUGCAGAUGUUAGAUUUUAAUAUUUUUAAGCAUAUUUGUUUUCAUCAAAUUAACUAUUUUGAACUAUUUUGCCUUGAAUGAAAUAAAAUGCUCUUACUUUUGUUAUCUAUUACUAAUCAAACUCUUUUAUAAAAAAAAUACUUUAAACUAAAGAAACCAAGAAAAUUCAAUACCUUCUAGGUUAUUCAACCCCAAAUAUAAUUCUUUGAGUCGUGUCGGAUUUCCAAUACUUCUUGGAAUGAUCCCCAUCAAUUGAUUAUAGGAAAAUGACAAAAUUUUAAGGUUGUUGCAUUUGCUUAUACUUGACGGAAUGUUACCAUAUAAUUCAUUCCGACUCAAGUAAAGCCCUUCAAGCUUGGAAAGAUGUGACACAUAUCAUUAGGCAAGCUACCUGAUAGGCUAUUGUUGGAGAGAUCAAUGGCCUUCAGAGAAGAAAUGUUGAAGAUCGAAGUUGGAAUCUGACCUGUAAGGCCUUUAAUUGCUUUAAUAUUAAGCAGUUCCAAACCAAGAAGAUUACCGAUUUCCUCAAGAAUUUGACCUGCACACAUGGUCGAAAAAUCAAUGUGUCAAACUACCUAUUUUGUUAGCAUAAGUCAAAGAGGUUUUCUUUUCUGUUCUAUAGUAAUUUGGUGAUGUUAGAUUUUAAUAUAAUUCAGCACAUGUUUUUCAUCAAAUGAAAUAAAAAGUUUUUCCUUUUGUUAUCUAUUACAAAUCAAGCUCUUUUAUUAAAAAAAUACUUUAAAUUCAAGAAAUCAAGGAAAUUAAUUACCUUCUAAAUUAUUAAACCCCAAAUAUAAUUCCUGGAGUCGUGUUAGAUUUCCAAUACUUCUUGGAAUGAUCCCCAUAAAUUGAUUAUGGGGCAACAACAAAUUUUUAAGGAUGUUUCAUUUGCCUAUGCUUGACGGAAUGUUACCAGAUAACUCAUUGCUAUGCAAGUGAAGCCCUUCAAGCUCGGGAAGAUGUUGACACAUAUCAUUAGGCAAACUACCUAAUAGGCUAUUCCUGGAGAGAGCAAUAGUCUUGAGAGAAAAAUGUUGAAGAUCGAAGUCGGAAUCUGAUCUGUAAGGCCUUUAAUUGCUUGAAUAUUAAGCAUUUCCAAACUAAAAAGAUUACCGAUUUCUUCAGGAAUUUGACCUGCAGACAUAGUCGAAACAUCAAGGUGUUAAAUUUCCUAUUUUGUUAGUGUAAAUCAAAGAGGCUUUUUAUUUUUUUUCGUUAUGAAAUAAUAUGGAUAUGUUCGAUUCUAAUCAUAUUUAAGUAUAUAUUAGUUCUUGAAAGAAUGAGUUCUUAUUUUUGGUAUUUAUAUUGCAAAUAUAUAUUUUUUUAAAUUUAAAAGAAGGGAGGGGGCAAAUGUGUUUAAACUAAAGACAUCAAGGAAAAGGCAUACCAAGUAUAAUUGUUUAAGUUGUGUCAAAUUCCCAAUGCUUUUUGGAAUGAUCCCACUAAAUUGAUUAAUAGACAAUUCCAAAAUUUGAAGGUUGCAGCAUUUGUCUAUACUUGAUGGAAUAGAACUUGAUAAUUCAUUUCUACUCAAGUAAAGCUCUUUCAGCUUGGGAAGAUGGACACACAAAUCAUCGGGCAAGCCACCAGAAAGACUAUUAUCACAAAAAUGAAUCCUUUUCAAAGAAGAAAUGUUAAAGAUGGAAGAUGGAACCUGGCCAGAUAAUUGAUUGAAUCCCAAGUUCAAGAUCUCUAGAUUGGACAAGUUGACAAGUGUUUGAGGGAUCGUGCCUGUGAAGUUAUUAUUUCUCAUUUCCAACCUUUGAACUCUGUGCAAGUUCCCAAGCCAUGGUGGAAUUUCCCCAUUAAGACGGUUGUAGCUUAAUCGAAUGAUCCUCAAACGAUGCAAUUGGCCUAAUUCUUUAGCCAGAUGGCCGUAGAAAUUGUUGUUGCUCAAGUCGAUAGAAAAUAGAAAUGAAAGAUUUCCAAGGUGUGGAGGGAUAGUACCCCUAAGAUUCAUGUUUGUAAGAUUAAUCAAAGCUACAACUCUUUCAUGGAUGAUGCCACAAGAAACACCAACCCACUUACAGACAGAGGUAGAGUUCGUCCAAUUGUUUGCCAACACAUUUUGAGGAUCGACAAUGCGAUCUUUAAACUCAAAGAGUGCAAACUGAUCGGAGUUGAGAUUCCGGACUGUCAUAGCCAAGGAAACAAUAGAACAUUGUAUGAAUAAAAGUGAAAGAAGAUGAAAGCAAGUGUUGUAGUUCAUGAUGGCAAGACGAAAUAAGCCAGGAAAAGGGAAGUUGAAUUGAUGAAGAAAUAGCCAGCCAACAUGCUUAAAUAGGCUUCAACCCUUGCACACUUCUCAUACAUAAAGUUCGCUGCCAUUACAACAAGAAAACUCAUAUCUCCAUUCGUACCUAUCCAUACUUUAUUUGACUAACUUUUCCCUAACAAGUGUUCAGUAAGGAGAUAAAUCAGUUUGGAGCUAUUCACCGGCUUCUCCAAUCUUGGUUUCAAACUCCUAACCCAUCAAUUCACUUUAAUUGAAACGAUAUACACGAGUCUUUCGGCUUAUAUUUUUAAUUUAAUUUUUGUUACUUUUCAUAAUAUUUUUUGAGAAAUCCAAAUAUUCCAGUCUGAAAUUUCUUCAUUGCCACGUCUAUCUCCUGGGUAAGUCCGUGGUUAGGCAGCCCACUUUGGGAGCAGGAUUGUAAUUGUAAUUCUAUCCGACUCAUUUUACUAUUUAGAAAUAUAAAAGUAAUAUUAUAUUAUUUUUUAUAUUUUUAUAAAUUUAAUUUUAAUUAUAAUUUUUAAACAAUAAAACGAGUCAUUUGUAUUUGCCUAGUCUAAAUUGAAUCAGGAGUCAAAAAAAUUUUAAUCAUAAUUUACUAUUAUUUUAAUUAAUUAAAAUUUAACCUACUACAACUAGUAGUUGCAGAAAAAAUGUCAUUCCUUUAGAAAAACGAAAAUCCUUUAGAAAAAUGAGAACUUAUGAAGCAUUCAAUAAGAGUCAUUGGAAUAAAUGGUAACGAAAUCAUAAUUCAAUAUAAAGCUAAAAAAUGUACCAAUCUAUAUAAAUAAUGUAAGAUUUGUGAUACCUAAAUUAUUAUAUUUUCCAUAAAUAUAUGAAGAUAUUUUAUUAGGAAAUAAUUUUAUAUAUAAAAUUUUUUAUUUUCUUUUGAUAGAAAUUUAAUUAUGUUAUCUGUAGAAAAAAAUAUUUAUAGAAAUAUUAUUAGUAGAAAAUCAUAAAUUUGUGUGUGGCAAAAAAAAUUCACCACCAAGAAAGGGGCAAAUUAAACAACUUGAAACAAGUCAUUGGUUGUUUAAAAUAUUAGAUAAUAAUUUCAGUGAAGAAUCAUUAAAAUUAUGACAAAAUAACCCUAGAUAUUGUAGUAUUAAAUUGGAAAAUCUCAAUAAUAUUAUUAGAGUAAAACCUAUGAUCUAUCUAAACAAGAUAUAGAAGAUUUUGAUAUACAAAUUAAGGUUAGAAAUCAUGCGGAAAUAAAAAAGAAAAAAAAGCUAGUAUGGUCAUUAAUUAUAAAAGAUUAAAUCAAAAUAUUAUUUUUUUAUAGUUACUUGAAUUAAUCAGGCUAAACAAACAAAAUAUUUUAGUAAAUUUGACUGCAAAUCAGGAUUCUAGCAAAUCAUGAUAACAGAAAAGUCCAAACCUUUAACGGCUUUUAGUGCACCCAAUGGACAUUACCAAUGGAAAGUGAUGUCAUUUCAAUUAUGUGAUGCACCACAAAUCUUCCAAAGACGAAUGGAUUUUAUAUUUAAUAAAUAUAAAAAAAUUCUAUGUAGUCUACAUAGAUGAUAUUUUUUAUAUUUUUAGAUACACUAGAAUUACAUAAGAAACAUUUAAAUAUUAUUUCUUAAGAAUUCAUAAAAUAUAGAAUCAUAUUAAACCCUAAAAAUAUAGAGUUAGAAAAAAGAGAGAGAAUUUUUAUAAUAGUGGAAAUAAAAAAUUGUCCUCAAAAGAUUGAAGAAAAAAAGAACUUCCAACAAUUUCUAAUAUAUUCCUCCCAAAUUUUCAGUUUCAAUUUUAUUACAGAAUUUCUUUGCCGACAAUAAGAAAUUAAGAGCGCUCUUUAAGUUGAAUAUAGUCCGUCAGAUAUGGCUAUCUAUAACAUGGAACCUUUGGUUUUCAAGCUGAAUAGGAGAAUUGAUUCACUUGAUAAGUAUGAAAAAUUGAAACUGCUAAAUUUAAGUGCACUAACUCUGGAUAUCAUCAUUAUUUUUCUGUACAUUAAAGUACCUGUUUGAUAUGCGAUUUCUGCCUCAAACUAUCAACAUCUUUAACAUCCUUUUGCUAUAGUUAGCAUGGGUACUUCCUUUUAGAUUAACAGUUAGGUUUGAACUGUGAAUUAGAUUUCUGUGGCUGCUGGGAUUGAAGAAGUUAGUAUGCGAAUGACAUUGGACAAAUUUGGCAAAGUCUUCUCCAUCAGUGAAGAAAACCCCUUGGCGUAUGAAAAAUGUUCACCAUCUUAGACAUUUGUUUUCUUAUUGUAAGAAUAUUUUUAACAUUGUAACUUUUAACAUUAUUGUAAGAAUAUUUUGAAUUAUACUUCAGUUAUCAAUUUAUAUCAUAUAUCUUUUGUUGAAUUUGAAGUAUAAUUUAUAUUUGCUGUUUUUGGUUAGAUUUCAUGCUAUAGGAAGGGUUGUAUAUGGAUAGAAAUUGAAUGUUACAAAUCUGCCAAAGUUAGUGGCGUUUUUUCAUAAGAGCUGCUAAAGAAUGCUAUUUUUGGCGGUGUUUGUAAUAAAAGAGCCGCUAAAGGUCAUGUUCUUUAGCGAUGUUUGUGGGUAAAGCGCCGCUAAAGAUCAUGUUCUGUAGCUGUGUUUGUGGAUAAAGCGCCGCUAAAGAACAUGACCUUUAGCAGCGUAUUUUCACAUAAACGCCGCAAAAUUUAGCGGCUUUGUCUAUAGCGACUUUUUUUGCAGCGCUUUAAGUUUUAGCGGCGCUUUUAGGCCUAAAAAAGGGCCGCUAAAAGCCUGUUUUGCUGUAGUGAGCAUAUUUACAUUUUCGUCCCAAUUUCAACUAACACCCCAUCUAUUUCCCACUUCCCUUUUUCGGGCAAUUUCAACUAACACCUUCAUAUCAAACAUAACUAUUUUUCAAUUUUUCUUCUUUAUUUCAUUAAUAAAAUUAUCAAUCUAUUUGUUUUUAAAUAUAUAAUUUCAUUAAUAUUUUUUAAAUUAUAAUAUAAGAGUUGUUGUUUAUUUAUAGUUUUAUUACAUUAUUUACUCUCUCUUUUCUAUCAAGUUUUUUAAAUUAUAAUAUAAGAUUUAUUUUAUCAAUUUGUGGCUUAUCCAGUAUUCAUCUAUUUUAAUAAUAACUUGAGUUCCAGUCAUUAUCAUACCAGAAAGAGUUCCAUUUAUUCUUUAUCGUAAAUUUUAUAAAAAAAUAUACAUUUUAUUAUAAUACUAUAUGUGUUACGAAUAAUAUUUUAUUGUGGAUGCCCAUAAUUUUCAAAGUUGUAACCUCUAAUGUAGUAACCUUAAUGAAAUUAUGAGGCUUUUAUAUUGUAAUCAAGCCUCUAUUUAUUCUUUGUAACUUAAACAGAAGCAUAUUUUCUAUUAUAUUGAUAUUUUUUAUAGAUAUAUAUAUAUAUAUAAGGAAUCAAAUAAAAAGUUAUUUACCUUUCUAUUAUAUUGAUAUUUUCUAUUUGAUUUGUUCUUUUCUUUCACUAUUCCAUAAUAUAUUAUCAGUACGAUUUUAACCAAGAGUAACAUGUUAUUAGAUUGUGUCAAAAUUUUGUUGAGAAUCAUUAGAUUGUUUCCUUUUUCUUCUAUUUAGCCCCAAAUUGCACCCCUACACAAAAUUCAACAAAAACAUGGAAAAAUUAGUGGUGCACUCUCAUAAAUUAACCAAUUUAAUUACAUAAAAUAUGUAACUUUAGCAUUUUAUCAAUCAUGUUCUUUAGCGGCAUUUGUGGGUAAAGCGCCGCUAAAGGUCAUAUUCUUUAGCAGCGUUUGUGAUAAAAGUGCCACUAAAUAUCAUGUUCUUUAGCGGCGUUUGUGGAUAAAGCGCCGCUAAAGAACAUGACGUUUAGCAGCAUUUUUUUACAUAAACGUUGUAAAAUUUAGCGGCGUUGUCUAUAGCGACGUUUUUUGCGGUGCUUUCAAAUAGUUUUAGCGGCGCUUGUAGGCCUAAAAAAAUGCCGCUAAAAGUCUGUUUUGCUGUAUGAGCAUAUUUACAUUUUCGUCCCAAUUUCAACUAACACCCCAUCUAUUUCCCACUUCCCUUUUUCAGCCAAUUUCAACUAACACCUUCAUUUCAAACGUAAUUGUUUUUCGAUUUUUCCUCUUUAUUUCAUUAAUAAAAUUAUCAAUCUAUUUGUAUUUUAAAUAUAUAAUUUUAUUAAUAUUUUUUAAUUAUAAUAUAAGAGUUUUUGUUUAUUUAUAGUUUUAUUAUAUUAUUUACUCUCUUUUUUCUAUCAAGCUUUUUAAAUUAUAAUAUAAGAUUUAUUUUAUCAAAUGGUGGCUUAUCGAGUAUUCAUCUAUUUUAAUAAUAACUUGAGUUCCAAUCAUUAUCAUACCAGAAAGAGUUCCAUUUAUUCUUUAUCGUAAAUUUUAUAAAAAAAUAUAUAUUUUAUUAUAAUACUAUAUGUGUUAGGAAUAAUAUUUUAUUGUGGAUGCCCAUAAUUUUCAAAGUUGUAACCUCUAAUGUAGUAACCUCAAUGAAAUUAUGAGGCUUUUAUAUUGUAAUCAAGCCUCUAUUUAUUCUUUGUAACUUAAACAGAAGCAUAUUUUCUAUUAUAUUGAUAUUUUUUUAUAGAGAUAUAUACAUAAGGAAUCAAAUAAAAAGUUAUUUACCUUUCUAUUAUAUUGAUAUUUUCUAUUUGAUUUGUUCUUUUCUUUCACUAUUCCAUAAUAUAUUAUCAGUACGAUUUUAAUCAAGAGUAACAUUGUAUUAGAUUGUGUCAAAAUUUUGUUGGACUUCAAGUAUUGGAAUUUAAUUGUUUAAGUUAAGAAUCAUUAGAAUCAAUGGCUAUUUGAGAUAUGCUUGAGGAUGAUCUCAUUCUAUUCAUCACAAAGGUGGAGGUUAGAAAAUCUUUAUGUUUAAACAUUUAUAGCUUUAAAGUUAUUUUAACCUCUUAUUGUGACCUUAUAAUAUUUUGUAAUUUUUUGUAUUAUGGUAUAUAAAAAAAAUCUAACCAUAGUGAUUGAUUAGUAAUAUGAAUUUGUUAUUUGUUAUGUUUAAUAUAUAUUUUAUUUAUACUUAUUCAUUUUAUUUUUAUAUGAGUAAAUGAAGUGUUUGAAGAUUCGAAAUUUUUAUCAUCCAAGUUGAAAAUAAGUGCAAAAGUGUACAUUAUUUAAAAUAAAUUACGCAUUCAUUAAUGUUAUAUGAUAAAAUCAUUACAUGUUCUAAAGAACUAAUAUUGCAUCAAACUGUAAAAAGCUCUUGAAGAGUUAAUAUUUUACCUCCUUGUGAUACAAAAUCAUAUACAAUAUGAUAUUAUUUUUCAAAUCGAGUAGAUAUAUGUUGAGGGAAAUCUUUAUGUGGUUUACAUUAAAACCAUGGAUAGAAAUGACAUGAGAUACUCGUGUAUUUUUAUUAUAAAUAUUCCUUGAAGGAAGACACUUCACUUGUAUGAUUGACAUAUGAGAUAGUGGCAAGAAGUUCAUAGUGUUGGUAUGGUCGUCUAGAUCAUCUCAAAUCAAUAAUGAUGCAAAAUAAUUUGAAGAGAAUUUAUAUGAUUUUAUUGAAGAAUGAGAAGAUAUUUUCAUUUUGAUAAUUGUCAUCAAUACUAGUUCUUUGGAAAAAAAAUAUUGAACUAACAUAAAGUUAGAGGUUGGUUGCAUUUUUUGAUGAUAUCCAAAUAAUAUAUGAGCUCAUGUAUCACAUGUAUGCAACCCAAAGUUUACAGUAUUAUUUCUUGAAAUAAUUUGAUUCUACACAAUCUCUAUAGUAUGCAAUUUGUGCUAACAACGUUGGUGCAUUAUAUCCUAAGCUUGAUUUUCGUAGUUUUAGCUGAGAUAAUAUUAAGUUGUCUAUGCCUAUAUAUGUUAUACUUAAUGGUUAGCAAAAUUGUGCCUCCAUUUAAUUGCUUAACCAUUAAUAUAAGAAUAACUUUAAAAUAAGCAUGUAAUUUUAUUUGCAUAGAGUCAACAUGUAAGAAACAUUUGCCCCAUGAGAAUUGGCUUUCAUUUAUAAGCCAAUAGGUUUCAUAUGACUAUUUGGAUGUAAAAUAUCUAUUUUAUAUUCCACCAUAAUGCACUAAGAUGGUCCAUCAAGUAUGAAGUUGAGAAAAUUUAGAAUUUUUAUUUGAUGGUAAAAGUUGAAAAGAGAUAUAUACUUAUAAUUUUGAAAAAAAUAGUCAUGUUGCAAAUUUUUCUCAAUAUUAGGGGGAGACAAGUUGGACAAAUAAGGAUAAUUAUGUCAUCACUUUUUGUGAUCCCUCACUAAUAUUAUGUGCACAAAGUUUGAAGGAAAAAAGUAUUUGCUAGACAUGUUUAGUGAUGACACUUAGAGAUUGUAUAUACUAGAUGAUACAUAUACCAGCUAAAAUGUUCCAAAUAAUUAUGAGUCCUAGAAGGACAUAGUGAUAAAAAUAAUUUUUGGGCACGCUAGAAGGAUAAAAAACUAGUUCAUUCUAUAAAUCAAAAAAUUCUUGAAAGAAAAGAGUAAGAAAUGAAGCUGGCCACACAUUAAAGGAAACGAGUACUCAUGAAGAGACCUAAGGCAUAACUUUUAAUAAAACCCCAAAAGAGGUUCAAUACAUGGAAUUAUGAAUAUAAUAAGAUAUCUCGAUUAGUUAUAUCAUAACUAAAGAUGAUGGGGUUGAUAAAAGGAAAUUGUUGUUAACAACGAUAAUCUAAGUAGAACAUUUCAAUAUUAUGGUAAAAUGAGUAUUUUGAAUGAAAAUAUACUUGAAAGUAUUUAGAUGGGAACAACUCAUCAAAAUAAAUAGACGUUUCUAUUAUAACUUAUGAAAUGUGUCUCGGACAUGAAGUCCAAACAUUCGACAGGUGUAAAGCCAAGUGGAGUAUAUGUUAGCAUAAUAGUGAAAAAAUACAAAUCAUAAUAUAUAAAAUUGACUUGUAAGACAAACUUUCCCAAGACACUUGAUUUUGAUUAUGAAAAAUGAUUAAUUUGUGAUCUUAUCAAUUGAACAUACUUUGUAUAAUCAACAAAUUAUUAAUUAACCUCAUUUAACCAAUUUCCUUCAACACAUUUCAAAUCAAAUUAAUGUGUUGAGCACGCCCUUAACCCUUUUUCUUGAUUCAUUGCAUAGUCUAUUUCCAAGUACCAUAAUCAUCAACAUUUCAAUAUAUAAAGUCAUAACAUAAUGAAUCAUAGUUAGAAUUUUUUUUACCCUAUUAACCAAGUAUGGAACAAAAAUAAAAACCUAAUUUGUCAAGCUCAUUCAAUCAGCUUAUAUAUUAUAAGAAGAGCCUAAGUAUAAAUCCUAUACAUGAUUUCAAAUUCAACUAUUUAUAUUUGAGAUUCAAUUUAAAAUUCAUACUGAAAUUAUCAAAUUAACUCGUAAGCUACUCACGCUAAACAUUAAGGUACUCGAAUUCAAGUGGCUAGAUAUCAUAAACACUUUUAGCUUGUAAAACUAUUUCUAAGGGUCAGCCCAGAAUCAUGGUUGAACCCAAAAUCUGGUAACAAAAAUUUAAUUGAGCCAUCAGCCUAAAACAAAAAAGGCUUAAAAGGUUGGCACCCGAACAAUCAAAGAUAAACACCACCAUAUGCCACUCCCUGAAUCCGAUACAUACAAUAACACCCUUCACCACUUUUAUUCUUCUCCUUUUUUUUAACCUCAAUUUGGAUGGUCGCAUUUCUCUUUUUAGUGCUUUAUAGGGUUUGGGCUUUCAGAAUCCUCAGAGAUGCAAUUCAUGGAUCCCUCUAAGAAAUGCAAGCUUGAUGAAAAUGGUAUUAUUUCAACGGCAUCAGAACCUGACCCAAUCACCAAACUAACCCCACAAGAUGGCCGCAAGCUAAUCGAGCAAUUUAUCGUCGAUCAACUCCUUGACGUCCUCCAAGAUGCUGUUUGUUGUCACCUUGAUGUUCUUUCCGCCGUACACUCUAUUGCCGAUCAAGAUCCAUCUCAAAGGAAGCUUUUCAUCCGUGGUUGGGUUGGGAUACUACAACCCAACCCAACCCACAUUAGCAUACUACCAUGCGGUAACUUCUAGUGAUUUCUGUCUGUAACAUUAGACAGGUUAACAGUUAAAUCGUUCAACUGAAAGAUUUCUUUGAAGGAAGAGGUCAAUUGAUUUUUUUUGGAAUCAUUGUGUACUCAGUUGCAUUUAAGACGGGUAUCAUUCAUAAAGUAUAUAUCUACAUCAAGAAUGGUAGCCUCUUAUAUUAUAUUCAUGUAUUUAUUUUGCAUCUUUAAUUAUAAUAGGAUUUUUUUUGUUUAUUUAUAGUUUUAAUUAUAAUAUUUUUUAAAUAUGCCAAAGUAAAUUAUGUACCAAUUUUAAACUUCUCCUAGGUAAUUUAACGUAAGGGCAUUUAUGUUAUUUUACCACUUAUGAUAAAACUAACCUAAUUUUAGAUCUAAGUGUUUACCAACCUUCUUUUAGUCAAAUUAUGCAAGCCUAAAAUUUUUAGCUUAAUUUGAGUUUGUUUACUAUGUCUAAUUCAAGUUUUAUUAUUAAGAACUAAAUUGUAACUUAAACAAAUUAGAAUACCAAUUUAAAGAGACAAAAAUUCAAAGCCCCAAAACCCACACGGGCAUGUGGGUAAGUGACACAGGCGUGUGGAAACUGGAGCUAUCACACACGGGUGAGUGGGACUGAAAAAUAUGAAAUAAAUUAAUCCAUUUAAAUUUCCAACAACCAUGCUAUACUACCAAACCAAAUAAUGUUAGAAGCUUUGAAUAGGGGCGAAUCUUAAAAAAAAUAGAAGAAUUAGAAUUAAAUUAUAAAAUUUUGAGAAGUUGUCAUGUAUUAAUUUAUUAUUUUUUAAAGGGUCUUAAUAGAUUUUUUUUCCCCAUUUUGGUUUGGCCAAUACCCCUGUCUGCCUCUUUCAAUUUGCUUCAACCCUUAGCCCAAUAUUCGAUUUGUUGUGGAAGUUUGACGCAUAAAAAUUCCUUUUUUAGAGGUUUAAAUUAUAAAUUUUUAUUAACAAAAUAUAAAAGAAAAAAACAUGUGUAGACAAGCCAAGAAACCUUUGGGAUCAUACAGGUGAUUUUGAGAUGUUCAUGGUUAUUUUGGUGGAGAGGGUAAAAAAGAAACAAAUGAUUCAUUAUAUAUGAUAUAAUUAUGAAAUUCAAGCCAUAUAUUGUAUGUUUCAUCCAUACAAAUUUCUUGUAGCAUUAAAUGACUCGUAGGCUUGCUGAAUUUCUUUGAAAGGCCCAAAGGCAAUUUAACAUUCACAAAAUAAUCUCUAAAUAGUGUAAAGACAAAUCAAAUCCACAGUAGCAUUAGAGUUGAUUAAGCUAAGCAUUGGCAAAUAUUACUUUGAUUUUGCAUGCAAUAUUGGCAAAACCCCCUCUUACAUUAGAAAAACAACAUAAUCCAUGAAACAUUGAUAGCCCAAUACAAAUUUCAUCGAGAAAAAAGUCUCUUUGUUUUGUAGAACAUGAUAGUAAAGAUGUGGAGUUUCGUUCUUCUUAUUGGCCUCCUUUAGUUUUCCUUGAUCAACAACCACUAGCCAAAAACACAAUUAGAUUAGAUUAUGAAUGAUACUUUCAACUAUGACAAUAUUAAAUACAAACCACUCUAAAUAACUCUAAAUAAAUGGAAAGCAGCAAAUUACCAGACGAGGCAAGCUAGCUCAAUUAAGACCAUUGUGUUAUACUUGUCUCUGAAUUGAAAAAUUUAGAAGGAAAUAAAGAGAAAGACUUAGAAAAUACUUGAAAACAGAAAAAAAAAUUAUGUCAUUUAAAAUAAAAAAUUUCUAUUCAAGCCAUUUAAAAUUUGUAAGAUUUUUAAAAUUUUAAAAUGAUAAAGGUAAAAUUGUACUUUGGCACCCCAAAAAUGAUAAAACUUUGAUUUAAUUAUUUAAAAAUUAUAAAAAUAUAGGCUAUUAAAAUGGUGAAAUUAUAUUUUUACUAUAGUAAAAAUUACAAUUUAAUUUCACCCCUAAAAGGAUUUUCUGGCUUCGCACCUAAUAAAAUCUUUGGCAAAAGACUAAAAUAAAAUUAUACCAUGAAUGGAAAAAGAAACUAAUAAAAUCCAAUCUAACAAAGAAAAUAACUUGAUGUCCAAAAGCUACCAUAAACCGUAAUUCAUGGGAAGGCUUGUUGCUUAUUUUAUUGGUUUCCAUUUUGAAAGAAGUUUGAAUUUUGAAGAGAGCCUACUACGUGAAAGCAAAAGAAAAAAAAAUAGUUUAUAUGAUUAAAAUUCCAGAAUAGAUUAAAAAUGUUGAAUUAAAGAUAAAAUUAAGUGUGAAUUAAUAACCACAAGUGUACUCUUUACUCACCAUCUCUGUUAAAAAUGUUGGAUGUUGUUUAGCAACCUUUGUUUGAUUUUCUUCAGCUCAACCACAACAUCUUUCAUAUCUUUUCUUUCUUCUGGUAACUCAGCUGAACAAUUCAAAGCCAACUCCAUGAUAGAUGAAAUACAAUUUGCUUUAACAACAAUGUACUCAUCCUCUCUUCUUAAUAAAUCAACAUCUGCAAUUUCUAUCGCUCCUUUAGGCAAUGAUCUUUCCAUCCAAUGCCUUAUACUCUCUUCUUCAACAAAAACCUUAUCAGUUGGCUUUUUCUUUGUGAAAGUUUCUAUAAGGACGAUCCCAUAACUAUAGACGUCAGAUUUUAUAGAAACAAUUCCUGCUGAUCCAAAUUCUGCAUUUCAAGUAUAAUUAGAACAUCAUUCAUCCUCAAUUAUUUCUAAAACGCUUAUUCAAAUAUCUAUCCACAUACACGUGAAACAAGAAUAUAAAAUACAAAUUAGGAAAAUAAUCAUACAAAAAUAAAAAAAAGAAUUCACCUGGUGCCAUAUACCCAAUAGUUGCAAGAGUCAUGGUUUGCUUCAUUACUUCACCUUCUCCCAACAAUUUGGCAACGCCAAAAUCUCCAACAUGUGCAACCAUGUCUUCAUCUAGUAAAAUAUUGCUUGGUUUUAUGUCACAAUGAAUUAUAGGUGUUGGAUGUCCAUUGUGGAGGUGUUCUAUAGCUACCGCAACAUCUAUCAUUAUGUCGACCCUUUGUAUGAUACCAAGGAAACAAUUUUCAGAAUGUAACCAUUUCUCAAGGUUUCCAUUAGACAUGUAAUCAAGCACCAAGGCUUUGAAGUCAACACUUGAGCAGUAAGUAAUGACCUUCACAAUAUUACGAUGAACUAUAUUAAGCAUAGCAUCACAUUCAAUGUCAAAACUCCUAAAUGCUCCCUCUGUUUGCAAAUUGAAAACUUUUAUUGCAACUUCCAUUCCAUCUGAAAGCCUCCCUUUAUAUACAUAUCCAAAACUCCCUGAACCAAGCGUAUUGCUUUCCUCAAAUCCAUUAGUUGCUCGUGAAAGUUCAGCAUGUGAAAUUCUUCUCAGUGUCUUCAAAGACAACAAAUCAUCUUUAACUGGUAGAGCUGUACUCCUUUGGCAUCUUCUAUACAUAAUAGUUAAGACUAUUAGUACUAGGACAAUACCAAUUGUUGGUAAACCAUACCUAAAAGCAUGCAAUAUAAUCAUUUGGGAGUUUUUGUGGAUGUCAUUUUUGCAAGGUGGGACUAGCAAUCUAGGUGGACCACAAAGUGCACAAUUAUUCAUGAAUGAUGUGCUAGAAAAGUUUGAAAAACAUCCUUUGCUGGGAAUUUCCCCUUCAAGUCUAUUGAAAGACACAUUAAAAUACUUUAGAUAUAAAAGCUUUUCCAAAGAUUUGGGAAUGACUCCAGAGAGAUUGUUAUUGCAUAAAUCCAAGAAUUCCAAACUAAUCAACCCAUCAAAUGAUUCAGGGAUAUGACCAUGUAGUAUAUUAUUUGAUAAAUCUAAUGAAACCAAAGUUUGAAGACCCCCAAAUGUGGAUAAGAUAUCGCCCAUGAGAAGAUUCCUUGAUAAAUUUAGUCUCAGUAGACUCCUAAAGUUUCCAACAUCAAUAGCAUGCGAAUUGUGAAGAUGGUUUGAUGAUAAAUCUAUUUCUAAGAUAUCUUUAAGAUUCCAUAAAGUUGAGGGUAUUGCGGAACUCAAUUUGUUGGAAUCUAACCAAAGAUAUCUCAAAGCAGAAAUAUUACCUAAACAAGAGGGUAUGGAUCCAUGCAGCUUAUUCAACCCUAAAUACAUCUUGAAUAGUCUCUCCAAACCACAGAGGCUUUCUGGGAUAGGCCCUUCUAAUUUAUUAGAGGAAAGAAAUAGACCUUGGAGAUUUAUCAUUCCUCCUAUUGAUGCUGGAAUCAAUCCACUUAAUUUAUUAUAGCCAAGUUGUAAAACCAACAUGUUGCUUAAGUUACCUAUUUCCAUAGGAAUAAUGCCUUGAAGCUCACACUCUGUGGCACGAAAGUAUUGAAGGGAUUUUGAAAGGUUCCCGAAAUAAGUAGGAAGAACGCCACUCAAUGGAUUUCCUGAAACAAUUAUUCUUUUCAAAUGCUUGCAAUUCGUCAAAGAAGAAAGAAAGCUCCACUCAUGAUCAGUAGCAGAUCCUGUGAUCAAAUUAUUGUUUACGAUUCCGAACCAUUCAAGGUGUCUUAAGCUGCCAAGCAUUUUAGGGAUUGGGCCAGAGAAUAAGUUUUCUGACAAGGAUAGAAUCUUAAGCAUGGAAGCAUUGGAGAUAGAGUUGGGAAUGUUUCCGCUAAGUUUAUUUCCCCACAGUAAAAGAAUCUGAAGCUUUGGAGCAUUGGUAAUGGGUGGUAAAUUACCUGUAAAAUAGCAUCUUUUAGAAAACAUAUUCAUUGAAUACCAAAUUCACAAAAUAUAUAAUACAUUAAAAUAAAAACUGUAAAACUUUAAAUCAAUUAAGAAUAAAAUUUUGGCAUGGAAAAAUGUGAUGAAAUCAAUUAGAAAGUUGAGACAUAAUAAGAAGUUUUGAGUAGUAAUUAGUCCUUGUGAUUUGUAUAGACAAAACAUAUAAUACACUGAUAAUUUUUUUAAAAUAUUGUAAAACCUGAAAUAAAAUAAAAAAUAAAAGUUUGGCACAAGAAUGUGGCAUCUAAUCAUUCUUAAAAAUAAGACUAACAUUAAAUAAUAAUUAGUUAUGAUUUGAGAAACAAAAAUGUUAAAGAUGUAAACUGGUAUGAUUUUUAUCUAUUGGGUUAAUUAUUUAUUUUUAUUAAAUUAUAUAUAGUGUAAAAUUUAAAGAUUAUUAUUUGCUCAAAAUUUUUGUAUUUUUCGUAUAUUUGAAAUUUAAUCUUUAUAUUUUUUUAUUUUCUGUGAUUUAGUCUCUCUACUUUUUAAAUUGAAAAUUUUAAGUUUAUUUAUUAACACUGUUAAAAAGUUUUUGUGUUAGUAUGGCAUUUUGAAAAAUAAAAUAAACUUGAUAUCUAUGUUUUUAAUUAUUCCAAAUACUGUUUUACUAUUCCAAGAUAAAUUAUUUGUGUCUAGACCAAUAUCUGAAGAACUAUUGUUGCAUGUUUAAUUAUUCUAAAGAAUUGUUGAUUGAGUCUUAGUUGAAGUGCACUAUUCUCCUAUUUAUGAAUUGGGGAGUUGAUAAAGUACUAAAUUUUGAUAUAUUUUAAAAAAUUAAAAAUUUAUUAAAAUAUUUUUAUAAAAAUUGAUUGUACCAAAAUAUACAAUUUUAAUAUCAAAUUUUUAAUUUUUUAAAAAUAUUAGCGAAUAUAUACUUUAUUUCAAGUUACACAAUUUUUACUAGUUUUUAACUUUUUUUUUAAAUUUUUAUCGUCUUUUAUAAUUUCAUAUAAUUUUUUAUAAUUUUUUACAAUAUUUACAAUUUCUAACAAUUUUUAAUAAUUUUAUUAUUUAUUAUAAAUUUAAAAAUUAACAAAUUUUUAUUUUUUUAAAACAAUUAUAUAUUUAUAAUGUAGUUAUUUUUUUAUAAUUUUUUUUGAAAUUUAAAGAUUUUUUUGGUUUUUUCUAGAUGAUGAUGCCAUCAUGAUGUCAUCAUAUGCCACAUGGCAAUUUAUAAUUAGUUGACUAUCUCAAUCUAUUUUUUUAACGUCCAAUGGACUAAAACAAGAACACCUGAUAAUGUUAGAGACUACACUAGGAAUGUUUGAUAAUAUUAGGUACUAAAGUGGGCAAAAAAAAUUAAGGACUAUAUUAAAAAUAUAUCUAUAAUAUAUAUAAAUGCAUGGAUUUUGAGAAACUUUUGAAAUGACAAAUAUAUAGUCUUUGUUUUUUUUUACUAUAUUAUUGAAUUUUUUAUUUUAAAUAUUUUUUUAUUACUUUUAAGAUUUAUCAUAUGUAUGGAUAAAAAUUUUGGUUUUACUAAAAUAUUUGGUUAAAUAAAUUCACUUUAUAAAAAAAUUUAGCAUCCUUAUAAAUAACAAUUUUGAUUCCAUUAAAAAAAUUAUUUAAUAAUAUAUAAUAAAAAUUUAAAAUUUAUAUUGAAUCACUUUAUACUUAAAUUAUUAUUAGAAACUUUAUCAUACACAUAUGUGUAUGAGAACCACGUUUUCAGAACUUAAAUUUGUGUUCUAAAAUAACUUAUGAUAAAUAAUUAAAUGUAUAAUUUGAAAUUAUAUUGAAAUAAAAAUAGAUUAAAUUGUAAGUAAAACAUAUAUAAUUUAAACAUAUGAAUACAUCAAAUUAAAAAUACUAAAUGAAUACAUUUAUUUAUGAUGAUGUUGUUGUCAAUUCAUAAGUUGGUGUCGAGUUAAUUUGUGACAUCAUAAUUUUAAGUGAUAAAUUUAAGGUUUUAUGUAUUGAUGUCGAUUCAAAUAUCACCAUAAUUUUUUUAAAUAAAAAACUAAAGCACCCUCAAAUAAUAUAACUUAUAUUAAAUAUGAAAGGGUAUUUUUGUAAUUUCUCUAACGAGUUGGUGCCCGGUUGACUCAUGACACCAACUCAAUCAAAAGCUUCAAUAAUAAUAUAGAUAUUCACGUUUAAAAAAAGUACUUUAGUUCGAAAUAAUUAUAUAACAAGUAAUUUUAUAAUUGAUGAAUAAUUUUAUAAAAAUAUAUUUAUAUAAUCUAAUAUAUUAUAUUUAUAUUAAUUAUAUAUCAUCUACAAACUUUGAAGAUCAAUUUAUUAAGUAUCAGGAAAAGAAAAAAUGAAAUUGAAUUAACACUAAAUCAAUUUUUAGAUUUUGUACAGAUGAUUUAAUGAUGAUAAAAACAUUAUUAGCACUAUUUUUGAAUUAACAAAAAAUUAGUGAUAUAUUUUAAUUAUAUUUUUUAUUUUUUAUUUUUAAUAAUAUUUUUUUAAUUAUAUGAAGUAAAAUUAUAUUGUAUACUAAAUAUGGUACAUAUACUUUAAUUAAAACUUGAAAAAUUAUUAUAUAAAUUAAUAUAUUUUAAUUAUAUUCAACCAUUUGAAUAACAAAAUUAAAAAAAACUAAUUAGAAUUAUUUACUUUUUAAAGUUUAAUGGAAAAUAAAAAAUUAAAAAUAAAUCAAUUCAUAUAAAUCUUAUUGUUUAUUAUCAGAUUAAAAUGAUAAAAGUAUAUGACAUACAUAGAAGAAACAAAUUCAACACAAUGUUUUUGGAGUUUGGAAAAAAUUAAAGUGAAAAACAUACCUUCUAAUUUGUUGUUAAAUAGAUCUAUUUCUUCGAGCGUAGUUGAAUUAAAAAUACUUGAUGGAAUCUGACCUGCACACAUAGUCGAAAAUUGAAGUGAAAUCAAACUCUUUUGUGAAAAAAAUAUUACCAGAUAAUUCAUUCCAACCCAGGUAAAGCCCUUCAAGCUUGGGAAGAUGUUGACACAUAUCAUUAAGCAAACUACCUGAUAGGCUAUUGUUGGAGAGAUCAAUGGUCUUCAGAGAAGAAAUGUUGAAGAUCGAAGUUGGAAUCUGACCUGUAAGGCCUUUAAUUGCUUUAAUACUAAGCAUCUCCAAACCAAGAAGAUUACCGAUUUCCUCGGGAAUUUGACCUGCACACAUAGUCAAAAAAUCAAGGUGUCAAACUAUCUAUUUUGUUAGCAUAAGUCAAAGAGGUUUUCUUUUCUGUUCUACAGUAAUUUGAAGAUGUUAGAUUUUAAUAUAUUUCAGCAUAUGUUUUUCAUCAAAUGAAAUAAAAAGUUUUUCCUUUUUAUUAUCUAUUACAAGUCAAACUCUUUUAUAAAAAAAAAUACUUUAAAUUCAAGAAAUCAAGGAAAUUGAUUACCUUCUAGAUUAUUAAACCGCAAAUAUAAUUCCAGGAGUCGUGUUAGAUUUCCAAUACUUCUUGGAAUGAUCCCCGUCAAUUGAUUCAAGGACAAGGACAAAUUUUUAAGGUUGCUGCAUUUUCCCAUACUUGACGGAAUGUUACCAGAUAACUCGUUGCUAUGCAAGUAAAGCACUUCAAGCUUGGGAAGAUGUUGACACAUAUCAUUAGGCAAACUACCUGAUAGGCUAUUGUUGGAGAGAACAAUGGUCUUCAGAGCAGAAAUGUUGAAGAUCGAAGUUGGAAUCUGACCUGUAAGGCCUUUAAUUGCUUGAAUAUUAAGCAUUUCCAAACCAAGAAGAUUACCGAUUUCCUCAGGAAUUUGACCUGCACACAUGGUCGAAAAAUCAAGGUGUCAAACUACCUAUUUUGUUAGCAUAAGUCAAAGAGGUUUUCUUUUCUGUUCUACAGUAAUUUGAAGAUGUUAGAUUUUAAUAUAUUUCAGCAUAUGUUUUUCAUCAAAUGAAAUAAAAAGUUUUUCCUUUUUAUUAUCUAUUACAAGUCAAACUCUUUUAUAAAAAAAAUACUUUAAAUUCAAGAAAUCAAGGAAAUUGAUUACCUUCUAGAUUAUUAAACCCCAAAUAUAAUUCCAGGAGUCGUGUUAGAUUUCCAAUACUUCUUGGAAUGAUCCCCGUCAAUUGAUUCAAGGACAAGGACAAAUUUUUAAGGUUGCUGCAUUUUCCCAUACUUGACGGAAUGUUACUAGAUAACUCGUUGCUAUGCAAGUAAAGCACUUCAAGCUUGGGAAGAUGUUGACACAUAUCAUUAGGCAAACUAUCUGAUAGGCUAUUGUUGGAGAGAACAAUGGUCUUCAGAGCAGAAAUGUUGAAGAUCGAAGUUGGAAUCUGACCUGUAAGGCCUUUAAUUGCUUGAAUAUUAAGCAUUUCCAAACCAAGAAGAUUACCGAUUUCCUCAGGAAUUUGACCUGCACACAUGGUCGAAAAAUCAAGGUGUCAAACUACCUAUUUUGUUAGCAUAAGUCAAAGAGGUUUUCUUUUCUGUUCUACAGUAAUUUGAAGAUGUUAGAUUUUAAUAUAUUUCAGCAUAUGUUUUUCAUCAAAUGAAAUAAAAAGUUUUUCCUUUUUAUUAUCUAUUACAAGUCAAACUCUUUUAUAAAAAAAAUACUUUAAAUUCAAGAAAUCAAGGAAAUUGAUUACCUUCUAGAUUAUUAAACCCCAAAUAUAAUUCCAGGAGUCGUGUUAGAUUUCCAAUACUUCUUGGAAUGAUCCCCAUAAAUUGAUUAUAGGAGAAGGACAAUUUUUUUAAGUUGCUGCAUUUGCCCAUACUUGACGGAAUGUUACUAGAUAAAUCAUUCCGACUCAGGUGAAGCCCUUCAAGCUUGGGAAGAUAUUGACACAUAUCAUUAGGCAAACUACCUGAUAGGCUAUUGCUGGAGAUAUCAAUAAUCUUCAGAGAAGAAAUCUUUAAGAUGGAAGAUGGAACCUGACCAGAUAAUUGAUUGAAUCCCAAGUUUAAGAUCACUAGAUUAGACAUGUUAACAAGUGUUUCAGGGAUUGUGCCUGUAAAGUUAUUAUUUUUCAUUUUUAGCCUUCGAACUCUCUGUAAGUUCCCAAGCCAUGAUGGAAUUUCCCCAUUCAGACGGUUGUAGCUUAAUUGAAGGAUCCUCAAACGAUGCAAUUGGCCCAAUUCUUUAGGGAGAUGGCCAUAGAAAUGGUUGCUACUCAAGUCGAGAGAGAGUAGAAAUGAAAGAUUUCCAAGGUGUGGAGGGAUAGUACCCCUAAGAUUCAUGCUUGUAAGAUUCAAAGCUAUAACUCUUUUAUGGAGGAUGCCACAAGAAACACCAGUCCAAUUGCAAACAGAGGUUGAGGCCAUCCAAUUGUCUGCCAAGACAUUUUGAGGAUCGGCAAUGCGAUCCUUAAACUCGAGAAGUGCAAAUUGAUCGGAGUUGAGAUUCUUGGCUGUCAUAGCCAAGCAAAGUACGGAACAUGAUAUGAAUAAAGCUAAGAGAAGAUGAAAGCAAGUUUUGUAGUUCAUGAUUGCAAGACGGAAUAAGGCAAGAAAAUAAAAAAAGUAGGAAAAGGGAAGUUGAGUUGAUAAAAUAGUUUGGAUGAUGAAGAAAAGCCCAGAGAGCAUACUUUAAUAUGUUUCAACCCUCGCACACUUGAUAAACUUGAUAAAUAUAUUUUGAUCUAAUAAAUGUAAAAAACUUUUUAAACAAAAUAAGGUUGAAAUAAUCUAUUUGUCCUUAUACUUUGAUAAAAUUUGAGAUUUAGUCCUUAUACUUAAAAGGAUAAAAGUGUUGUAGUUCUUGUUGUUUUUAUUUAAAAAUCUUAGUCCUAUCGUUAAUUUUUUGGGUCAAAAUUUGUCAACUGUACAUAUUAAUUAGGUUUCCCUUAUAUGUUGUUGUAUAUGACUAACACAAAAUAAGCAAGUUGACAAAUUAUGACAAAAAUAAUCAAAGAUGAUAAUAAUUUAAUUAAAAUUUUCAAAUUGAAUUAAUAACCUUUAACAUAUAAGGAAUGGAUAUCAAAUAUUUAUAGGAAAAAAGGGACUAACAACAUAUUUUAACCACAAAAUAAUAUGAGUGAUUAGAAUGAAUCUAAAAGAGACUAACAACAUAUUGAUAACUUUGAAAUCUCCUUCGAUCAUCCUUUUUCUACGUAGAAAAUGAAAAUUAAUUAGCAUCUAAAGUGUCAAUUAAUGAAACCUUCAAAAGAAAAUGUGAAAGUGAUUUAUCAAAAAAUAAUAUUUUAACUUAUAAAAUAUUUAAUUACAUUUAGUAAUUUAUCAAUCAAAAUUUAAUUAACAUCCAUCAAUACUUCAUACAUAAGUAAAUUUACCAUUUAACUCAGAUUUAACUUUGCAAGUAAACUUAAAAUUUUAUUUAAUUUUGUCACUAAAUUUAAUUUGUUCAAUAUAGAUUUUGGUGACUUAAAACAAAAUUAAUAAAAAAUUAUAUUCUUUCAGACAUCUUUUUAAUGUUUAAUAAUAAAAUAAUUUAUAAAAUAUACUUUCAUUGGACACAAGCAAGGCGAUGAACCACUGACCAAAUUAAUUUGGAUAUAUCUUUUUUCCAAAUAAAGUGAAUUUACGAGUUUUGUUUUUUUUUUAAUAUUUUUGUGGAUAUCAAGUGAUACCAAAAAUUAUUUCACUAAGAAAUUUUAAUUCACUUGAAAAGUUAGUGUUUUAUUUCAAGGGGUCAUAAUUAUAAAUUUUAAAUUUUUUGACAAUUGUGUAAUUAAUAAAUACCAAUUUUGACUGUUGUAGGGCUAGUACAAUCUCCCUUACGCAUAACCGACUCUUGAACCUACUAUUUUCUCUAGAAUUUAACGCAGACCUUAAAUUUAUCUUUUAAAAAGAAUUUUAAAAUCUCUAUAUAAAAGGUGUAAAAAUAUAUAUUUUAUUAAUUACUAUAUAUUAUUUUAUUUUCAGAAUAAUAAAUAGUUUAAAAUAUGCUGCUAGUCCCUAUAGUUUAAAAGUUAAAAAGUUUUUGGCAUCUUGAGUGCAUCAAAUUUCUCCUUUUAUUAUUAAAUGUUUUAUUUUAGUUACUCUAAUUAAAUAUAUCCAAAUUGUAAUAGAGUUAAUAUUUAUUAUAUAAAAAAAUAUUUUAAUUUUUUUUCAAUUGUAGUUUAAUUCUAGUAGAAAUAUUUCAUUUAUAAAAUCAUAAAACUUUAAAAUAUUAACUUUGUUAAAUAAAAAAUGAUUUUUUUAAACUGUAAAUUUUGACUUUAUUAACCCAAAUGGGUCUUUAGGGUUAAACUUCAGUAAUUGACGAGCUCUUCCACAAACUGUGGAUGAUUUGGGGAUAAAAACUUCAAUAAUUCUAGAGUUAAAGUGUAAAUUUACUACUAUAUUAUAAGUAAAUAUUGAAAUUUAUCACUAAAUUUUAAUUGAUACUUGUCAUUACACUUUGAAAAUAUAAGUAAAUUUAUCAUUUAACUCAUAUGUGAUUGAAGUUUGCAAGUAAACUUAAAAUUUUAUUUAAUUUUGUCACUAAAUUUGAUUUAUUUAAUUAUAUUUACAACUCAAUAUAGAUUUGGUGACUUAAAACAAAAUUAAUAAAAAAACUAUUCUUUCAGAUAACUUUUAAUGUUAACUAAUAAGUUGAUUUAUAAAAUAUACUUUCAUUGGACACAAGCAUCCAAGGCGGUGAACAAACCACUGGUCAAAUUAAUUUGGAGAUAUCCUUUUUGCGUUUUUCUUUUUUUUUAAAAAUAUUUUUAAUAUUUUUGUGGAUAUCUCCAAAUACCAAAAAUUAUUUCACUAAGGAAUUAAUUAGUAUUUUAAGGGUUCACAAUUAAACUUUAGACUUUUUAUUUUUAAAUUUGGAAUUUUUUGACAAUUGCAUAAUUAACAAGUACUAAUUUAGAGUGUUGCAGGAUUAUUACAACCUUCCCUACACGUAACAGACUCUUGAACCUACUUUUUUCUCUAGAACUCAAUGCAAACCUCAAAUUUAUCUUUUUAAAAGAAUUUUAAAAUAUCUAUAUAAAAGGUGAUUUUUUUACCGAUCACACUUAACAAAAUUUUAAAAAUUAUUAAUUUCUUUUUGAAAUUUAAAGUGAUCUAAAACUAUAUUUUUAAGUGCUUUAGACCAUGCGGUGCUGAUUUCUUUAUUGUAUUAAAUGCUUGCAAUCACUCCUUGUAUCUUAUACUUGAGUUGUAACAAAACCAAUUGUCACGUGUCAUAAUGUUCUACUGAUGCUGAAACUGAAGUUUUUGUUAUAUUAAUAGAGCUUGUCCUUCAACGCGUAUAACAAGUGUUUGUUAUUUUUUCCUUCAAAUUGUAUGAUCUCAUUCAUUAAAUAAAUUAAUGAAUUUCCCUUUAAAAAAUAUAAUUUUAAAAAUUAAAUACUUUAUAAGAUAUUUAAAACUAUUUAAAAAAUUGUAAGCGUUAAAACAAUCAACAAGAUAUAUUUUUCUUUAAAAAAUCAAUAAAAAUAUGUUUAAAAUUUUAUAUGAAAUUAAAAAUUUUUUAACAAUAAUAUAUUUUAAAAUUAUUUACACCUUUUUUUAUAUAUUUUUCCUAACAUAUCGUUAUUUUCAACACUAUCGUAAUCCUAUUUUGAUAAUUCCCUUUCCAUACAUCCUUUUUCUACAUAGAAUUUCAAAAGAAAAUGUGAAUUAAUGCAGACUUGAGAAGACCUAGAGGUAAGUCACCCAAUGAAACUGACCUAAACCGACUUAUGGACCAAUCAAACAAUAAUUUUGUAUCUCAUAAUAUAUUUAAUUACAUUAAUUAGCUUAUCAAUCAAAACUUAAUUAAAAUCCAUCAAUAAAGUUGCUGAUUGUAUGGCUAAGGCAUAUGGAGGCAUAAUUGAGCAGCUGGUUAUCUUGGAAGAUCCUUCGCGUUAUGUAAGAUAUUGGCUUGAAGGAGAUAUUAGACAGUCGUUGGUCACUGAUGAUAAAUUUCAUUUGGAUUGAAGCAGGCUUAAUUUUCUAAGUUUAUGUUCAACCAGAAAAAAAAUCUAAAUUGUAAUAGAAUUAACAUUUAGUGUAUAAAAAAUAUCUUAAAAAUUAUUUUUUCAAUUGCAAUUCAAUUCCACAAAUACUGACGAUGAACCCUGAAACGGACAUGAAAAUUACAAAAAGAAAAAAAGCACAUCUAUUAUCAAACCAGCAAUCCAUGCCUAAACUGAGAGAGAUGAACCCUAUGAUAGAUUGUGACACCCCAAAGUCGACCGGGAUAGAUCGGCCCGAAUUCGAAGCAUUACAUUAGCCACCUAAAUGACUCUCUAGCUAACGACCACCCAAGACACACCCCGACCUUAUAACACCUCAAUCUUAUCUAAUUAUUAGUUAUUUAUUAAUACCAAAGUAAAUUAUGAGCCAAUUUUAAACUUUUCCUAGGUAAUUUAACCUACGGGCAUUUACGUUAUUUUACCACCUAUGGUAAAACUAACCCGAUUUUAGAUCUAAGUGUUUACUGGCCUUCUUUUAGUCAAAUUAUGCAAGGUUAAAAUUUUUAGGUGAUUUUGAGUUCAUUUACUAUGUCUAAUUCAAGUUUUAUUAUUUAGGACUAAAUUGUAACUUAAACAAAUUUGAAUACCAAUUUAAAGAGACAAAAAUUUAAAACCCCCAAAACCACACGAGCAUGUAGGUAAAUGACACGGGAGUGUGGAAACUGGAGCAAUCACACACAGGCGUGUGGGAUUGAAAAAUAUGAAAUAAAUUAAUUAUGGUGUUAAAUUCUUCCAUCAAUUGUACAUAAUUUUGAUUGGUAUAGUAAUAAAUUUAGCCUUCAAUGUUUAAAUAUUUUGUCAUUUUGGCCUUAAUUUUAAAAAAAAAUUCAAGAAAUUCAACCUCAACAUUCACAUAUUUACACAAACGUUGCGGGAAAUUUUUGUUAAAUUAAGACCAAAUUGCAAGUAUAAAUUUUGAGGGCUAAAUUUAUUAUUAUACCAACAAAAACCAUGUACAUUUUAUGGAAAAUUAACAUCCUGAUUAAUUAUUCUUAGUAGCUCACUUUCAAAAUUAAUAGGGACUAAAUUGCUCUGAUUUUUUAAGGGUGACCAAUUUCUUCAAUUUGGAAAUUGAGAGAGACUAUUCAGAUAUUUUACAUAUUUUUUAUAAAUAUAUUUUUUUAAUAUAAAAUAUAGUUGUUCACACACAUCGUGAGUAUGAUAAAAUAUUUUUAUUGUUGAUUGAAUUGGUGUCAAAAAUUAACUCGAGACCAACUCAAGAUUAAGAAUAACAAUAUGAUAAAUAAUUUAUUUAUUUAAUAUUCUGAAUUUAAAAUAUUGAUGUAAAUUUUAAGACAUGCAUGUCUUGUAGAAUUGAGAUUAUACUUUUUGAGUAUUGAGUCAGUUUUCCACAAUUGUGGGUCUCUAUUUGAGCAACACAAUUUCAACAUUUCUUCAUCUCGCUUAAUCCAAAUGCAUUUAGGAUUUUUUUUUUUAUAUCAUUGUUUCAAAAACGAUAAAAAAAAAAGUGGACAUUGAAUUUUCUGUUUCACAUUCAAUUUUUGGAGAAGUAGAAUUUUCUAACUUAUUUUCCAUCAACUUCACUUCAAUUUUCAAUCACAAUCUAUUGCAUUCAAGAGCACCACAUCAUUUUGGAUGAAACAAACCUCUCAAUUUUAAGAUAAACGGAAUCUAUUGCAUUCAAGAGCACCACAUCUUUUUGGAUGAAACAAAGCUCUCAAUUUUAAGAUAAACGGGUCUUUAGGGUUAUUAAUUAAGGGCAUUUUCCACAAUUGGCAUCGUUAUUUGCGGGUGAUUCGGGGAUAAUAACAUCAACAUUUCUGUAUCACAUUUAAUUCAAUUCCACAUUUAAGUUUUAAUUUUUAGAGAGAUGAUUGGGUUACAACAAUGGUUUGAAGUGAAGAUAUUUCAAAAGAAGGCAAAUAUAUCAAUUUUUUAAGGGGUCUUUGGAGUUAUAUGUGACUUUAGCAUUAUUGACCGACUUUUUUAUAGUUAAUCUUUUAUAAUAAGUUAAUUAUAUCAAUUUUAAUAACAUCGACAUGUUUUUUAGUAGGGUCGAUCAAAACCCAAUUAAAACCUUUCAUCACUGCAAAAAUGAAAAUAAUAGAAAUGAAAGACUAGCCAUUGUAUGAGAUUUAUAAUUGUAACUGUCAACGAAAUUGGGAGAAAUUUUUAAAUUUUAUGAAAUUUUAAAAUUAAACUGUCAAUAAUAGAAAAUUGCCUGAGUGACUUGGGAUAAGAGCUUGAACAUUUCUGGAUCACAUUACAUUUAAGAUGGGUCUUUAAGGUUAUACUUUAGUUUUUGAGAACAUUUUCCACAAUUUGCCAUCGUUAUUUGUGGGGUAAGUGGUUGAACACUUCUGGAUCACAUUGCAUUUAGGACGGGUAUCAUUCAUAGACUGACUUUUCUAUAAUUAGUCCUUGCUUUACUUUAGGUGGAUUCUUCCAACUAGUCCAAGAAUUAUUGUACAGUUACAUUUAAUCUUUUUAAAUGAGACAAACAUUUCAAAUUUGUCGUUACUAUUUGUGAGUAAUUUGGGGGUAAGAAGUUUAACACUUCUGGAUGUCUUAUAGAAUUGUGAUUAUACUUUUUGAGUAUUGACUCAGUUGUCCACAAUUGUGGGUCUCUAUUUGAGCAAAACAAUUUCAACAUUUCUCCAUCUCGUUUAAUCCAAAUGCAUUUAUGCAUUUCUUAUAUCAUUGAAUUUGCUGUUUCACAUUCAAAAAUUGGACAAGUAGAAUUUUCUAACCUAUUUUCCGUUAACUUCACUUGAAUUUUCAAUCACAAUCAAUUGCAUUCAAGAGCACCACAUCUUUUUGGAUAAAACAAAACUUUCAAUUUUAAGGUAAACGGGUCUUUAGGGUUAUACGGGGGCCUUUUCCACAAUUGCCAUCAUUAUUUGCGGGUGAUUUUGGGAUAAUAACUCGAAUAUUUCUGGAUCACAUUUAAUUCAAUUUUUAAAUUUUAGAGAGAUGUUUGGGUUACAACAAUUUUCAUCAUUAAGUUUAAUAGAACAUUUGGGAGGAAAAAGAGCAAAAAAAUGAGCGAAAACCGAAAAAUGGGGGCAAAGUAUAGGACCCACACUAGCUGACCUAUUCCACUUGACUGUGCAUCAAUUUCGUAGAUUUGCACUUUGACCUACAAAAAAAUACGAAUUUUAGGCUUUUCGGGCAUUCUAAGAUGUACAUAUGACAAAAAUAAAAAGAUAUAAGAGAACCUUUUAGAAUAUUCAAGAAAACAACUCCAAAGACACCACUAAAGCCGACUCUGAAGCAAAUUUUCAUUAAGAUGGAAGAUUCCUAAUUGACCACUAAAGCCGACUCUAAAGCAGACUUUCAUUAAAAUGGAAGAUUCCUAAUUGAUUUCUUAGGAGAUUAUCAUGAGUUUCUUUAUUCCUUUCAAUUAUACUACCCUUUGGAUGUUUUUAUUUUUAAUCAUGAACUAAUUUUCUAAAUACCUAAGAGAGAUAAACCCUAUGAUAGAUUGUGACACCCCAAAGCUGACCUGGACAACCGACCCAAAUUCGAAACAUUACAUUAGCCAUCUAAGUGACUUUCUAGCUAACGACCAGCCAAGACACACCCUAACCUUAUUGUACAAGCCCAAUUUUGACCAAGACCAAACCAAAUAAAUUAACAGUCCAUAAGAGUCCAAAUUACAACUAGCCUGAUAUGGCCCAAAUAAAAAACAACAACCCAAGCCCAAACCCAACCCUCGUAGCCCAAAGCCCACAAACUAAAAAAUUUCAGCAGAAAAAAGAAAGUUGCUAACCCUACGCGCCAUGCCUGGGUCCUCUGCCACUGACCGCAUGCCUCUGCCACCGUAUCUCACAGCCUCUGCCACGCCUCUGCUGCCUACAAGAAACCAACAAAGCACAAAAUGACAACAGCAAUAGAGGUCAAAUCGAAAAACAACAAAAAAUAGAUUACGAAUCAUUUAGAUUGGCUAUAAAGGCCGAAAUAUUAACCUUGUAAUGCUUCUUCUUUUUUUUUGACGAACAUUAGAAAAAUAAAAAACAGAAAACAAGUUUAGAAGGUAGAUUUUUUUCAUUUUCAAAUUUGCAUUUCUUUUCCCUGUGUAUUUUCUUUUCUUCUAUUUUUUUUUACAUGCAACUAGUAAGAACAAAGAAAGAGAAAGAAAAACCUCGCCUGGAAUAGCCCCUCAAGUCCGGUCGUCGAAGGCCCUUUUCCUGUUGUCAAAAUCGAACCUAAAAAGGGGGCUAGGGUGCCCUCUCCUGGUCUUUUAGGGCAACAUCGGCCACCAGUCAGGUGGCACUACGGCGGCGCUCACGGCCAAAACCGUAGGCCGAGCGGGGUGGGGGUUUGAGAGAGGGAGCUCUCUGAAAUUUUUUUAAACAAAUGGGAUGAAACUGAUUUUCUUUGGGUUUUUUUUUAUUUCAUACUAAGUAUGAAACGGCGACGUUUUGGGCUUAAGCAGCCAUGGCCAAAACGACGCCAUUUUACGUCGUUUCCCCUAUACCCACGCGCGCGACCCGACCCACCAGGGGAUCCGCAUGUUUUUGCUCUGAGGGGAUAUUUGCGCAAUCUGCCCCUACGCCUUUUUGACGUAUUCAAUUCGGUUUUUUAUUAUUUUUUAUUUUAGCCAUGUAUUUUUGCUUCCGAUUCAAGUUGGUCCUUAGACCAUGUGUUGUUCCACAGUUAAAACGCCGCACUUUAGGAUUGGGGAAUAUUUCCCUGAAAGUCCCUCGCGCUUUGAGUGCGUUUCAUUUCGGUCCCGAGCCACCCCUUUUAUUUAUUUGCAAUUUAGACCGCGAGUUCUAAUCCGAUUUCAAUUUAAUCCUUAUUCCAUGUAAUUAUUUUAUUUUCUUUUUCUUUAAAAAUUAAUUUUUUUAUUUAUAAAAAGGACCUCUUUUAUUAUUAUUAUUUAUUUUAAGUUUUACAUAUAUUAUUUAUUUUAAAUGUUUUGCCUAAUAUUUACUUAAUUUUUUUAUUAUAUUAUUUUUUUAAACUACUAUAUAUAUUGCCUCUUAGAAUUUAUAUAUAUAUAUAUUAUUUUAAUAAAAAAUAAAGAAUACUGUUUUUAAUUAUUUUAAACUAUCUUAGUAUUUUUUUUUUCAUUUUAAAGUUUUAUAUUGUUUGUUUGAGACAUUUUGCCAUACAUUUCGAGUUCAUCUCAUAAGUUAUUUGUCUUAUACUAUUACCUACAUAAAAUUGUUCUUUAUUAUUUCAUUUCGUUUGCUUGGACUAUUAAUAUUGAUAUGUUAAAAUGUUGCACGUGGUGUGAUUAUUAUCAUUAUGUACGUUGUAAUUAGUUUAUUUUUUUCGCAUUAUUGCCAUUAUGUGUAUUAUUCCGUUUACUCGUAUUUCCAUGCUAUGGUAAUUCAUUCGUAUAUCAUGUUGUUCGAAAAUUAUUUCACCAUAUUAUAAAUUGUCACCCCAUCAACGCAACCCUUUUGUUCACGCAUUAUUUCAAACAUUACAUUUUUUACCCAAACAUGCAAAAAUGAAAUUUUCAAAUAAGGCAAUAUUUUGUGUAUUGGCGAUUCGAGAAAAUUGUAUCCUAACUUACGGGGUUUCAGUCUUUCUCAUUAAAACUAAUAGCAAAAUACCAUUUUUAAAAUAUCAAAAAAAUGAUGAAAGGAACCUAAAUAAGGCAAUAUUUUGCGUUUGGAAAUUCGAGAAAAUGUACCCUAACGUGCUAGGUUUCGAUUCUUUCGUUUAACCAAAUAGCCAAAUAUUCUCUUAAAAUUUCAAAGUAUGGGUUUUGGAACUGUCGAAACCACUUUUUUUGAAAAACAAAAAAAUUAGUUGUCGACUUUAACAACGAGAAUUGGAGUCAGAGUCGCCACUGAUCUUUUAAUGAGGUGUGAUCGGAUCACCUUGAAAACAAUUUUAGGUCUGCGAAUUUUGAGAAAAUUGAUUCGGGAGUCGGUUACACACGAGGAAGGGUUAGCACCCAUGUAACGCCCAAAAUUGGUACCGAAUUGAUUGUUUAAUGUCUUAGUGUCGAGAAUUUGAAAAGAUUUUAAAAUACAAUCCUUUGAAAAGAAAAUUUGAAUAAGAUGAAUUGGAUGAUGAGACUCACUUAUUUCAAAGAAAUAAAUUGUCACACUCAGUAAGUUAGAAUGCAACAUUUUAAAUCCUCAAAAUUAAGUUUAUCUUUUGACUUUUAAAACCUAUGCAUUUUGAGAAGGAUAUCCGAUUAUUUGGGUCAAAUGAAAAAAUCAAAACCCAAUAAGUUAGGGUUCGAUUUCACAAAAUUCCUAAAUAUCGAAUAUUGCCUUAAUUUUCAUAUAUUAGAAAAAUCCUCGCCUUGAGAAAACAACAUGUCAUAUCCAAUGCGUUAGGACACAACGCAUCGAAUUCCCGAGAAUGAGCUUUUUGUUUAUGUGUUUUAAUUAAAGAAUAAUCUCGAUUAUUUAGAUUCGAUGAGGAAAAUUGGAACCCAAUACGUUAGGGCUCAAUUCUUUCAAAAAUCUCAAAUUCCGAGUGUCGCGUUAUUUUAACAAAACUUUUUGAAUAAAAAUGCUCUCAAUAUUUGAAUGAUAUUAAACGUAAUAUUUUGACAAAUAAAAACCAUGAAAUAAUAACGUACAACGCGAAAUGGUGAUUCAUAAAUUAAUGUACGCUAAUGAACGACAAAGAAUCGAUAGAUACGAGCAAGCAAUACAAUACACGUAAGAGCAAUUAUCUCACAUCAUAUACAAAUAAUAACUUUAAUAUUCAAAAGCUAAUGAACUAAAAACUAAUCUUAAACGAAGCUCCAAGCGAAUUAAUACAAAAAUAUGCAACAAGAUUUGAAGAAUAAAAUAACAUGAAGGAAGGGAAAAUAUAUUUAAAAUAAAUCAUAUAUAUAUAUAUAGAAAUUUGAAGUAAAUUAAAAAUAAGGUUAAAAAUAAAUACUACAUAAAAUAAUAGUAUCCAAAUAAAUUUUAAAACAAAUAUCAUAUAAGAAGAAAAUCAAAUACAUAAAAUAAUAUACAUAUAUUAAUUUAAGAUAAGUAAUAUAUAGGGAGUGAAAAGCUUCAUGUAAGUAAUAAUAUAUGCUAAUAUGCAAAAAGUGAAAUAAACUAAAUAUAUGCGGAUAUUUAAAAGAAGUAAAGUAUCUAUAUAUAGCAAUAGGUAUAAAAAAUAUAUAUAGUUUAAAAUUAAAUAAUAUAUACAUUACGUACAUACAUAUAUGUAUAAUAAAAAUAGUUUAAAAAUAGUAACAAAUAAUAAUGAUAAGUAAUAUAUAUAAAUAGGUAAAUAGAAAUGUAAUCAAAUAUAAUAAUGAUAACAAUAAUAAAUAGUAAUAAAAAUAAUAAUAGUAAAUUAAUUAAUAGCAAAAAAUAUCAAUUAGGACUAAAUUGGAAUGAAAAUAGAAAUUUUGGGGCCAAUCCGCAAUAAAUAAAAACAAAAAGGGGCCGAAUUGGGUGCGCGAGGAACAAUGAGGGAGUAAAGCGGAAACUCCAAAACGCUGCAUUGCGGCAUGGACUAAAAUAAAACGAAAAUCAAAUUAAAGGGCGAAAAUUAAAAAGAAAAGAAUCGAUUCGAACAUGCCACAAAAGAGAGAGGACCAUUUGCGCAAAUCUCCCAACAGAGGCCAAAACGCGCGGAUCCUUCCCCGGGUCGGGUCACCGCACGGGUCAUGAGCUACCAAACGGUGUCAUUUUUGACGUAUGGAUAACGUAAAACGGUGUCGUAUUACACUAUUAUUUAAACAAGGUUUUAAAUAAAAAAACAAAAAAAGACAAAUGCUGCCUACGUUUUAAAAAAAAACUGCUUGUUCUUUGCUAGGGUUUUGCCCUAGCUUCUGCGCCGCUCGAACGUACUGCCGUUCAGAAACUUACAAUCCUCGUCCAAACUCCAAUCGCAAUGAAGCGAACAAGGGUGCGACGGCCACCCUAAAGGUAAAUCUUCACUUCUCUUUUCUCUUUUAUUAUUUUCGCAUAAAAACGAAGCGAAUAAGUAAAAUAAAAUAAAAUAAAUAUGAGAAUCACCUUAAAAAACAAUGAUAUUCGAUUUCUUUUUUCUCUUUUUUGUAUUUAGUAUUCGUAACCGUUUACAGAUUUGGUUGGCUCUUUUUAUAGAUGAAAUUAGUGAGAAAGAGAAAAAAAAUCGAAGAAUAUUUUUUUUACAUUUUUCCUUAUUUACUGCUAUCUUCUCUUAUUUGCUAUCGAUUUCUGCUCUUUUUGUUUGCUUGUCCUUCUUGCAGUUAUGGCAUACGGAGGGUGGACGUGGUGGCCACAAAGGCGCGCGUGAGGCGUGGCUCGACUGCUCGGCUGAAGUUGUAUCAGAAACCGCUAGGGUUUUCUGAUUCCUUCUUUGUUUUGGGCUCAUUGGACUAAAAGUUUUUAGGCUAGUGGGCUAGGUUAAAUUUAGGUUUUGGGUUAUACUUCAUUUAUUGAGGGCCUUUUUAACAAUUGCCAUCAUUAUUCGCGGGUGAUUUGGGGAUAAUAACUUGAACAUUUCAGGAUCACAUUCAAUUCAAUUUUUAAAUUUUAGAGAGAUGUUUGGGUUACAACAAUUGCCAUCAUUAUGUUUAAUAGAACACUUGGGAGGAAAAGGAACAAAAAAAUGAGCGAAAACCGAAAAAUGGGGGCAAACUAUAGGACCCACACGGGCUGACCUAUUCCACUUGACUUUGUGACCCUCACGGUCGCGUGGCAAACCACGUCAAUUUCAUAGAUUUGCACUUUGAACUGCGAAAAAAUACGAAUUUUAGGCUUUUCGAGCAUUCUAAGAUGCAUAUAUGACACAAAUAAGGAGAUAGGAGAGAACCUUCCUAGAAUAUUCAAGAAAACAACUCCAAAGACACCACUAAAGCCGACUCUGAAGCAAAUUUUCAUUAAGAUGGAAGAUUUCUAAUUGAUUUCUUAGGAGAUUAUCAUGAGUUUCUUUAUUCAUUUCAGUUAUACUGCCCUUUGAAUGUUUUUAUUUUUAAUCAUGAACUAAAUUUCUAAAUACCUAAGAGAGAUGAACCCUAUGAUAGAUUGUAACACCCCAAAGCCGACUGGCACAGACCGGCCCAAAUUCGAAACAUUACAUUAGCCACCUAAGUAACUUUCUAGCUAACGACCACCCAAGACACACCCUAACCUUGUAACACCUCAAUCUUAUCUAAUUAUUAGUUAUUUAUUAAUGGCAAAGUAAAUUAUAAGCCAAUUUUGAACUUUUUCUAGGUAAUUUAACCUAAGAGCAUUUAAGUCAUUUUACCACCUAUGGUAAAACUAACCCUGUAAUAGCCAAUUUUGGAUGGCCCGAUAAUAAAAAGUCCAAAAAUCAAAGUCCACAUAGUUGAAUUACAUAAAUUGACCCAAUACACAAACCAAAACUAAACAUCUAGCCCGAAUAGCCCAAUAACCAAAAAAAUAAUAAGCCCAAAACCCCAGGCCCAAUAAACUCUGACCUGAUUUGAAGAACACUCCAGAAACCCUAAGGGUUCCUGGAACCUUUCAGCCACCACAGCAACCAGGGCCCUUCCUCGCAUGUGUAGCGCCUCCGCGCACGUGCGCCUCCUCUAGCUGGCUCCUGCAACAGAACACACGAGCAGCAACAACAAGUAAAGCAAGGGAAAAAUAGAAUAACAGCAAAAAAGAAUAAAAUAAUAGAAAAAAAGAUGUAAAAUAAUUUCUGUAAUUUUUAUUAUUCGGCUAUAUAAAGUCAUUGGUGAUACUGUAAAAAAGGAUUACGGAUUCAAAAGAAAAGAAAAAAAAUCAAAUAGCAUUAUAUUUUUAAUGUUGUUUCUGAUUUCUACUUCUUUUUUCUUUUUCCUUUGAUUUGUUUAUAUUUGCUGAUUAAAAGAUAAAAAAAGGGGAAGUUCUUACUUACAUAUUGCCCUGCCGGAGCCUUCAUCCCUUCUGUUUCAAAUCGGAAUUGGGUGGGCAAUGGUCUAAUUGAAAACGGCACACAGAGGGUAGAUUUUAGGGAAAUAGUCAUUUUCACUUAAUUAACCAUGCAAACAUCAAAAUUUCUCAAUGAAAUUUUACUACGACCUUAAUAAAAUCCUGUAGACAGUAAAUAAAUAAUAAAAUAUUAAUUUACUUGUCAAAAUUGUGGUCUCAAAACCAUUGUUCUGAUAUAACUGAAAACGUGCUGUUACCACUCUCCCCCUAAAGGAAUUUUUGUCCCCGAAAAUCUAACUAGAAAAUAAGUUCUGGUAUUGUACUUUCAUAGCUUCUUCUGGUUCCCAGGUAGCCUCUUCUAUUUUGUGACGUUUCCAAAAAAAUUUAACUAAAUCUGUACUUUUAUUUCUCAAUUCUUUAACUUCCUAAGCUAAAAUUCUAAUUGGUUCUUCACUGUACGUCAUACCUAGCUGGUUAUCAACAUCUGCUGGUGAAAUCACGUGUGAAGGAUCUGAUUGAUAUCAUCGUAAUAUUGAUACAUGAAAUAAAUUAUGAAUAUUCUCUAACUUUGACAUCAAAGCCAAUUGAUAAGCUACUGGUCCAAUCCUCUUAAUGAUCUUAUAUGGACCGAUAAAUCGCAGACUAAGCUUUUCUUUUCGACAAAAAUGGAGAACUUUUCUCCAAGGCGGUACUUUUAGAAAUACUUAGUCCUCGACUUGAAACUCUAUAUCUUUUUUUGUUCAAAUCUGCAUAAGAUUUCUGACGAUCAGAAGUAGCUUCAAAUUGUCACGUAUCACUUAACCUUUACUUUGGUUUCUCAAAUCAAAUCAACACUGAAUAACUUUUUCUUGAUCAGCUCCAAUAUAACAGAGUUCGACAUUUCUGACUAUAUAAAGGUUCAUAUGGUGCCAUUUUAAUGCUCACCUAAUAACUGUUAUUGUAUGGAAAUUCAACCAAUAGUAGAAAUCUCUUCUAGUUACCUUCAAACUCUAAAAUACAACAUCGGAGCAUGUCUUCAAGUAUCUAAAUUACUGGCCAAGACUGGCCAUUAGUUUGUGGAUGAAAUGCUGUAUUGAAAUGCAGUCGAGUAUCCAGAGCUUCAUGUAACUUACCCUAGAAUCUAGAAGUAAAUUGUGGAUUUCUAUCAGAGAUAAUGGAUACCGGCACACCUUGUAAUUUGACAAUCUCAAAAACAUACAAUUCUACCAACUUCUGAAAUGAAAAAUCCAUACGCACUGGAAUGAAAUGUGUGAAUUUCAUCAAAUGAUCUACAAUAACCCAAACAACAUCUUUUUUUCUCAAAGAUAGAGGCAAUCCUGAUACAAAAUCCAUUGUAACAUGUUAGACUUUUGUUAGGUAACUAAUGGAAGAGUGAUAAAAAUAUUUAAAUUUGAAAAUUUGAGUUGCUAAAAAGAAAAGUUCAUAAUUAGGUGAUCAAAAUAGAAUGAAUUGAAUAGUUGUGAGACUAUUCUUGUACUUUACCCUUUAAUUACUUUUUUUUAUGGAUAUGUAUUAUUAAUUUUAAAUUUAUAAUAAUGCAUUGCUAAAUAAUUGCAAAAAAAAAUUAUAGACAUUAAUUUUUUGGAGAGGAUAGGCAUCUCUAAAUAAUGAUUAUUUAGAGUUGAAAAUUGUCCAUAAAUAUUUUUGGCAAUUUGUUUUUGAGGUGUAUGGUUGAUAAAGUAUGAUCGAUAGAUUAUGAAGUGAAGCUAAAUGUGUGUUUGACUGGGUGAAAUGUAACACCUUAAACUCAGCCUAGACGUUACGACCAGAUCAGGAAGUGUUACGUAAUUGUUUGAAAAUUCAGUUCUCAUAUAAUUUUGGAAUCCGUUUUGAAUUCUUAAAAUUUCAAAUUAUUUGAAAACAUUCUUUGUCUAGCUAUUUUGUUGAAAACACUAUUUGCUUAUAUUAUAAAACUCAUAAUUUUGCAGCGGAAAAUUCUUUAGCAUUUUUUUUAAAAUGCUAUCCUUAUUUCUUGAAAUUCAUUACUUUUGUAGGAAAUAAAAGUGAUUUUUAUUGAUAAAAUAUUUUAACGACAUUUUAUGUAAAUCGAAAAUAAAAACCUCAAAAACAAAUCAGAACAGUCAAAAAGUCCAAAAUUUACAAAACACCAAAAUUCCCAAAUUUUAAAUAAUUAAAAUAAAUGCAAUAUCUUUUAUAACCGAGCUACCCUCGCACCGACCCGCCUAAGUUUGAGGAUUACUUGAAAGUAUCAUUUAAACAGAAAGUGAGUUUAUGAAACUCAGUGUAAAACAAUUAACUUAAAACAGUUAAAGCAUAUCAAACAAAUUUAACAGUAUCAAAGUCUUAACAAAACAAUACAGAUACAUAUUUAUUUUUCCUACCCCCAUCUGCUACACACCAUCUCCGACCAUCCCAACACACCAUAUGGGGUAUAAAACACCCAUCUAACCCUACACAUCACUUAGUGUCGUUUAAGAAACUUACAGAAGAAUCGUAGUUGCACUACCAGAUAAAUAGGUGAAUUAUCACCUUUUCAAAUAUACUUCCUCCACAUAGUAAAACCCAUCAUAAUAACAGAUACAGUACAUAUCAAUAAUCAGUAAUAAGCAUAACACAUACAUAUAGCAUCGAUGCAUAACAUAUAUAUAGUACUUUUACCAGUUUUCCUAUAGCCCAUUACAUAAUUUACUCGUCAUAUGCAGCUUCAGAUACAGAACAAAUAUCAAAAUUCAUGCGAACAGAUGACUAACUUUUUAUAUUUUUUAGUCCAUUUAAGCACAUAUUGACCCCAUGGAAGACCCAUAGUCGAUCUAAGUGACGUGAACGGUCCUGAGGAAAGUUUUAGAAUGUUGGGCCCAUACGCCCUGUGUAGCCUACAUGGCCCAAAUUGCUCAAACCGUGUGUCACACACGGUCCAACACAUGGCCUGUCACACAACCAUGUGUUGCACAUGGCCUACCAUAGGACCUAACACAUGACCGUGUGGCUCUGUUCGCUGAUUUUCAAGUUUCUCGUUACACUUCUGAUUCUAUUUUAACACGAAAGCAGCCACAAGAUAACCAUUACCUAAUACGAAAACCAAAUCACCAAAUGAGACAAUUUUUCUCAAACCCGAUUUACAAAAUCAAUUUUACCAAUAACAAAGUUAAUGAUGAAAUUCAGUCCAAAUCUCCAACCUUGAUUCUUACCCUCAAGAAAAAGUAGUCCAAAUAACGAUUCUAAGUCGUCGAGUAACUAAUCGCCUUGUGAACUACACCUAAAACCAAAACAAUUGAUUAACAUCGAUAAAUCACACCAACCAGAACUCAACAUAAUCGAAGCUAACGAAGGCAAGAUUCCAUAACAGAAGAGAAGUAGGCAAUACUUAUGCACGAAUCAAAUUACACUUAACAUAGCAGAGUAUCCACCACCGAUUUGGAAAGGCAUAAAGAACAACAUUCAAGAAUGAACAAAAGAUUGAGAAAAGAACAAGAGCAGGAAAAAGAAACGAAAAUUGAGGGCCUUCUCUACUAAAAUCCACGUGAAAGAAAAGAAAGUAAUAAAGAAAAAAAAAUAGAACCAGAAAGCAAAAAAAUCGAGAACAUGUAAACAAAUGGGAGCAAAAAUUGGGGAUUGAAAUUAUUUUAAUCAAUUAAUUCCCUGCCAUUUAAAAAAACAAUAAAAUAAAAUAAAUAUCUUAAUAACCACCCACUAAACUUAGAUAAGUACCCAGAUUCUUUUCAAGAAUUUGAAUUUAAUCUAAACUUAUCCACUUGAAUAACACAAAGCAUAAAAUAUUUCGCUUGCUUGCAUGGAAGCUUGAAUACAUGACCAAUGAGUACUCAAGAAUUUAACCACUAAACCAGUAAAUUUAUUCUUGUCAUAGAUUUAAUGAUAAUAAUAUUUAAGCUGGAUAAACAGAGAUAGACUUAGAAACAAAAAUAAUUGAAAUUUUCUAAAGAAGUGCAACUUAAACCCAAGACCUCAAACUCACAAGACACUUCACCACUAAAACAAACACUUUCUAAUGACAAAUUUUAUCAAAUUAUGUAUACGAAAUUUGGGGUGUUACACGGAAAGUGGAGGGAUGGGAGGAAGGAGUGAACAAGUGGAAAAAAAAUAAAUUUUGAGUAUGCUUAAUUGAAAAGAAAGUGAGAGGAAAGAAGAUAAGAGAAAUGAUCAUUUUCCAUUCCAAUGAAUAAAAAUGAAUCAUUCCAAAUUGGAAAGAUGAGAUGAAAGAAAAUGAGAAAUAUGUGUAUGAUAGUUUAAAAGAAUGUAUUUUUGAAAUGAUUUAUUUUCUUUCAUUUCAUUUUUUCAACUCUACCAAACAAUGAAUGGAACUGGAGUAAAAAUUAAAAGUAGAAAACUAGAAGAAUGAAAAAAUAAUUUUUAUUUUUAUUUUUCUAUUUUUCCUACCAAACACAUCUAUGAAAUUUUCCACCCGUUAAAUCUUCCAUUCUUUCAAUUUUUGUUACAGUCUAGAAAGCAAAACUUUAAUGUUGAAAAUUUAAUUCCAUAGCAGAUAGAUUACGAAGUGAAACUAAACGCUAAAAUGAUUAUAUUAUGAAUAUGAAAUCUCCAUUAAUUCUGAAACUGUAUUACCAAUGGAGAAGUAUUGAUUUCUAAUUGUAAAAAUGUGAAGAGAACAGGUUUACUUUUACAAGUAAGAAUUUUUUGAGCAUCCUUCAUAUUUUUACAAUUAAAAGCCAACUCCAUAGUCAAUUUGCUUUGAGAAUGAACUGUGUAUCUUCAAGACUUCCAGCUUCAGUACAGAUUAAGUUGAGCAUUGGAUGAACUUGCCAAGGCUUCUCAGACCAUUGCACUUCUUCCACUAUAUUCAGCAUUUCUUGAAAAUAUUCAUGCAACACUAUUGGUAACAUGGAUUUCUGACAUUAGAAAAGUAGCAAAAUUUGUGGAACUUUGAUAGCCCCAUUGACAAUAAGGAAUGAUGGGUUCCAUUCUUCUUAUUAAUCUCCCUUUUUUCCCCUUGAUUAAGCACUGGUUAUUUGAAAGCAAAACACAUAGUUGGAUUAGAUUGUAAAAUUAGCACCUAAAAACAUAAUUUUCAUUUUAGCACAGGGUGAUUUAGAUGAAACAACUCUAAUUUUUAAAACAAAUGCUGAACACACAUUAACUGAAAGGAACAAACCUGAAGAGGCAAGGAAGCUCAACCAAGACCACUGUGAUCUAUUUGUCUCAACAUUAAACAAUUAAAGAAGAUUAGAUAGAAACUUAGAGAACACUUCCAAAGAUAUAAGCUUUCUUCAAUUCAUCAAACGAUUACAUAAAUUUCUUAAAUUGCAAUCAAACAUAACAAACCUUAUACUUGACUAAAAGUAAACCAGCUUCCCCAUCAUUUAGGCUUCUCUACCAAGCAAUGUUUCAAAUGUUAUAAGGCUCAGCAUGGAACUCAUGGAUAGGUUUUAGGAGGCCUCUCUGAUACAGAAACAAUAUGAAGUGCAUUAACAGAUCAACAACUCCUAUUGGUAGGAAAUUCAAACAUCCUUAGUUUAAGAAAAUUACAUUUUAAUAGAUCAAAUUCAGUAUAGAAUAUCUUUACCUUGUUCUUAGCUUGGCGCCUUUGACUUGUCAGCCAUCUUACAAUACGAUUCAAUUGCUUUAACUCACCCUCUGGGGUUCGAUACCUCAAAAACUUUUAACGCCAAUGACAAGAUAACAAAUAAUUUAACAAGUAAAUGAAAUUGAAAUGCAUACCUUAAAACUCCUUUUUGGUACAAAAGUAAAAACACAUUUUACAGAAAAGAAAGCAAGGAAAAAUCCAAAUAUAGAAGUACAACAAUGUUGAAAUCCCAAGAAAAGAUAAAAGAACAUAAAAAUUAACAAACACAAGCAACUAAGUAGACAAAUAAUCAGUCUAACACAUAGAAAUAACUUAAUCCCUCAAUGCUAUCAUAGAGUGAAAUUGUUGGAAGGGUCUGCUUCUGCUGUUAGUUCUGCUGUUGAGAGACUUGCAAAGAGAUAUCCUAGUACACAAGGGCAAAUGAGUGAGCAAAGAGUUUACGUAUUAUAUAUAGAACAUGAUUCAUCGAGGAUGAAUCUUAUAUAUAUAUAUGGUUAAAAUACAAAAAUGAAAUUAAAUAUGGAGUUAAACACAUACCAAAAGUAAGUUAAUAACCACAAGCAUACUCAUCGUUCGAUGAUGUUUAGAAACCUUUGUUUGAUCUUCUUUAGCUCAAACACAACAUCCUUCAUAUCUUUUCUUUCUUCUGGCAACUCAGCUGAACAAUCCAAAGCUAACUCCAUGAUAGAAGAAAUACAAUUUGUGUUGGUGCAAGAGGCAGCAGCAAGCUGAUUUCAGCUUUGCUUAAACAGCAAGUCUCGAGGCUUGCAGCAGAAACAAUCAAGGAAGAAAAACUUACAAUGGAAAACAGAAAAGAAAGAGAGAGAUUUGAAUGAAAAUGAGCUAAAUUUUCAUUAACAUUUUUAAGAAGGCAUGAUGCCAAUACAUAUAAGGGAUUACAAUAGCAAAACAAACAAGUUACCACCUAAUAACUUACCUAACACCACAAAUUUGCCUAGUAACUUGGUAAACUUGUUUGAAUACAUAAACAGCUACCUAAACUUGUCAUUCAUGACUUAAUUACAUCAAAAUGCAGCUACCAACUAAGUUUGAUCCUAACUAAAUACAAAACAUUCAUUUAAAGAAACUAAAUGAAUAGCUUCAGCUUGCUGCACCAAUUUGCUGUUGAAGCACGUUCCCUGCAUGGCCACCUUUGCUGCUGCAUGGGAGCUGACUUCAACACUCCUCCUCAGCUUUUAUGCAGCAGACUCCUAGUUCCCUCUUUAGGCUUAGAAAUCUUGAUACACCAAGAGACUUUGUGAAGAUAUCAGCAAUCUGAUUUUCAGAGCUGCAAUGAAUCAGCUCAAUUUCUCGAGCUUGUUCCAUCUCCCUUAUCACAUGUAGUUUAAUAUCGAAGUGUUUUGUCCUACCAUGGAAGACAGGAUUUUUGGCAAUAGCAACUGCUGACUUGUUGUCACAAUGUAUCACAGUUGCUUCAUUCUGCUGUAGGUUUAAAUCACUCAAAAUUUUUCUCAGCCACACAGCUUGAUUAACAGCAUUAGCAGCUGCUACAUACUCAGCUUCAGCUGUUGACUGAGCCACCAUUGUUUGUUUUCUUGAGCUCCAACAAAUCAUUGCAGAGCCAAGUGUAAAAGCAUAACCAGAGGUGCUCUUCAUGUCAUCUUUUGAACCAGCCCAAUCGCUAUCUGUAUAGCCAAUCAAUUUCAACUCCUUGACCCUUUUGAAACAUAUACCAUGGUUCAAGGUACCUUUGAUAUACCUCAGAACCCUUUUUCCUGCUUUGUAAUGCUGCUGAUUACAGCAAUGCAUGAAUCGUGACAGCAUGCUCACAGCAAAUAGAAUAUCAGGUCUUGUUGCUGUCAAAUACAACAAACAGCCAAUAAGGCUUCUAUAAUCUGUUUCACAGACAGAUUCAUGUUCCUCUUGGCUCGAUAGCUUCAUGCCAAUAGCCAUUGGUGUGCUCAUUGGUUUACAAUUCUCCAUUGAGAAUUUAGCCAGCACUUUCAAGGCAAAUGUCUUUUGUUUCAAGAGGAUUCCUCCUUCUACUUGAUUGACUUCUAAGACAAGGGCUCUAGAUACCAAUAAUUUGCUUUAAUAACAAAAUUAUCAUCCUCUCUUCUUAAUAAAUCAGCAUCCACAAUGUCUAUCAUUCCUUCAGAUAAUAAUCUUUUCACCCAAUGCCUUAUGGUCAUUUCAUCACCAAAAAUUUCAUCUGUUGGCCUUUUCCUAGUGAAAGUUUCUAUGAGGACAAUUCCAUAACUAUAGAUGUCACAUUUUAUAGAAACAAUUCCCGUUGAUCCAAAUUCUGCAUUUUAAGCAUAAGUAAUCCUGGAUUAUUUCUAAUAUGUUUACCACUAUAUAUAGACAUACACAAAAAAUAAUCAUUAAUUAAAAAAACUCAAAAAUUCACCUGGUGCCAUAUAACCAAUAGUUGCAAGAGUCAUGGUUUGCUUCACUACAUCACCUUCUCCCAACAAUUUCGCAAUGCCAAAAUCUCCCACAUGAGCAACCAUGUCUUCAUCUAGUAGAAUAUUGCUUGGUUUUAGGUCACAAUGAAUUACAGGUGUUGGAUGUCCAGUGUGGAGAUAUUUUAGAGCAGCCGCAACAUCUACCAUUGUGUUGAUCCUUUGUAUGAUAUCAAGGAAACAACUGUUUGAAUGUAACCAUUUCUCAAGAUUUCCAUUAGACAUGAAAUCAAGCACCAAGGCUUUGAAGUCAACAUUGGAGCAGCAAGUAAUGACCUUGACAAGAUUACGAUGAACUAUGUUACGCAUAGCUUCACAUUCAAUGUCAAAGCUCCUAAAUGCUCCUUCUAUUUG